GCUCCCUCAUAAAGUUUUAGUAAUUGAUCCUUCACCGGAACCAAGAAACUGGUGUAAGAUUCUGUUAGCUCCAUAAUAAUAUGUAAAAGAUCAUCAAUAAAUUCGGCCACUAGGUGCUUAUUCUUCUCCAGGGCUAAAGUGUGUGAUGAUGGUGACAACUUGGACGCUGUCAAGACGUGGAUAUAAGUUUCUCGGACUUGGAGAUCAACGGGAUCAAUCUUCUUUUGUAUCAGUUGAGAAAUUUCAGAUUCCAUCUCGUUGCACACCUUUUCAUCAUUUCUCUGAAACCAAGAUGUAGAGAUCAGGCUUGCAGCAUUAAUGGCCACAACUUCAAUGUGAACUAACAGAUCUACUAAUUGCUGACCCUUAACACCAUGUAAUGUUGCAAAGCAAAUGAAACUCUUCAAGAACAUUAGCUUCUCUUGAAGGGUUCCCAUUACACUUUGCAGAGCUCCAUCAUCCCUGUAAUUUCUGGUGCAAAGAUGCCUCAGAUUCUCUAAAAUGGAAUCAGUGAUAUCCAUAACCAGUUGGAAAUCUCCAAGCAAGUUGUGAAGCAAUAAACUACAGAUGUUGGAUUCCUUGAUGUCUGAAUCAAAAAUCAACCGCAUAUUUUCCUCGAAUCUGCCGAGCUUGCGUUUGGUGUCAUCAAGCGAUACUGCUGAGCCAAGUUCAUGCUUUAUUCCACUAACCAGAUCCUGAAUCCUGAAAGAGAUACUGCUGAGCCUCAAACUGUCAGACUCAGCAUCACCCCUGUCCUCCUUAUCAUAUUCCAAACACAUACACUCUUUGCUCCUCUUCCUCCUAAACUUUCUAAUAUACAGAUCAAAUGUUUCCAAUAGACUUAUCCCCAUCUUCAGCUCCCAGAUAUGAGAUUCGAACAGACAUUUGGACGCACCGUCUAAGUCGUCCAGAUACUCCCGAGCAACAUCGAAGCAACUAGUGCUACUGCUGAAGGAGAUGUUCGUCAUGGUACCUGCUUUUCACUGAGAAAUGAGAUUUCUGCCUAUUGUAGCCAUUGAUAUUCAAGAUCAACAACUUUCUAAUGAUCUAACAAUAUUCACAGUUUGCCGUCAAGACUCUUAUCUCUCUGGUUUUUUUAUUCUUUCUUCUUUUUUGUGUGUGGCAAGGUGGUGCUAAAAUAUUGCAAGACUUUACCUUCUUCCUCUCGAAACUUUGUCAAGGGAAGCUCGCAUCGAUACAACAGGCAUAAGCUGUUGGGGUCCCCAUAUCAAAGAUUAAAACAUUAGAGAUGCAUUCAGCUGAGGCCUGAUGGCUUUGUAAUUUGCCACAACCUUUUUUACCGCAACAAUAUUUUUUACCACAAAACGUGAAAGGGAAAAAAAUAGAUGAAAGAAAAUCAAUAUAUAGUAUUGUAGUUUCAAUCAAAUCCGCCAGCACUAAAAAUGAACAAAAUGAGAAAUAUCAAUUAGGUUAGCGGUCAAAAUAAACAAUAGAAAAAUCAGAAGAAAAUGAUCCAUGGCUAUUGUUUAAGAAUGUAUAACUAAAUACAUUUAAGGAUUUUAGAGAAAAUUGUUUUUUAAUUGCUAAUGUAUGUGAGUGCUGAUGUUUUAAUGCUUCUUUUUUCUAAUUUUUUAAUUUGGCAACUUCUCCAAAUUUAAAAAGUUGUAUAAUAAGAAUAACAAUUUUACUCCUUUUCCCGUGUGAGAUAACUUGAGCCUGUAAACCAUCUAAAUCAUUUUUUCUUUUUUUGGUUUUCUACAUGCACCGAGAAAUAAUAACAACCUACAAGUACGAAAAAUCUUGUGAAGUGAAAACAAAUAUUAAUAGGGCACAUUAUAGUUUACCCUCCUGUGGUUUAGAGUUUUUUUACAUAACCCUCCUAUGAUUUUAAAAGUUAUGCAUAACCCUCUCAUGGUUUGGAGUAAAGUGUCAAAGUGACGGAAAUUAUCAUUGUAAUGGAACAACUAAAAUAUCAAAAAUACUCUUAUGUAAAAUUAAAAAGUAUUUAUUAACCAAGGGGGUUAUGUGUAUAUUUUGAAAACCAUAAGAGUGUUAUACGGUAAAGUAUUAAACCAUAAAGGGAUUAUAUGGUAAAACAUAAAAACUAUAUGAGAUUAGUUUGUCAUGUAUUUAUAAGGGUAAUUUCGACAUUUUUAAAAGCUACGAAGGACUAUUUUAGUUAUUUUGACACUUUAAUUCAAACCAUGAGAGAGUUAUGUAUAAUUUUGAAAUCAUAGAGGGGUUAUGUAGAAAAACAUUAAACCAUAGAAGGGUAAAGCAUAAUUGGCCCAUAUUAAUAUCAUAGUUACUCAUCAUAUAAUAAAUAUCACAUGAAAUUCGUUCACAUAAUUGCUUCACCUAAAAUCGAUAGGUCAGGGGUUCAAAUCAUCAAGGAUUAAGUGAGACACCACUAUUAAAUCCUCUUUUUUUUUUUUUUUUUUUUUAAAAAAAAAAAAAAGGCUUCAGUACUUUUAGCACUGUAUGUAUUCAAAUCAAAAUUUGAUUUAUCUAAUGCUGAGUCAAAUAAAAAAGCUGAAAUUUCCUCCUAUUACGUCCCAGGCAUAAGUGAAGCGAUGAUAUGCGAGUAUGAAGUGUCAAGAACACAUGGAAGCCAUGUACAUUUCAACCACAAAAUAAUAAAUGUGUGGAAAAAAGAAAAGAAAAAGAAAUUCAGCACUUACUUUGGAGAGAAUGACCGCUAUGGCAACAAGUGAUCUGUUGAAUCUGCAGAAAUUCCAUUUAUAUGGUGAAGCCACGUUUAAAAAGAAAAACUUUAAACUUAAAAAAAAAAACGAAAUUCAGCACUCACUUGAGAGAAAAUGAAAUCCCUGGCAAUAGCUGGUGAUCUAGUGAAUAUGCAAAAAAAUUCCCAGUAUAUCUUGCACCUACUCACUCAAAAUUAAGUUCAAGAAAAAGAAGAACAUUCCGAGGAAGAUGAUGAUUUCAACCAAAAUGAAAGAACUCGUACAUGCAAGACUUUUUGCAGUGAGAAAGUAGUACUGGUAGCAGUCGGUAAGGGCUCACUAUUUUGUUAUAAGGAACUCUCUUUGAUUUUUGCGCGUGUGGUGGGGACGAGGGAUGGUGGGCGUGGCACUGAUAAGUAUUACAAGACUUUUCCUUCUUCUUCCGCGUGAAGCUUUAUCCAGAGAAGAUGCUGUGUUAAUCAAGAAUUUGGCAAGUGUGGCAGAUGACUUUGACACGUGUGGUAGAAUACGUGUUUGCUCUAAAAUUUCCUUUAUGUAAUUCUUGGUCACUGGGUAGAACAAGCAUGCUAUAUCAGUAGGCUCAGAUUUCACGAUAACUGUGGACAGAUAUUGAGUUAAUCAAUCUCAGAAAUUUUGAUGACCAAAUGACUAGAAAUUAGAGAUGCAGCACAAGAAAUGGCAUGUUAAGUUAUCGUAAAACGAUCAUUAGCAUAUUUGGUGUAAGUUUGUAGAGUUUUGAUAUAAUUUUGAAUUUUAUACAAAUUUAGUUAUAUGAGAUGAUAAAUUUAAGGGUAAAAAAUCUCAGCGGCCACUAAACUAUUGGUCAGAUCAUAUUUUGACUAUCAAACUAUUUUUCGUUAAUAAUUGGUCACUAAACAACUUAAUCAGUAAACUCAUGACAUUUAGUCGAUAAUUGUUCUUAAUCUGUAAAAUUAGCAAUUAAUCUGUGAAAUAGGAUCGCAUAAUUAUUGGACAAAAUUACCCUGCACUUUGCCACGUAUACAGCUAAUUUCACAUAUUAAGAGCAAUUAUCGACUAAAUGGUCACGGAUUUACUGAUUAAGUUGUUUAGUGGCCAAUUACUAACGAAAAAUAGUUUGAUGGCCAAAACAUGAUCUGACCAAUAGUUUAGUGGCCGCUGAGGAUUUUUGCCCUAAAUUUAAAUUUACAACCGAUUUGGACGAUUUUACACCAAAAAGGGGAAGAACUAGACCAACCAGUUGGAUUGGACAAAUUCCAACUUAUGAGACCAGAGACAUAUAUGGUUUGACUAAUUGUUACCUGUUGAAUAUCUGGUGAAAGGAGUCUCAUGUGGUUUUUUAAAAAGUAUAAUUAAUUUGAAAGAGUGCUUAAAUGCAAAACAUAUAAUAAUUGGGAUUGUGUAACGAAUAUCCAUGCCGAUUGGAAAAACAAAACCAUAUAACUAUAAAUAUAAAUAAAUAAAUAAAUGAUUGACUAUAUAUAUGUUUGUAGUAAUAUGUUUGGAAAAAAAUCCAAAUUCAAAUUUAUGCAACUUUCGUGUGAUCUAACAACUAUAACACAUUGCCAUCAAGAUUCUCUUCUUUUGCAUACACGCUGCCUGCAAGGAUCUCUUUUUUGCUUGUGUGGUGGAGAGGGAUGGUGGGGCAUGGUACAGAUAAAUAUAGCAAGAAUUUUCCUUCUUUCACGUGAAAUUUUUUGUGUAUGUGGUGGGGAGGGAAGAUGGUGGGGCAUGGUGCUGAUAAAUAUUGUAAGACUUUUCCUUCUUCCACUUGAAACUUUAUCAAGAGAAGCUGUGUUAAUCUAGGUUUACAUGCGUGAUUAAUGCGGUAGCGAAAGCAUAAAAAUAGAAGGGGUUUCAUGAACACCUUUCAAAUGACAAUCAUUACACGAACAAAACCCAGCAAUAAAUCAAGAUUCAUAAAAAUAAGAGAAAUUUCUCAACAAUUUGAUAAAACCAACAAUAUUUGAAUUAUUAGGAGGAAAUUCUUUUUACAAAAGCCCUAAAGAAAAUAAUAUGUAAAGUUUUAAACAAAAUCAACUACGUGUCUGAUGCAUUUAGGAUCCUUAUUGACACAUUUAAUACUAAUACUAAUAUUAUUAAUUAAAAAUAAAUAAAAAUAUAGAAAUCUACCCUAAUUAGAAUUCUAAAUAAAGUAUUAACAAUAUAGAUGAAGAAUUCCUGAACCCAAGCAUGCUAUAUCAGAAGGCUUAGAUUUGUUUUUCUCGUAAUGAACCUCAGAAGCGUAAUCAUAUGUUGCCGCAAUUUCGCAUAAACAGUUGACUGACUACAUGAGUAUGUGAUGCAUAUUGAGUUAAUCAAUCUCAGAAUUUGAUCGGUUACAAUUUCAUUAUUUAUUUUAUUAUUAAUUUUUCCUUUUACCUGACCUGAUGUGGAUUUAUUAUUAGAUUUUACUCACUUUUCGUAAUUUACAUUUAUUUCAGGGAGUAGAAUAAAAAUAUCACAAUCAAGGCCAAUUUAACAGUCAUCGGGAAAGAAUUCAAAUGGAAGGUCUUCAGGGAUAUUUUGGAACAAGGAGACACAAGUCUUUUUUAGUAAUUUGCGGAAGACAACAUUCAAAAAAGAAGCACAAAAGGUUGGAGUCGUUUCUCUCCUGGUGGGCCACCGCACAUGAGAGCCGAGCAUUAGAAUAGAUUAGUAAUUCAAUAGGUACAGGGAGUAGCAGAAGACUUUUCUUGGGCUUUGGACAAUUUUGUCCUUUAGUGGUUUUGAGUCCACGUAUGUUACACUUAGGGUAGAAAUAAGGGGUCAUCAUUUUUUUUGACCAAGUAGUCUUUUUUUCCAUUAUUCGGUUUUCCACCUUUUUUUCCUCCUUAAUUGGGAGAAUGUACGUCGCAACUAUUUAUGCAGUUUUGUAUGGGAUUUUUUCAUCAAUAAUGAGCUAAACCCCUUUUUCUAAUCAAGGAGUAACGGAGGCUUUGACUCGCCUAAAAUUAUGAGAUCGAUUUAAUUUUACCUUUUUCUUUUAUUUAUUGGUAUUCGUAUAUUCCUUGGUUACAGUACUUAUGAUUAUUUAAUUAAUUGAUUGUCUUGGAUCCGGAUAAUUAAUUAAUUUGAUAAUCUAUUGUCAAUUAGAACGUUAAAUCCGUAAUUAUUUAAUUGUCUCAAAAUAGUGAUAACUGGCAUGAUUGGGUUUGUGUCAGGGGAAUACGCGGGUUAAUUUAAAAUAACCCUGGUAGUGUGUUAUUUGGUUAGAAUAGGACUCCUCUAAUACGUAAAGCAAUUGGGAAAUUAAAUCUUACGGGCGUACCUAAGAUUAUUUCUCAAUUAGAGUAGUGAUUAACGGGCGUACCUUAAUCACCGACACAGUAAGGAGGGGUUGAUUGUCAUCGCUUGUUUGGCAGUUAUAACCUAUUUAUUAGUAAAUAAUUGGAAUUGCCUUUGUUUCAAUGAUCAAUUAGGUGAACCAUUGCUGAAAUUAUUCCUUGGCUAGAUCCUUAAUUAUCAUUCAUUUGAUUUUAGUAAAUUGUUAUUUAAUUUCUAGUUGGCUAUUUUAUUUUUAUUAUUUUACUUUUAGUUGAAUUGCUUAAAUUGUCACCCCUGAUAUAAAAACACCCCCUUGUCACUGUGAAUUUGAAAAGAAACAAUUACUCCCAAUCCCUGUGGAUUCGACCCUACUCAUCGCUAUCUACAAAAAUUACUUUUAGUUUGAGUAGGUUUUAUUAUUGCACAGGCCAACAACCUGUCAAUUUUUUACGCCGUUGCCGGGGAUUGGGGCUAGUUAUUUGUUUCUUUUUUAUUUCAUCUUGUUUUCAUUUUUUUAUUUAUUUUUCUGUUUUUUUAUAUAGUUUAUGGCUGCUAACAUUCUAUAUUUUGAUGAUAGACUGGACUUUAUUCCUGAAUGGGGUUAUGAGACUCGUGUUUUUCCUAAUGAUCAAUGGGCUGCUGCAAAUUGUGAAACUUAUUUUGCCUCAAGUUAUUCAACCAACAUAUACCCCACAUUUCAAGAUAAUCUAAGUACUCCAAUUGAUACUUUUGGAGAUUUUUCACCUCGAUUUCAAACGUGGUAUGACCCUUACCCAAACAGGUAUGAUCAAGGAGGGUGGGAUAAUUUCAAUUUUAAUUAUGCGACCGGGCCAAUGAAUUUUCAACAGCAAGAGUCUCAGCAAUCAUCCUCCGUGUCAGGUAUGUCUCUUGAAGAAAUGAUUGAAUUACUAAUUGUUAAUUCAUAUCGAUUUCAACAGGAGAUGCAAGCGAUGGUGGAUCAAGUGCAACUAUUGACAUCCGAGAUAGCAGAUCAAGUACAUCUAUUGACAUCCAGGAUAACGCGAUUGGCUUCUCACCUUGAAGAAUUGCCUGCACAAACCAAUACCAACCUUGAGGAAGAUGAGAGUGCAAUUGUCCGGCCAAAUGACAUGAAACUGCAAGAGUUUCAAAAAAACAGAUCUAAAGCUACAGUUGAAAAGGAAGUUGAAGUGCAAGAAAUGAGACCCCAGUAUCAACUCGUUCAAGUGAAUGAAUCCAAUGAACAAUCUUUAAAUGCGGUGACAUCUCAUCCAUUCCUUCAUCAAUAUUCUCCUGACUCUUAUUGUUCAAUUCCUGCUAAUGAAAUUGACUUUAUUAUACCAGAAAAUUUUAAAUUUCAUGACAGGAAUAAAUUAAGAGUGAUCAUGGCAAGAUAUCUUGAACCAAUAAAUGCAAGUGAGGGAGGAAUGAAUGGAGAAUUCAAAUUAUCGUUGACUUGUUUGACACCAUUUAUUAGUCCAAGGAAGACCGUAGCUCGUGUGCUCAAAGAUUACUCUAUUUACGAGGGCUAUCGGACUAUAUAGAGGAUGAAGCAUUGAAACGAGCCACAAGAUUUUAUCCUCCCUGAACAAAUAUGACAAUGUCUAGCCAAAAACAUUAAAAAAAUGCGCUCAUUGGGAGGCAACCCAAUUUCUUUUAGUUAUUUGUUUAUUUUUUGUUCGUUAGUUUAAAUAUAUUUUUUCUUGGAUUUGACUGAUUUAUGGUUUCAAUUUUCGUUUUUGAUGAUUCAUAGGUAUCUCUUUGACAUGACGCGCCCGCGCCAACUGGGCGCGUGACACAUUGCGAUCUCCUGGUGCUUGGUAAAAAGGGUUUCGAUCUCCUUGACGUGCCCGCGUCAAGUCACAUGGAGAGUUCACGGUCAGAAGGGUUCUUGCCCUCAUGACGUGCCCGCGUCCAGUCACCUAGAAAGCUCCUCCUUCCAUGCCUUCAUGGCAUGCCCACGUCACGUUCGCGGGAGAGAUAAGUAUUUAAAAAACUCAAGAACGGUUGUUGAUUGUCGGUUAAUCUCUGCUUUUGAAUCUCGAAAAUAAAAUUUGCCAAUGAGAAAAAAUUUUCAAAAAAAAAAAUUUAAAAAAUAAAAUUUUUGUUUCACCGUAGCUUAGAUUUUCAAAGUGUAAUUUUUUUUAAAAAAAUAAAAAUAAUUUCUCUUUCUUUUUCUUUUUCUUCUUUUCUUUCUUUUUCUUUCUUUCUUUCUUAUUCUUUCAUUUUCUUUCUUCUUUCUCUCUUCUCCCUUGUUUCUUCCUCUUGCUCGAUGCAAAACCUUUGUCCGCCGCGCCAAUCGAUCCGCCACCAUCUCCUCUGUUGCCGUGCGCCGCCACUCUCCGUUUGACCGCCAUUUCUUCGAUCCACAUCGCCGCAUCUCUCUCUCUCUCUUUGCCCACCUAGCCCGCGCACGCCGCCCAUUCUUUCCCCCUCACGGCUCUCUCCCUUGCGCGCUCAACUUCUUCGCGGGCUACCCACGUGGCCACCUAGUCAAGUCACCGCCGUCGAUCCCACCCUCGCACGCACGCUGCCACCACUAGCUGUCCUUUGGCCGCCAACAUCAUUCUCUGUCACAGCGAUUAUUUGGCAGCUUCCAGUGGUGAAGGUAUUCGAACUCCAAUUCCAAGUCUUUGAUAUUGUUUGGUGUUGCUUGUGCGAUUAACUGUCCAACUGGAGUCAUUUGAUGAAAUUUUUGGUGGGUUGAAAUUUUGCAUUUGUCUAUUGAUCAUUGGAAGGCAUCUCUGCCAGUGUUUCGAUUACUGAGGUUUUGGUUCAAUUAUUUCUGAUAUUGCCUAUUGAAUUGGGGCCCUGUGCCGCGUGAUUUACUUUGUGAGAUUGGUGAUCACUAAUUGCAUUAUUGGGGACAUUCUGGCGAUUGGUUCAUAUUGCUAAUUUGGGGACCAUUGUCUGUGCUUUCGAUUGUUUUAUUUGUGCAUGUGGUUGUCAAGCUGCUCGAAGUCCUUUUUUGGCUGAUUGUUGACUUCAGUGGUCGGGGUUGAAUACUUAUCUUGUUGGUAUUUUUCUUUGGGUAAUCUUUCUUUGCUGGUGGGUGACUACAUACUUGGCGCUAUUGCUCUACUACUACUUUGCUAUGCUCUAGCAAUUUCUUUGGUUUUGGAUUGUGAUUUGCACCAGUGGUACUGGUGGGGUAAUUGGAUCUCAAUUGAGUACCUCUAUUUGGUUGGCCGAGUUAUUAUUGUCAAAUUUCUAAGCUAUUAUUGUUGAAAUUGCUGAUUCUGAGUUAAGACAUUAACUGGCCAACUGGAGCCAUUUGUUGAGAUUUUGGGUGUACAGAGUCUUGCAUUUGCUGGUUGAAUUGAGUUAUGAUGUCUCAGAACUUGGGCGCGUACUUCCACUACAUCGGUUUCCCUCCACCGUCCCCGCCUGCCUUGUAGCCACUCGAGAGGGAAGUUUCGUUGUCCUCUUCGCUUUAAUUGCUUUAAUCCCUCCAUUGAGGACAAUGUAGGAUUUAGGUGUGGGGAGUACAGCUGUGCUAGUUUUUUCUAGUUUUUAAUUUUCAGAUGUUCUUCUUUUAUUUUUAGUUUGUUAUUUGUCUAGUCUUCGUUUACUUUCUUUUUUUAAUGAAUACCGAAGUUUGAUGUUGGAUUGUUGUCUGUAAUUCUACUAUUGCCAAGUUUUAAUAAUAAAAGGGUAUCAAGUUAAUGUGGUUUAGUUUAGGGACUUCUUUUUGGUGAAUAUCAGUAAUUGCUUGACUCUUUUAUUUUUUGGUUAACUAUUCUAGGCAUAGGAAAUAAUUGUUGAUUUUUUCAUGUGAAUUGGUCCGAUUAUUAACUUUAGUUCUCCAUGUUUGAAAAUUUGAGACUGGCUGUUGUUACUAUUGUGUUGUUUUGUAGUUAUCGUACUAUAUGAGUAUAAAUAAGAGUUGACUGUACUCCGCUAGUUGCUACUACCGAGUAACCGGGGAUUUUCACCUAAAGUGUCGAUUCUCUCGUCAAAAAGUAGUAAAUGCUAUAAGUACGUGGUCACGUGGCGAUAGAACCUGAGUAACCGAGUUCUUUCAUCUGACAAAUGUCAGAGUUUGCGUUAAAAGGCUCCCAUGGCUAUAAGACUAAGUCUCGUGUUACUAUUGAAAAAAAAAUGAAAAAAAUGAAAAAAAAGUGAUGGUUGUGUUAAUGUGUGAUAAAAGUCAGCUUGCCGAUUUAUGGAUUUAAUGUUGAGAUUUUGGUUAAUAGUUGGACCAUUUGCUGAUAAAUGUUGAGCGACCACUCCUUUUUCUUAGAUUAGUUAACCUGAAAUUGGAAGAGUUUAUGGUUUAAAAGCUAAUCGGAGUGAUGUUUUUUGGACUUGACCAUUGAUGCUUGAUUAUUAUUUUUCUUGGUAUCUUGGCAAUUUGGUGGAUAGAGCAAUAGCCACUAUCACAUAUUGGUGUUUGUUUGUUGUUCUCAUGCUUGAGGACAAGCAUGGUUUAGGUGUAGGGGGAAUUGAUCGGUUACAAUUUCAUUAUUUAUUUUAUUAUUAAUUUUCCCUAUUAUCUGACCUGAUGUGGAUUAAUUAUUAGAUUAUACUCACUUUUCGUAAUUUACAUUUAUUUCAGGGAGUAGAAUAAAAAUAUCACAAUCAAGACCAAUUUGACAGUCAUCGGGAAAUAAUUCAAAUGGAAGAUCUUCAGGGAUAUUUUGGAACAAGGAGACACAAGUCUUUUUGGGUAAUUUGCGGAAGACAACAUUCAAAAAAGAAGCACAAAAGGCUGGAGUCGUUUCUCUCCUAGUGGGCUGCCACACAUGAGAGCCAAGCAUUAGAAUAGAUUAGUAAUUCAAUAGGUACGGGGAGUAGCAGAAGACUUCUCUUGGGCUUUGGACAAUUUUGUCCUUUAGUGGUUUUGAGUCCACGUAUGUUACACUUAGGGUAGAAAUAAGGGGUCAUCAUUUUUUUUGACCAAGUAGUCUUUUUUUCCAUUAUUCGGUUUUCCACCGUUUUUUCUUCCCUAAUUGGGAGAAUGUACAUCGCAACUAUUUAUGCAAUUUUGUAUGGGAUUUUUUCAUCAAUAAUGAGCUAAACCCUUUUUUCUAAUCAAGGAGCAACGGAUGCUUUGACUCGCCUAAAAUUAUGAGAUUGAUUUAAUUUUACCUUUUUCUUUUAUUUAUUGGUAUUCGCAUAUUCCCUGGUUACAGUGCUUGUGAUUGUUUAAUUGAUUGAUUGUCUUGGAUCCGGAUAAUUAGUUAAUUUGAUAAUCUAUUGUCAAUUGGGACGUUAAAUCCGUAAUUGUUUAAUUGUCUCAAAAUAGUGAUAACUGGCAUGAUUGGGUUUGUGUCAAAGGAAUACGCGGACUAAUCUAAAAUAACCCUAGUAGUGUGUUAUUUGAUUAGAAUAGGGCUCCUCUAAUACGUAAAGCAAUUGGGAAAUUAAAUCUUACGGGCGUACCUAAGAUUAUUUUCUCAAUUAGAGUAGUGAUUAACGGGCGUACCUUAAUCACCGACACAGUAAGGAGGGGUUGAUUGUCAUCGCUUGUUUGGCAGUUAUAACCUAUUUAUUGGUAAAUAAUUGGAAUUGCCUUUGUUUCAAUGAUCAAUUAGGUGAACCAUUGCUGAAAUUAUUCCUUGGCUAGAUCCUUAAUUAUCACUUAUUUGAUUUUAGUAAAUUGUUAUUUAAUUUCUAGUUGGCUAUUUUAUUUUGAUUAUUUUACUUUUAGUUGAAUUGCUUAAAUUGUCACUCCUGAUAUAAAAACACCCCAUUGUCACUGUGAAUUUGAAAAGAAACAAUUACUCCCAAUCCUUGUGGAUUCGACCUUACUCACCGCUAUCUACAGAAAUUACUUUUAGUUUGAGCAGGUUUUAUUAUUGUACAGGCCGACGACCUGUCAUAUGUUGCCGCAAUUUCGCAUAAACAGUUGACUGACUACAUGAGUAUGUGAUGCAUAUUGAGUUAAUCAAUCUCAGAAUUUUUGAUGUACAAAUGACUAGAAAUUAGAGAUGCAUUCAGCUAUGGGCCUGGUGGCUCUGUAAUUUGCAAUGACAACAAAUUCAUAACUAAUAUCUGCAGCACUGCAGUAUUCAAUCAGAUUUGGAAUAUGGGAAAAAUGAACAAAACAAGAAAUAUUAACCAGAUUAGCAAUCAAAGUAAACGGUAGACAACUCAGAAGAAAAUGAGCACCAGAGGUUGAAACGAGUAAAAGACACUUUCUAAGAUCAAUGGCUACCAUUACACAAGUAAAAAUAGGGAUCUUCUUGAAAUACAGCAUAGGCGAAUAGAAAGUUCCAUGAAUUGGGAAUGCAUACGAAAAAAUGAAGAAUUCACAUAUGAUAACUCAUUUUCUCAUUUCGAGUACUUGACUCUUGAAUUGAGACCAUUCCGCUAUUAAUCUGUGUUAUUGGCAGGCAUUGUUUUACAGAAAGAAGUGGUGGUAGCGCCUGGGACAAGAAGCAUCCCAUCACAUGAAAAAAAAUAAUGAACAUUGUAUCAUUGGUACAAAAUAUUUUCCAAGAAUUAUAUUUGGAUAAAUUUCAUUUUGACCCCCUAAACUAUUUGUAGUUUCCCAUUUCAAUCCCUAAAUUUCAAAAUGGGACACUUAAGUCCCCAAACUACUGAAUCCGUCCCAAUUAAUUAAAAACAUUGAUAGAAUCCACAAAACCAUCAGAGUUUUUGCAUCAUGUAAAACAUGUACUAUUGACCAAGGGCAAGGAUGGAAAUUCAAAUAAAAUAUAUUUAAAAAGAAAAGGGAAUUUAUUUUAUCCAGCACAUUCGGGUCAUAUAAUCGACCCGAUCCAAUUCAUAAAAGGGAAGUGAUGUUUCCUAAGAAAAUAGAGAGCAAUUGGCUGAAUCUCCAAAUAAGAGGUAAAAACUAAGAAGAAAAGAGCAUAUGAAGAUAAGAAAAGAGACAAAGGAAAGAUCGCACAUUAAAUUUAUCAUGAUUAAAUUUUUUGCAUGUUAGAAAGACACUCCGCCUACUUUGCUUUAAGAUGUCAAAGAAUCACUAUCCUUGUGAUGAAUUUGCUCCAACAAUAAAGACAAUCUUCUACAGGAUAUAAUAAAACUGUUCUCUUGAUUUCUCAAAAGAAAGUGUAAAAAUCGUACAUCAAUUUUGAUUGAAUCCUCGUUAUAGAUGUUAAAAGAGGGUGUUUGAAGAGUUAUUACUGUAUUUUAUAUAGCGGAUACAAGUACCGGAGUAGGAAUGGCCAAACAUUUGAGUCCAAACGGGCAUAGUGUCUAGAGAGCUAUCAUUAAAUCUUGACACAGUUCGGACUUCAAAACAUUUAGUUUGGCCCACGAACAUCCACUUUGACAGAUUUGCAUAGUUUUGGCAAACUACUCAAUAAUUCCCCACUAAUUUGCAAAACUUAUGUAUCUUAACCCAUGGAGUCUUCAAUAAUACAACUUUAACUGAUGAAUCUUAAGCAUAAUUAGAAGUAUCUCUUGAUUUAAACUUCCAACUGGUGUAGGUGAUUUAAAUUUUUAAUGGAGUUGUUAGAGUUCUUAAAUUGAACUAUAACUCUUAUAUGUCAAAGACGAAAACACAACACAAUUAAUUAUUGUCUUCUUUUCUCAAGAGGUUAAUAUGAGCUUUAAUUAGAGCUAUUUUAGCCACAUGCUAAUCCUAGUUUCACAAUCAUCUACAAAAGUAUACUCAAACUCUUGUUGAAAUGGCAUCACUUCAAUACUUAUACAGGUAAAAUUGUACUUGUAGAGUUCUAUGUUUAUGUCAUGCAAAAUCAACAGCAAUCCCACUCAUGGGAGUACUGUAAAGUAAAUAUUAUUGACUAGGAACUUAUGUUAAGCAAAUUUCUUUAUGAUUUACAAAGUCAAAGCUAUCGAACCAGUGAGGGUGUUUCUGCCUAAGUCCAAAUGAGACAGAUAUUCGAAAGAAAACAAUGACCUUGCAAUAUUUCCAAUGAAUUUAUUGCUCUUCAAACUGAUGUAUGUUAUGUGUGCGUAAUUCAUCUAACAAUCAGGAAUUUCUCUUGAUAAAGAAUUCUUUUUAAGAUCUAGAAUUGCAAGGCCUGAUUUUCCAUUCUUCAUUUCACACAAAAAGUGAGAAAUACCUCCUGAAAACAAAUAGAUUGAAAGGUCUAAUUGUUUCAGAGAAUGAGAAAUUGAUUGUGCUAGUGGACCAUUGAAUCUGUUUGACUAUCAUAAAUAUAUAAUCUUUCAACAAUUUCAGAGAUGUUGAACUCUUACCAUGAAGUUGAUUGUGAGAAAGAGACACGAAUCCUGUUGUUGAGUUGAAUAACCAAGGGGGAUAGUAUUUGAAAUUCCUGUGGAAGACAAAUUCAAAUACCGAAGGGUUUUUUGAGACAUAUAGGAAAUUGAAGACUGAGAUUCCAAGAACCUAAUCCAAGUCUUUCAAAUGUGCUAAAAGAGAUGUUGGCAUUAAAUGGCAUGGUGGUUUUUAUCCUCCACUUUCUAAGCACUGUUACCGGUCAGAUUUUGUGGCCUUCAAUGCCAACAAUGUUUCUUAUCGUCCUAACACUGCUAGCUUCGCUUAUCGAUAUUUCCAGUGAAGAAAUCGAGAAGUUGCCCCACUAAUGGGGAAGGUAUUUUUUCAGCAAAAUUGAGCAUCUUAAAUUGUUGCCUUUCUUUACUUUAUUGUUAUAUUUCAAGUGAAAGAUAUCAUGUCAAUUUAUGGACCAUGGACGAAUUAAUAUGAAGUGGACAGAACUUGGACCAAGUUAAAAUCUCAUUUGAAAUUUCCGACAUUUGGUGUUGAACACCGAUCAUAUAUAUGCUCAAACCAAAGCAGGCCACUGCAAAUGGUGCAGCUAGUUUCGUUAGAAGCCUGAUUAGGCCCUGUCGGGGCGGUGGAACAGAUUAGACUAGCAGAUGUCAGUCUAUUGAUCAUUGGCAUGAAAAUGCCUUCUUGGAUGUCUUCAUGUACCAAUUUCGAACUUGUGUAGCACUAGUUUUACCUCUUCUGGUUGCCAAUUCUAUAUUCUUAACUAAAAGCUCAUUUCUCCAAUUUCUUAUUCAAACUUAAUUACAAUUGAAGGUGUCCACUUGUUGUGAGUGCAAUUAUCCCAAUCCAGAAUCCCCUAUCAAUAAGAGGUGGUCAAAUUUUUGGUCCAUUAAUUUGCCGUUGGACUCGAAAAUUUUUUCUUUUGAAUAUCAACGGUUUCAAUAGUUAUGUAACCAUAACUUUAGAAUAGUAGCUGUUGAGCUGCCUUCUAAGUUAUAUGGAAAAGUCUGAAGUAACAAUCGUUAUGGUAACGAAACUGUUUUGACAUGAUAUGAUAGAUAAAAACACUUUUAAUAACUAUUUGAUUACCUGUUGAACCAGUUACCUAAUUUUAAUCUUACAAUUAAAAACUUACUAAUAUUAAUAUUAAUUAUUUUAAUACAAUAUUUAAAAAGACGCUAAAAAACUUGAUGUGUCGCUAAAGUUAAUAGAAACCUACAAUAAUAAAUUAUCCUAAUUUCAUACCAUAACUAUAGUCACUAUAGCAUUGUCCUGUAUACAUGUAUGUUGUCAGUUAUUGCUAGAGAAGGAUAAUAGUUGUUGCUGGCUAGUAUGUAAUUAGCUUCCCAUUGUUUUGUAACAUCCAAAUGUCACGUUUGCAAGAAGAUAGAGUCCAAUAUAUUUGACAUUUUGACAGUCAGCCAAUGAAAAUAAAAUACCUCUUUCACAAUAAUAAAAUUAGAGCUCAGUGGUAAACAUAUCGUACCAACAGGGAUUAAAAUUAUUUAUUUCUUUCAAAAUAAUUAAUAGAAAGGAGGGAUUUUGGAGAUUAAACCAACUAAUUAAUUUAAACACAAAAUAAACAUACAAAAAUUAAGUAAAAUUAAAUUAAUAAUAAUGGAGCUCUAGCCAAAGUAUUAACUUCUGAAAUGCUUUUCUUGACUAUCUUGAUAAUUAAAGUACGACCAUUCGCUACUUUCCUAAUUCAAAAGAUAAUCAUAUGUAUGACCAACCAUAGGAUUUAAACUUACAAUUGCAUUAGAAAUAAAAAAGCUCAAUUCUAAUCAACGAACACGCUAUGGAGGUUUAUUUAAUUUUGAUUAUAUAUCUCCCUAACACAAACUCAAUCAAGCCAUUCACCACAAAUAUUGACCUAUAGUUUGUUAAGCUCCUUUGUUUUCCUUCAAUCUUCUGUACAGUAAUCUGCUUCAUUAGGUACAUUAAAUUAAGAAUCUAGUAGGAAAGUAAAAAGAAAGAAAUAGUCAGCCAUUCAUACUUGAAAUUCACAAGCACAAAGUUUCCAGUGGAGAAAGACACAGAAACUGCUAAGAUAGGAUAGGAUAGGUCCUACGUCAAUUAAAAUGUCAGAUGUUCUUUCUUGGAAAACCUGCCAAAAGGAAUCAACUGUGUAUAUGCCCUUCCUGAGCUUUGCGAGGCAAUGGAACAAAAGAAAAGCAAAGCAAUAGAACAAAUAUAAAAUGUUCGAUAUAACCUUAUAUUGGGACUAGGAGGUAUAAUCUGCGCGGUGCGCGGAGGUAUAGAAAGAGAAGAUGCCCAAGACAAGCAUAUGAUAUGGAAGGAAAAUAUCGGAGGAGGAUAUAAAGCAAAAGGCAGAAAAAAGGAUGAAAGGAUAGACACACACAAGAUUCAUAAAGCAUCGAAAAUCAAGGCAUGAUAAGCAAAAUCCAUAAUAAUAAAGCAUCGAAUUUGCCGCUACUCAUAUUAGACUUUGUUAGAGCUACUAAUAACCGACAAAGUUGCAGCAAAUCACUAACAUCUCACGGCAGCCUUUAAUUCAUAAAGAAGGAGCUAUAAAUAUUUGAUACAAGGUAGUCUCUUUACUCCUUUGUAGAUGGGCCUUCAACUCCCUGCAUGAGCUAGAACAGGAGUACAAUUUUUGGCUCUAUGUUUAGUUGGUCUUUGUUGAAGAUGAUCGGCUACUAAGGGAAUGACAGCUCCACUAAAUUUUACAUGGUCCCAGAAAUCACCCCCUUCCUUUCCAAUCCCCUUCCACUGUUUUCCUGUCUUUUAGCAACUUGCACAUUGCAGGCGGAGGAGAUUAUGAACUUCUAUUUUGUGACUGCAAAAACUGCUGGCCCUUCCACCUGGAAAAUAUCACCAAAAAGAUAUUGCAAAAGAGAACAAAUUUCAGCAUCACCAAACCAGAGUGAAUCUAAGCCAUGAUUUUAAGACAAGCCCACAUGAUAAACAAUCAUCUUUGACCAAUAGAUCCCCCUAAUAAGGGACCAAAUGACCUCACUGAGUAUAUGCUCCUGGAUUUCAAAAAAAAAAAUGGUUUGCACAAUUUUUUUUUCUUUUCUGUGUUAUUUGGCUGGUAACAUAGAGAGAAUCUCAUCUGUUUACCAUGAACUUUGCUCCCCAUAUUUCUUCCUCUUUAGCUGGAAUUGCAGUGAUCUUAUUCUUUGGAUUCUCAUAGCUUCUCAGUUCACCCAAAGCUGUGGAGAAGAAGGAACCUGAACAAACAGACAUCAACGCACAUUACAAGAUUGGAAUUGUUCAACAUAGCAAAGAAAUUUGAAAGAAAAGAUGUACUAACAAAAAGAAAGGAACUUUAGUGUUCCUUAACACAAGCAGUUAAUGUAUUCAUUAAUUUAAGAAUCAAUUCUUUGAUGGCUGAAUUGAGCGCCUAAGAAUCAAAUUUACCUUGAGGGAAAGAUGCAAGGGACUUGCCACAAGCACCUUUAAGCAAGUCAGCAUCAUCUGCAAAUGCUACCCAUCCAUCAGCAGUGAUUCCACAAUAUAGAGGAACCUUAGCCUUUUCAUCCCGUCACAACAUCACCAACCAGACUGUUAAAACAUUUCAAUUAAGUCAAAUCGGUAGGUAAGGAAAUGCGAAGAUCACUCACAGUAGCCACAAACAAGGUGGAGGUGGCCUUGCCGAAGACAAUAAAUGCAAAAUUCCCUUCUGGGUGGCCAACAACAUGGUUUGGAGGAUAACGUGCCCUGUCACGAAGCGCCUUGUAUGCUUCAAUCAUCAAAACCACCUCAUUUGAAGACUUUGGAAGCCUGUAUUGUUGCUUCAGACUCCCUAGAUUAUCAAGUGCUCCCUCAAACAAGCAAAAUAUGUCAUCCUUAACUGCGAAUGACCUACAAAUUUGUAUUGCCAAGUUAGUUUCACAUGUCACUUUUUAAAAAAAAAUUGAUUCACAUAAGGCCUAAUUACUGCUAACCAACCAAAAAUAGGUUUGCAAGUUAACAGCUUUAAAAGUUAAAAGAUAUAUGUAUAUUUCAUCAGAUCAUCGCACGGUACUGACUACAAAGGUCCCAAUUUUUUGCUUCUUCCCCGCCAACUCUCUCCCCAUUUUUUUUUUUUUUUAAAUAGACUCUGGCCGGGAGGGGGUUGGGGAGUUGGACUUAUUGGGGAGGUUGACUGACUGAAUGGAAAUGAAUGGGAGUGAGUUCAAGUAACUUGAUUCUCAAGAUAAAAUGAAGCUGCUAAAUUUACCUCUGUGUUUUCUUUUCUGCCAAUUGAUUUUGUUCCGUAUUAAUCACUAAAAAUAAUAAUAACAAUAAUAAUAAAACAUAUUCUUACUUUAGCCGGUACUUGUAAAAGCAAGAAUGUACUUUCACUUUUAGACCCAAAGGCAUUGCAUGUAAUAAUUAAAAACAACAAUUGAACAAAGGGAAUUAAGGGAAGUGCUGAUCGAUCGGACCAACUCUCUAUUUCUUCUCAAAGUACAGUUUGAUUUGUAAGCAAUACUCAUUGAGAUUGGCUGCCGGCAACAUAUGUGAUAUGAUAUGCGCGGUGGGCUGGGGUGGAGGUCUUUCAAAAUGGUGUGAACCAACUAUAUGCGAGUAUUAACGAUGUUGCUUGAACAAGCUUGAACAAGCUUGAACAAGGGACAAUCCACAAAAGCUUGAACAAGGGAAAUAGAAAAAAUGGGAAAGCACAUCAGAACAAAGAAGGUAGUACCUUAGAAAGGGCAAAAAACAGAGCAAGCUGCGGAAGAUGCUUCUGCGCUUCCAACUCUAUCUUAGACAGAGAAUAAGAGUCCAGAAAUUAAAAAUCAUUCUACCUGCAACCUGAAAAAAGUGAAAAAAAUUCAAUGCAAUGAAGGUUUUAACCCAAAACCAAGAGAAAGGGGAAAAAAAGAGAGAGAUCUAGUGCAUGUUGAUGACUGAGGAAGGGGAAGAGGACCGGCCAUGAAGCUCAGUAAAGUCACUAGUCCAGAACACGUCGUCUUCGUUAAGCUCCGGAGGCAGAGUUGUCUCCAGAAAGCAGUGAGAGCGGUGCUUCGUUCAGUCAGAGCGAAAACGCUGAGAAAUCUGUCAGAGGAGGGCAAUUGACGAUGACGGGAAUUAACGGUGCCAUUUUGGUCCAUUUGAGUGUGACAGCUAUGGUCCUACCUACUACUACUACUACUGUUGCCACCAGCAGUAGUGAAACUGCAGGACCGCGCGAGUAAUCUGUUGCCGUUGGGAUGGGUUUAGCUUCUGAGGAUAGAGGUAGGAUGAAGGAGAAGAGGAGAGAAGAAAGAAAGCGGCGGCAGCGGCAGCGGAGGAAAUUUAAGAAAACCCUAGAGAGGAAGUAUAUGCAGGCGUCAGCGCAUCGCGCGGGAAAAAAAGGCUGGUGACUCACAUGUGCGGCACGUGAGAGGACGACGAAAACCAUUCCAGGUCACAAGAGGCCUUCGGCUCUUAUUUUAUACUAGGAGAUGUUCACCGUGCUCGUGCACGGUGGUAAGUUGUAGGUAUGCCCAUGUUGAGAGUACAGUAAAUAUUUAUUUUAGAAGAGAUUUGUUGUACAGAGAACUUAUUAAGCUUGGUUGGAAUUUUUUUUAAUUCUAUAGGUUAUUUUAUAUUUAAAGAGAUAGAACAUUUAAAAUUCCCUGUUUUCCUGGUGUACACUUAAGUAUGCAAAGAAAAUGAAUAUGCUAUACUUUAAAAUGUACACACGAGAAGUUAAUGCUAUUCCAAUGUAAUGCAUUCAGUUUCAGUUGGAUUGAUACAAAUUUUUCUUCUUCCCCAAAAACAAAGACACCAUAGUGAGUCUACAGGGAGGAGAAACUCUAAAGCAUCAUCCACUCAAUAAGCUAAUAGCAAAAGCGGCUACAUAUUGACCCAGAGAAUCCAGUAUAAGCAGCCUGACAUCCUAUACCCAAUUGCAACAGAAGGAAAAAGAACAAGGCAAAGAAUCAUAAAUGCAAGAAACACAACUAAAUAGCAACCUAGGCAAGAAGUAAAUUAUCACAAGGACACCAAAGCUUUCAUAGUACCCUUUAAUUUUCCAGUUUUGUGUGUGCAUGUGAGAGAGAGGCAAUAAUUAAUAAAAACAUUACAAUGCAAGUUCCAAAUCACCGUGGUAAAGAAAAAUGACAUAAUCCAAAUACAUUUUCGUUUUCUUAUUCUAUAACCUAUGAUAUGCACUCUGGCUGCUUUUUAGCAGUGAGUGCAGAGGCAUAGAGGCUAGAAAAACGAAAUGUUUGCAGGCAACUUUUUCGGUGGGAGAGUUUUUCAUAAGAAAAAGGAGUUAUGGAGGAUGGAAUAAUACAUGAGCAAAAAUAGUCCUUAUACUAAACGUUGAAAAAAGAAACAUGGCAUAGGAAAAUUUCUUAUUUUGAUAGAUCUAAAUUCACUCAUUUUUCAUGAUGGAGUACACAUGGAAACUAUGAUACCACGAGAACUGCUUUUCGACACCAUACUCAUAAAAAAUUAGAACAUUGUAGGUGUAAGCUGAUUCAGGAAGGAAAGCUAAAAUUUCGUCCAAUUCCAGUUGAUGCUCAGCAACAAAGACGUCCCAGAGAUUAUCCUUCUUUUCCUGUGGCAUUUUUGCAUAACGCUUGCGAUGCUUGGCAUUUCUAUCCAUUAAGCUGGCACCAAUGAAGUAAAUAAUUCACACACUCCCAAACACAAGUUAGCUAUCAGCCAAAAAAUGCCAGAACAGUAGCAAGACAUGAAGGUGAUAUAUAUGGCUACUCUCAUACCACAUAACAUCUAUAGUAGACAAACUAUCCAAGCAAACUAACAGAAACAAGACCAACAAGAAAGGAAUAGCAAAUGAUAGCCAAAAAAGGAAGGAAAACUUGCAAAAUAAAAACAGAAGAGGCUAAACGAAUUUACCAAAAAAGAAUGAAUGAGCAAGGAGGUUUAACAAUAAAAGUCACAUAGUUCGAAGAGUAGAAAGUGGUUACAACUCCAGGAGAUGCACAUACAAUCUACAUGUAAGAAAGGGAAGCAGCACAUCUAGUGCAGCAACAGUGCGAAACCAAGGAAAAAGGAGCAAACAUCUAGUGCAGAGCAGCUAACAUAAAUUGAAAAGGCAUAAAUACGUUUUCAUUGCUCAACUAACAGCAAAUGGGACAAAUAACAUAAAACACUGACGAUUUAUAUCUAUAAAAGCGAGUCCCAGUGAAAAAAACACACAACAUUUCCUGAAAGAGGCAAGAGAAAUAACAAAGAACAGUUCAAAGAGCAACGACAUAUGCAACGAGCAAAUAGAAUAUCAAGCUAGACACACCGGAGGAACAACAGUCACUCAAAAACAUUAGCAUAUAAAAUAAGAACGUCACGGAGAAACGAGAAAACAAGUCAUGAGUUUACAAACGCAAUGCACACUAUAUAACCAGAUAAGCAGUUGACAACCAGCUAAUGCAAACCAUUUAAAAGCAGUUACCAUGGCAAAUCAAUAUAAUAAUAGCCACUAAUCUAUUAAGGAAAACUGUUAAUUAGUAAACAAGUCAAGCUGAAUGCAGAUUGGUAGAAGAACAACCUCAUUGAGCUUUAGAACCUGGAUAGCCAAGAAACAAGAAAUAUAAUUUGAUUAAAAGAAGUCUAAAGUAGAAACAGGAGGAACACCUCUUCCACCUCAUGGCAACAAGGAGUAUACUGAUGCUGAUGCCAAGAGUCAGAAAAAAGGAGCACACGCCUCCAAAGCAAAAGGAUCACCAAGAGGAACAGGGAUGCCGCAGCCAAUAGCUACAGGAUUAAAAAAAAGAUCAAAACUUCAGCAUGCACAAAAGAACAGAAACAAGGCAGAAAAACACGGGCAAAAAGUAAGAAGAAGGAAAGCAGGUCACAGAAGGCACUAACAAGCAUUACAGCAAACAAAUAAAGCGUAAAAAGAAAGGAUCCGAAAGAAAACUGAGAAAUGAGGAAAAAAAUAAAUAAAAAAGCAAGAGAAAAUGAGAGAAAACCGAAAGAGAAGGAAAAAAACAUCUGGAAGCAAAAGAAGAGUGAACAUGUCACGGCCCCACCUCCCCCUAAGGCAAACCAAAGGGUUUGGCGAGUCGUCUGCCCGACUCUCGCCGGGACUCAGUCGUUCCUUAAUCAAAUCCAGAAUAAAUCACAAGAAUAUAUAGGGCAGUAAUCCAAACUUAAAGCGGAACUUAUAUACAUUGCUAUCUCAAAAGGAAGUACAGCCAUCAAAUGUACAAAGGUUCUCACUUCACCAUACAACCAGCCCGUGCCAAGCACUAGGGCGAGAACCAUUACAAAAGAAACAAAAUACCUAGACUAGGCUAGUCUAUGCUCUCAUCCUGCUCGCCGUCCCCUAUUAAGGAAAACAAAACUAAAGGGGUGAGUUAAAAGCUCAGUGAGGUUCCGAACAGAUAAUCAACAAUCAAUUCAAUACAUUAAACAUGGAGUAUUAAUAAUUCAAGAAACAUUUACAAUGGAAAGCAAUAGUUACAUUCAUUAAAAGGAUACAGGCUGACAUGGAGCUAUUCGUUCUUUCGUUCGUUCCCCUAACAUUUCCCCUUAUUCCUCCAAUUAUUUGAAAAUUUCCUUUUUGAGAAAUAAAACUCUCGUGCCUUUGUUCGUUCAUUCAUCCCUUUCCAGACAUUGACCGGACUCCACCCAUCUGGACGUUGACCGGACUCCACCCAUCCGGACGUAGCCGGACUACAAGGUAAUACUCGAGUAUACCAAAUUCACCCAGGGUCACCAUAUCGCCCGAUCGAGUCCGCUUCUGGCUCGAGUCGAUCGGUAACGAAGGGUAGGGCCCAAUUCAGCCAAAAAGGCUUACAUCAUGCGCAACUAAUGUUUCCAUCAUUAAAUCAUUGAAAAUUUUACGUUUCAUUAAGGUCGAGCGCGAUAAAGUACACGCUCGCCUAGAAAACUCGUUUUAGAAAUCCUUGAAAGCACUUAACACAUUAUCAAACAACAACAACAAGUCAUGAAGUCAGGGAGAAUAUAACAAACAAGGAACACUCACCUAGUUAUGCAAAAUAACGUGCAAAAUAUCCUUCCGGAUAUUACCCUUAGUCACCAAUGAAACCUAAGGUUGAACAAGAGAACAUAUUACAGUUUAUCGAGCAAAACAUUUAAGGGAAACAAAGAAACCCGACUAAUUAGGAGUAAAUCGUGUAAAGAUGACUUUCAAGUAAGAAGAGGGUUGUUUGAACCCAAGGAUGAAAAAUCAUGUUUUAAAAUGGAAAGCCGGUCAUGGUAUUGGCCAAACAAAAGUAUUCAAGUUCAAAUAGGAACCUAACCCUCGAGCGAAAAUUUGGGCAGCACGCCCUUUGUGUUUACCUAAUUUUCCAGCCAUUUAGGCUUCAUUAUUUUUCCUCAGCCAAUCCCAAAGUCAUAUAUAUCAUAAAUGCAAGUCAAUAGCCAUUCCAUAGGCUCAUAACAUCAUAAGAAUAAGAAUCAAAGUCGUAACAAGUGUGGAAAUACAAUCUAGCAAAAGACAGAUUUGACGUGUGGUUGUGGAAAUAACACAUCCGAGGCUACGCUUAUCGGAUUGAGGCACAACUUAUACCAUUUCGAAGGUAAGACACAGGGCUACAAUGUUCAUGAAUAUCACUUAGUCCAGUUUCCAAUGCAACCUAGCCAAAUCCUCAAUUUACAGAACCAAAAUCUCACUCGUCGGCUAUUUAACCGAUCUGCACUGGAAUGGUCAUAUCUUAGGUUACCAAGGUCCAUUUAGGGUGUUCUUGUAGGUGUUAGAAAGCUUAAAUAGAUUACUAAAACUUUCAUGUUUUGGAAAAAAGCUAAAUCAGCAUGGAUCCUAGUGAACAAACAUGAUAAACUGGAUGAACUGACGAAAACGGAACACUGGAAAUUUCCUAAAAUAGUGAGGGUAUUUUGGUCUUUUCACAGGCUACGUUGCUCCGAUUGAGCUGAAAUUUUGCAGGCACCUCUAAAAUGUCAUUCCCUACAACUUUCAUGUUUUAAGCUAAGGCCAAUUCGGCCUCUAACAUAGGGCAAUAAAAACAGGCAGAAUAGGAUGAAAAUUUCCAGAAAUCUGAAAUCUUUUGGUUUCAAUGAUAGUUUUCUUAAUUUCUUGCUACACUUGCUACCAAAACCCCCUAUAUAACCUUAUAUACAACAUAUACUAAUUAUACAACAAGUUUAGGCAGAAAUUAAUCAAACUCUAACUUACAUAUUUCAUCCAAAAAUCACCACAACAACUUGCAUCACUUGUAAUCAAACCCAAAACAUGGACUAUUUAACAUCUUAAACAAGAAUAAAAGGAUCAAAGCCAUAGAUCAGAUUUUAUACCUCAAAAAGAAGGCUUGCAAGAGUGAUCCUCCACUAUUUCUUGAAGUUUUUGGUUCCCUUAGCUUCCCAAGCUACCAAACUUACAAUCAAUCGGUUUAGAAUUCGAUUUUAGCACUUGGUUGGUGUAAAUCAAGAAGGAAUUUGUUUUCUCUUGCUCUCCCUUUCUCUCUCUCUUGCUUGGCCAAGACCAGAAAAAAUGAAGAAGAAAGAUGGCUGAAGUGAAGGAUAAAAAGGCAAGAAAAAAAAUUAAUUAAGGAGCCAUGAGGUGGUGACACUUGGCGCCACCAAAGCCAUGCAAAUUUUUCUCUCUCUCCCUUACAUUUUUUGCCACAAAUUUCGGUCAAAGGCAGCUGGAAAUGAAGGGAUAUUUUGCUCAAAUAUCAAUGAGCUCAUGUGGUAAGAAAGUGGUGGUCCAGUGGUGUGUUCAAUCGGUAGUGUGCGGUACACGUCGGUUCACACCGUUUUUCUUUAAAACACCCGUACUAGGGUUUUUACUUCCUAUUCACUAACCUUAUAUCAUUGCUCCUAAUCACGUAUUAUUUCUCACUUAAAAGUCACUUUUAAUCACCAAAUUUGAUCAUUGUUCCGUACCAAAAAAUCAUCCGGCGAAAAUCGCGAAAACCCUAAUUUGCUCCAAUUUUGAAAACGAAGAGUGAAACCCUACUUUCUAGGUUCAUGUGCACUUAUUGGAGAAUGAUUGGGUAGUAGGGCUAUAAUAAAGGAAUAAUUUCUAAAUAAAAAGGCAUUUUUGAAAAAAAUAUAAGAAAUUUGCGAGUCCUCACAGAACAUGCACAGCAUAAGUGCAGGCAACAGGAGACCAUCUCACUACAAAAAAACAGAGCGAAAAAAGAUUAAGAACCCGGACGCGGGUUCACAGAAAAUGGCAAUGCAACAGUAGACUAAAAAGCUAACAAAAGCGGCUAACGAAGAGGUGAAAUGAUCUAAAAAUCAAGAGAAAAGGUAGGAAAAUCUUUGGAAGCAAAAGAAACGGGAACUUGCAGAACAUCAAUGCAUCAUAACAAAGCAGAGGAAGAAAGAUUAAGAACACGCACCUGUGGUUAUGGAAGGCGGCAAUGCAACAGUAGUGAUAGGGUAUACUUUGUUAGUAAUUUUAUUAUUGAUUUCCCCUUCUAUUCCUGACAAAUAUUGUGUUAAUUGCUGAUAUUUACUCAUAUUUGGUAUUUGGAAUCAAUUUCAGGAGUGAAGCAGAAAAUUACCAAAAAGGAGGGAUUUGUAUGGAAAAAUGUAGACUUCUAAGGGUUUCAACCUUUGGGCCCUUGAAUUGGUGGGGACCACAAGCUAGUGCAAGGCAUUUAGUCAUUUGGGCUUUUCAAAGAAAGCAACGUAGAGAAACUUGGAACAACAAGUACUUUGGAGGCUUGUUCACAUGUGUGGGGACCACAGGGAAAUAGCUUUUAGGCAUCUUUCUUUUAGCUUUUUAAGUAGAGACGUACAGAAGCAAAAGGAGAUCCCUUUUUUUUAGACGACUUUUUUAGUUUAGUUUUUAGUCUAGUCUUUAGUUUUUCUUUCUUUCUCCUGACUGGCCUCUGACACACGCCAGGUGUUCGACAAUAUUCCCCAACGGGAAAAACACCUUUUAUUCCUUGCUUCCUAAUAGAAAACGCAAUGCCUUUGCAAUUUAUUAAUUCGUGGGGUGAUUUAAUUAUGUGGCGUGGCUAAGUCUUCCAUCUAGUCAAGGAUCAACUCGACGGCGCAGUCCCGAAAAUCUGUGAGAUCUAAUUAGUUUUCACGUGUUCCUUUAUUUAUUAAUAUUUGCACGUUGUCUGCUUGAAUUUUCAUGGGAUUAUUUUAUUAAUUGGAUGUCAAGGGCCCGAUGUUCAAUGUGAUUUAUUAAUCUCGUGCCAAUUUAGUCAAUUAAAUCCGUAAUUGUUUGAUUGAUUAAUAUUAGUGGCAACUGGUGUGUUCACACACUAGGGGAACGUACGAUCUAAUUUAAAUAACCCUCGUAGCGUGUUAUUGAUUAGGGUUAGAUUUUUCUAGUUAUUAAUGAAAUGGGAAAUUAGUUCCUAUGGUCGUACCUAGGAGUAUUUUCUGGUUAGGGGUGAUCAAUGGUCGUACCUUGGUUAUCAAUAAUUUAAGGAAAAAUUGAUUGUCAGAGUUCAUCGGCAACUAUAACUAGUCUAUUAAUAAAUUAAGUGAACCUCUCUUGCAUCAAUGAUCGGAUAAGUGGACUGUGCCUGAGUAGUUGCAUCCUCGGCUAGAAUUUAUUCAUUCUUGAUUUAACUCCUGCUAUAUUUGUGCUAGUUAAUUAUUUAUUUAUUUCUGUUGAAUUAUUCAAUUGAUUUUAGUUUCAUUCUGGUGAAAUCCCCCCUUACCAAUUGGCAUUUAAAAAGAGACAAAUAUCCCCAGUCCCUGAGGAGACGACCCUACUUGCCAUUGUCUACUAUUCAGUAAUUUUCGUUAACUAAUUAAUUCUGGUAUAUCGGGUUAAGCAAACUCUUCGGGAACAGGGUGAAUCAAGUAACCCAUUGCACACCUAGAGUCCCUGCUCCAGUACCUAGGAUUAACUAUUGACUGCUUUUAGUGGUAGUUGGGAUUUUAUUAUUAUUAUUGCACAGGUUUGACGCCCUGUCAAGUAGCCACCUAUAAAGCUAACAACCAGAAACAAAAAGAAUAUAGGAUAAACAUAGGUAAAAGACACAACAAAAAAAAUGAAAACCAGAAGCAAGCAUGAGGACAGACCACACUAACCAUAAGCACAACAAACAGCAAACAAGCGAUAGCAGAAACCAGCGAGCAGGAGGCAGAAUGAAGAGAAGCAGCCCAAACGGAACCCAAAAAGGAAAAUUGUCCAACAGAAAAUUAACGGAAUUAUCCAACGGUUACGAGAGAUCCUGCCAUAGCCGUACAGAGAUGAGCUGUUGAACUGUAAAAAAACUGAAAGUCUCAGACAGCGGAAAUUUGGCGGCAAAAGUAAUUUUACAUAGAUGGACACACCCCCACAAAAUAUUACCAACGAAUACAAAAAAAAAAAAAAACAAGUCACAAAAAUAAAUCUUGGUGGGGAAAGCGUAAUUUCACCAUUGACCAACAAGUUUGCUAUCCCCAAAAAUGACUAACUGAUGACUGAUGACUGAUGACUAAUGACUAUGACUAAUGACAAACAAAAACAAGGACAGCAUCACAAUUGUCUCUGAGGAAAACAAAAACAAAAGAGGCCCAUGAGAAAAAAAAAAAAAAAACUACCUGGCAGCACCACCGGCCAAUCCCCAGUUGCCACAUGGGCGGACGACCAUCCUAAGUGGCAGGAGGCUUCCCCUCUUUAUCUAUAUGUUUAAUAUGUUGAAAAAUUGCAAAAGUAUUUGGUAAUUACAAAUCUAACGGUAAAUUGGACAAUGUUCACCUAGGUUUCAUCAGCAGCAGAUACAAAGGAAUCCUUUAGAUGCUUCCAUAUGUCUUCAAGUCUAAGCAGCAGAUACAAAGGAAUCCAUCAGAUGCUUCCAUAUGUCUUCAAGUCUAAGUGCGUAAUUCUUUGAAAGAACAGAAAAUACAUAUGUAGACUUCACAAAUGGAGUUCAUCUGUUGAGCAUCUGCAAUGAAUUGAAUCCUCCACUAAGGGCUAAUUUAAACUUAAAAGGACAACCUGAAUGCAUUACUUUCAUCGAUCUGAGCAAUAAAAAUUAAACAUUAGACAUGUACAAACUUUUUGGGAGUGUUAGUUUAGCAGAUGGUGUUGGUUUUUUGGGGUAUAAACUAAGAAACAACAACUUAAUGUUGCAUAAAAAGCUUAAAAGAAACUUGUAUUGAAAGUGGAAAAUGACCUUGUGUUCUACAUUUAUCAACUCAUUAUUUAUAGUGAUUACAUGAAACAAACUAGCAAAAUAUUCAACUAACAAUUAUCCUAAAAAUCUCAACAAGAUAUAAUCUUUUUCUACUGUUAACAUAUUUGUUAACAAACCAACAUGAUCUCUGGUUAACAAAUAUCUUUAUUCUUCUAAUAACUAAAUUAUUUUGAUAUCAAACAUAAUCUAACAAAAUUUGUAGGAAAAGCUGGCAUACAUUAUAGCUCAAAUGAGAAUACUUUUUUUUUUUGUUUGAAAACUUUCAAUGUUUAUUGGGUGAAGAUAAAAUUUUGUGAGUCUAACUUGGGGAGGUGACUCCUAUCCAAUCUCCUCCCCGGAGCCCCUAGGCUGGUCCGCACAUAAUUUGCUAGUCAUUAAGUAGGAAAAAUCAACAUUUAUGAUGACUGGUGCUAUUUUUCUGUUAUGGCUGCUAUCAUAAUUCAUGGCUAGAGACCACCACACUAAUUUCUGCUCCCACCUCCAUGUGUGUGUUAGCGUGUUAUGAAGAUUUCCAUGCUCUUCUUCAAUAUAUAUGAUUUUUUUUUGUUGUUGAUACCAAUCUUUGUGAGCAUGGCAAUGGGCAAAAUUCACUACUACUCCUUAAAUUUUAGCCUAGUUUCGUAUGCUAUAAGGGCUGCCAGCAACAACAAUAUUGCUAUGGAUCAAUCAGCGCUUCUUGACAUUAGUAGAGAAAACAACUUCCCUGGAGAACACCUUAAUUUUGGUAUUAAUAAUUUUGGUGGAGAGCUUCCCUCUUGUUUUCGUUAUUUACAGAAACUCCAGCAACUUUUGACUCAUAAACAAAAGCUUUACGGGCUCUAUCCCGUCUUCUAAGCACUCCAACAGGUGUACAUUACUCAGUAUAUUGCAGCAGGGGAAUGAUUUCAAUGUUCAAGGAUCUUUUGAUGUCAAAGUUAUGAUAAAUUUUGCCUUGUAGUCAUGACAUAUUACAGGAAUUCAGAGUCAUUUAAGGACAUGGGCAAAGCCAAAUUGAAUACAUUUCUUCCACCAGCUAAACAAAUACCUUACUGUCUUUACAAUACGAGUGUUAUAGAGAUUAAAUACUUGCCUAUGUGGUUUCACAGAACUUAAACUGUAACAGUGUAUUUAAUAUCUAGACAAGCCAAUGUUCCACAUAUCAUAUACCAACCAAUGAGUAAAAGGCAAUACUCAAAAGCUUUAUGUGUAAUAGCAUUUUUUCAGCGUAUAUAUAUAUUUGCUACAAGUAAAAGUCUAACUAUAUGAAAGUUUCGUCAACAUGUAUUUACAAGGUUUUUUUUUUUGGGAUAGCAAUUUGAAGUGAUCCCAGUAUAUCUCUAAUUAACUGCAUUGUGGCUAAGGGUGUAAAUUUUUUAGUAGGAACAUACUAGGUAACUUUAAAUGGUUAACUGCUAGCUUAAUACGAAAAUAUUUACCAUAAAAUAAACAAUCAAACGUGCAACGGACGAUAUGGGAGUGCCUUUCACCAAUAGAGAGCCAAUCACAUAUUCAUGUCAAGCAAUUAUGGAAUAACGGAAAAGAAGCGACUUGAGGGACGACUUGAGGCGGGAGACAAGUGCACGUCUCCUUCAUUCCACCGCACAUGACAAAAGAAACAGACCCUAACUUGUCUUGCACGGUGGACACCCGCUAACCUUGAUGCUAUGGUCUCCGAAGACUAUUCUAAUGUCUACCGAAUAGCGACCUGAUAUUGUGCAAAGUUCUAACCCAACAAGAGGUUUAAAGAAGACUCGACUCGACGGUGGCCCUUUCCCCAGUCCGGCCCCUUACGUCCGUCCUUACAUAAUUUGGUAGUAAUUUUAAACUUGGUUAGAAAUAAAUGUAAUGAGUUUUUUUCAAUGUGGUGAAACUUUUAAAGUAAUGACGACUGGAUAUGAAAGUGUUGAAAAUAUGCUUGAAUUUUCUAAGAAGCAAUGACGAAACCAAAUUAAUGAGAAAAACUUGUAUUUAGAAUGGGUAUGUAAAAAACAACCACUUAUGUUUAAUUUGCAUUUUGGCAGAGAGUAUAUAUAUAUAAAGAAAAACUACUAUUCUGAUACUUUAUUGGAACAAGUAUUUGUCCGAUAAAAAAGGUGAUAGGGGUUAAAAGAAUAGUUCAUAAAAUAUUUUUCAAAUAGUAGCAGAUCAAACAAAUAUAGCUUGCAAAAAAUUGUUUUUUCAUGAUAUACUAAACUAGUUCAUCUACUUUUUUAAUAAAAAUUUGUGCAAUCAUAUCAUCUGUGCGUCUUCUAGGGGUUUCAAAUUAUUUUCGUUGAAGUGAUAUCAUUCUUCCAUAAUGCUCGGAUAAUGAAUUGAUUGCCCAAAAAAUUUUUUUGAUUUCUUCCACAGGAUUACAUAGUUUCCCAGCUUGCAAUGACUUGAAAUUCAAAAGGAGUUAACAAGCAACGUCAUGAAUCCAAAUCGAAGGAUAUAAUAAAUUGGGCAAAUUACAUUUUACCCCCUUGUGGUUUACCCUUUUUUUAUAUAACCCUCCUAUGGUUUCAAAAGCUAUACAUAACCCCCUCAUGGUUUGGAUUAAAGUGUCAAAGUGACGGAAAUAGUCACUCGUAACGGAACUUCUAAAAAUGUCAAAAUUACCCUUAUAAAUACAUGACACAUUAGCCCCGUAUGCUUUUUAUAUUUUACCAUAUAACUCCAUUAUGGUUUAAUACUUUACCAUAUAACUCCCUUAUGAUUUUCAAAAUAUACACAUAAUCCCCCUUGGUUAAUAAAUAAUUUUUAACUUUACAUAAGGGUAAUUUUGACAUUUUAAGUGACACCGUUACGAAUAAUAAUUUCCGUUACUUUGACACUUUAAUCCAAACCAUAAGGGGGUUAUGUAUAACUUUUGAAACUACUGGGGGGUUAUGUGAAAAAACGCUAAACCACAAGGGGGUAAAGUGGAAUUUACCCUAAUAAAUUGGAAGAGAAGAAGUCUAGAGCUCACUUUCAGGGGAGACUUCAGAGACGACUAGAGGUAAGAUAAUUGAGCUGCAUCUUCCCCGAUAUUGACAUUAUAUUCUCCGAAGACUAUUCUGCUAAAUUGAGCCAAUCCUGACCUGGUAAUGCAAAAAGUGAUCAAGAGACUACUUAAUAAUUUGAAGCACUAAUGUUCUACCCACCUUGGGUACACAAAUAAUUUGAAAGCCGUUUAAAUUGUAAUUGACAUAUUUUGCGAGAAUGAUAGACAUCUAUGCUAUUUAGUCAUAGCAGCCUCUUUCUCGAUUUGAUGCAUAGACCCGAUGCAGAACACAUUAUUUUGGGAGGGAAAAUUUGAUUUCAUAUGAACUAGAUGGAAUAAUAAAAAGAUCUUGCAAAGUUUUGUAGAGGAGCAAAUAUUUUAACUCAAAAAAAAAAUACUUUGAAAACUUUAAGACAUUUAAGGGACGAAAAUGAAAUUUUCUGAAUCUAACUUGGGACGAUGACUCCUAUCUAGUCUUCUCUCCCAAACCCCUCUAGACCGGUCUGCCGUAAUUUGAUAGUUAAUAAGUAGGAAAGAGAGAAACACAACAUUGAUAUUGACUGGUGGGUAUUUUUCUGCCAUAGAUGUUAUCAUAGCUAGAGACCACCACAUUAAUUGCUAUUCCCCACCUCCAUGUGUGUGUUUUUUUGUCAUGAAGACUUCCACUGAUACGCUCCUCGAUCCACACGUUCGAGACACGUAGCACGUUUGCCCAAGGAUCUAGCGAGGAUGUCCAACGCUUGGAAUUCCGGGAUCUAGAACCAAACGGACGACACGAUUUGAUUCAAGACGGUAGGACGACGACUCCAAUGAAGGUGGAUACUCCACGGGAUAGGUCGGUAGAACAAUCUAGGACGAGACGCAAGACUGCUCAAAACCCUUGCCAAAGCAAGUAAAGGGGUCGAAUCUCUCUCUCAAGAAGAAUCGAAAAUAUGCCAAACUUUAUUGAUAAAACGUCUACCCUUAAACCUUACAAAGCAAGCCUAUUUAUAGGCUAAAGUGACUAAAACCCUAAAGGCUAGGAAAAGGAAAAAGUCGGCCCAUGUUUUUGGAACAAGAUGGGCCGGCCCAUGCUCUUACUUAAUCAUUAACUAAUUGCUAACUAAUUGAUGGGGCCUAAGGCCUUAUUCUCUUGGUGGCCCGCUUGACUCUUCGUGGACUUGGAUCAUGGUGUAAAUGACUCGAUUGUCUCACUCCAAGCCCUCAAUAUCUUAGUGAACUCCAUGUUGGUCUUGAACGUUCCUUGAAUUGCUUAGCCCGUGCACAUGUGACUGGGCCCAAUGGUACUUGGACUGGGUCAUUGGUGGGCCAAGGUCCGUGCACACAUCAGUCCCCUCCUCUUAAGAAGGAUUUGUCCUCAAAUCUAGAUGGAGAUGGAAGAUACUAACAAGAGUUAGUAGUAUGACAACGCGAAUCGAUAGUGCGUUUGGAAGUCAGCCACGUUGGGAACAAAUGAAAGUUCACGAGCCAAGUUAAAUGUCGUUUGGUCAGCUUCAUUAGGCUCUCAAACAAGGACAUGCGCCAAGGUAGGAAAGAGCCUGUGUAAGGCUCGCGAAACUUCCAGGUAGCAAUCCAGAGCGCUCUAAUCAUCCUUCGGCCAUGCAUUGGUAUAGUGUCACCAUUCUCAUGCACAAGAUAAGGAUCUUCAGAAUGAUGCUCAUGGGAGCAAGAGAAAUUCCAAAUCGGGUUUUUCAAGGUGGUAUGACUCGUCCCUGGUUGUUGCUGAUUUGGCACAACUUGCCUAUUUGGAGGUGAAACAUUGAACCAAUCAGGUUGCACUUCCCUAGAAGUACGAACCAGUGAUGUAAGACCAACGUUCGGAUCUUUAUUGACACAUUUGUGGGUAUCACCCGACAAAAGUGGCAGCAAUGAAGUGAGACGCACUCCAUACGAAUCAUAUGAAUUUGUGCAAGUUGGAGUUGGUGAAGUAAGCUCGUGGUGACCAGCUUUUGGACAUGUGAAGAAGCCCGAACGUGCUCCACUUUCAGCAGGAAUAAGCACGAAAUCGGGUUGCAAGUUCUUAACCAUAGUUGGAAAAUUUUGGACAGCGUUACAACCUACAAAAACAAAAUAACCUUCAACUUGAAGCAAUUCGGAAAUCGGGUAAAGAACUAAUGGUACAUUAUCAACUAGAUGGUAAGAAGGUGUAGAACAAGAUGGAAAUGAGAAAACUCCCUUUGACACUUCAAUAUUCCUUCUACCAAUUGAUUCAACUUGAGAUGCCAGUGCUAGUCCUUUACACUUCUCUUUAACACCUACAUGAGAGCAACAAGAGUUAGUGCUAGUAUCAUGCUCAAAAUAAGGCAAAGGUGAGGAAUGAACCAUAGGUAGAGAACAAGCAGUAGAAUCUGAAAUUUCCCUUUUAAGACGAGCUCGAAUCAAUCCUCCAAUGGUGUGGACAGGUUUGAGUUGACAUGGUUCCAUGAAUUGAGACCAAAGAGAUUUAGCUCCUAGAAGACAAACUCCAUGGAAACUCGCAAAGUGUCCAAGUGACGUGGGAAUGGAACAUGCCAUGACCAACUCUACUUGACUUUGUUUAAUCUGCACAAAAGAAGAGGUACUAAACAAAACACAUGUUAGCUUGUUAGCAAACAAAACGUCCACACUUUCAACUUUUGCGAACAUGGCCAACUCCUCCUUUUUACUCAUCAAUAAGGCCAAACUAUUCUUGCCCUUUCCUACUCCAUUUGUCUCGGACCAUUGUCCAUUCAUUGCACUUGAGUUCGGAUUAUGUUCAUGGCUUAGCUGCAUCUCAUUCAUAGAGGGCUCUUCAAUCGACGAGGGACUAGGAUGAAUAUUUCCUUUGUUACCACCGGUCGACACAUGAUUAAGUUGCUCAAAGUGGGAAUCCCAUACUUGGCUAAGUCUUUCCAUCAUAGAAUUAACCCAUGCUUUAGUUUGACUUCGGAAUUCAUCCUUUGCUUCACGAAGCUUUGACUCAAUUCGAAAAUUCUCGAGCUCCUCGUCUUGAUUGUCAAGACGCUUCUUAGAUGAACCUUGUUUGCAUGAAGUUGACCUUGAUUUAGAUGCUCUACGCAAACUGCUUUGCUCCUUCUCAUACUCAUCACAAUCUUGUUUAUACCUUUCAUAUACACACAAAACACGGUGGCGUUGCAUCUCCUCCCGGAGUGAAUGAUACCCAUGUUGUGAACUGGAUUGCAUGGAACUAGAGUACUUGUGAGUAGGCCUCUUGAGACCCCUCCUCCUGAGAGGCCCAUUCUCCAAGAAUUCUUGGUUGUAUGGGUAAGACGCAACUUCUCUAGGCAUGAGUGUGUGACCUGCCAAAAUGGUAAGCAAAGAAAAGGAGAUGCCUCACGUCACACAAGCUCACGUGUAUGUGCUCAUCCCUCGUGUAUCUCUCGCAGUGUUCUAAUGGACUUACCAAAUACCUUUACCUGUUGGAUUAGGUAGUUGAGAAAUGCUGCUCAAAUCCAACAACCGUUACCAACCUUUCCACAAGUGUAACCACAAGAACGUAGGAGAAAAUGUAGGAAAGUGUUCCUAAAAUCUAGGAGAAAAUAUAGGAGCAAAUGUAGGAGAAAAUGUAGGAAAGUUUCCUAAAAUGGGGAAGAGAAUAUAGGAGAGUUUCCUAAAGUGGAUGAGAGAAUAUAGGAAAUGACCUAAAAAUGGAUGAGAAAAUUUUAAGUGAGUUUCCUAGAAAUGGAUGCGAGAGUUUAGGAAAAUUUCCUAAAAAAUGGAUGAGAGAAUUUAGGAAAGUUUCCAAAAAAUGGAUGAGAGAAUUUAGGAAAGUUUCCAAAAAAAAAAAUGGAUGAGAGAGUUUAGGAAAAUUUCCUAAAAAUGGAUGAGAGAAUUUAAGAAAGUUUCCAAAAAAAAAAUGGAUGAGAAAAUUUAGGAAAGUUUCCUAAAAAAUAGAUAAGAGAUUUUAGGAAAGUUUCCAAAAAAAUGGAUGAGAGAGUUUAGGAAAAUUUCCUAAAAAUGGAUGAGAGAAUUUAGGAAAGUUUCCAAAAAAAUAGGUGAGAGACUUUAGGAAAGUUUCCUAAAAAGAUAGGAGGGAGAGUGUCCAAGUGAGUACAAAGAGUUAUCCAAGUACUUUACUUAGUUUCCUAAUUGAUUUUGGAAACAAGUUAGUUUUUGGAAACCUUUUGAAAAUCCUUUUCCUCUUGAACAACUUUUGGUAACCUUCUUGAAACAACUUUUGGUAAUCUUCUUGAAACAACUUUUGGUAACCUUCCUGAAACAACCUUUGGUAAUCUUCUUGAAAUAACUUUUGGUAACGUCCAAAUUCUACUCCAAGAAAGAUUGCACAAAUCAGAUUUGGUUCCCUAUUCAAAACAAUUCGGUUGCCCCUUUCUUUCCUUUCCUUUUUUUUUUCUCUUGCCAACCGAUUCCUCUUUUCUUUCCUUUUUUUUUCGUUUUCGUUUUUGUUUUCUUUUUUUUUUCUUGACUACAACUAUCAACCACGACACAAAACAAGGAAAUCCACAAAUAAUAACUACCAAAAACUCCAAGAUAUUUCAAGAACUUCUCAAAGAAGUUGUCAGGAACUUCAGAAAUUUCAAGAUUAUGGUCAAGAAUUCAAGAAGCUCAAGAUUAUUGUAAGUUCUCUUCAAGAUUCACAAAAUUCCAACAAGUUUUGCCAAAAUCCAGAUUUGAAAACCAAGUAAACAAGUUGGAUAACACAAACAACAAGGCUGGACAGAUUUGUAUUCGGAUGAACAGUACGAUGAACAGUGUCGGUGAACAGUACGAUGAACAGUAACGGUGAACAGUGUCGACUGAACAGUACGAUGAACAGUACCGGUGAACAGUGAUUUUUUUUUUUUUUUUUAACAAGGCAGCGGACAAAACACAAAGACCCUACGACACAACUACGAAAAAAUACGGAUAUAACGAAAGAUACCUCUACCAAAGCUCUGAAGCCAACUGAUACGUUCCUCGAUCAACACGUUUCGAGACACGUAGCACGUUUGCCCAAGGAUCUAGCGAGGAUGUCCAACGCUUGGAAUUGCGGGAUCUAGAACCAAACGGAUGACACGAUUUGAUUCCAGACGGUAGGACGACGACUCCAAUGAAGGUGGAUACUCCACGGGAUAGGUCGGUAGAACAAUCUAGGACGAGACGCAAGACUGCUCAAAACCCUUGCCAAAGCAAGUAAAGGGGGGUCGAAUCUCUCUCUCAAGAAGAAUCGAAAAAUAUGCAAAACUUUAUUGAUAAAACGUCUACCCUUAAACCUUACAAAGCAAGCCUAUUUAUAGGCUAAAGUGACUAAAACCCUAAAGGCUAGGAAAAGGAAAAAGUCGGCCCAUGUUUUUGGAACAAGAUGGGCCGCCCCAUGCUCUUACUUAAUCAUUAACUAAUUGCUAACUAAUUGAUGGGGCCUAAGGCCUUAUUCUCUUGGUGGCCCGCUUGACUCUUCGUGGACUUGGAUCAUGGUGUAAAUGACUCGAUUGUCUCUCUCCAAGCCCUCAAUAUCUUAGUGAACUCCAUGUUGGUCUUGAACGUUCCUUGAAUUGCUUAGCCCAUGCACGUGUGACUGGGCCCAAUGGUACUUGAACUGGGUCAUUGGUGGGCCAAGGUCCGUGCACACAUCAUCCACGCUCGUCUUCAGUAUAUAUGAUUUUGCUGCUGACACCAAUUCAUGUGAGUUACGGUCAAAAAAAUCUCAACUUGAUCAAUAAGCAAGGCCAUGGGCAAAAUUCACUACCUUUUCUUGAUAAAUUUUAGCAUAGUUUCGUUAGCCAUGAUGGCUGCCGGCAACAGUAAUGUUACGUCGGAUCAAUUAGCGCUUCUUGCGCUAAGAGAUCGCAUGAUCAAUUCAGAGCCUCGAGAAAUCUUGGCAAAAAACUGGUCCAUUACCUCCUCUGUUUGUGAUUGGAUAGUGGUCACCUGCGGCUCUCGACACCGCCGAGUGACUGCCUUGAAUAUCUCAAACAUGAACCUUACUGGUACCUUACCUCCUCAACUUGGGAACCUGUUCUUUCUGGGUUCCCUUAACAUUAGCGGGAACAAUUUCCAUGGAGAAUUACCCUGAGUUAGUUCAGUUGCGCAGAUUGAGAUACCUUGAUUUUGGGAUCAACAAUCUCGGUGGAGAGCUUCCCUCCUGGUUUGGUUUAUUACACAAACUCCAAUACCUGUCUCUCAGAAACAAUAGCUUUGCGGGUUCUAUCCCGCCUUCCAUCUCUAACAUGUCAAACUUGGAGACGCUAUGGCUGUCUUUCAAUUUCAUUGAGGGGACCGUUCCAACAGAAUUUCAGAAUCUUCAUAAUUUGAAGAAUUUGAUUAUUGAGUAUAAUCAGCUUUCUCGUCCUUUGCCACCCCAUGCAUUCAAUAUUUCCUCGCUGGAAAGCAUUUCCUUCAUGAAUAACAGCCUAUCUGGCAUUCUUCCGGACAACAUCUGUUAGCGCCUUCAGAAACUUACAUGGCUUAAUCUAGCAUAUAACAAUUUGAUCGGUCCAAUACCUUCAACAGUGUCUCAGUGUUCACUGCUUCGGUAUCUUGCCUUGUCUGAGAACCAUUUAAGUGGAUCGAUACCCAUGGGAAUUGGGAACUUGACAAUGCUGGAGAAACUACACCUGGAGAGCAACAAUUUAACAGGUAAAAUGUGGUAGUGAUCUGCUUUUAUUCCUAUUUUUUAAGCAUAGAUUAAGCUUAUGCUUCUGUUCUUGUAUGUGGUUGUCACGCCCCGAGCCCGCACGUGCCCGUCACAUGACAUCUGCCGUACUCUCAAGUCUCACUCAAGAAUACAAGACUAUAUUAACUAAUUUAACUUGAACAGUACUAAAUAAUUUAACUAAAUAAAGUGCGGUACGAAUUACAUAUAAAAGGAAGUCUACGAAUAUUCAAAGCGUUCGUACAUUUAUUCUCCAAUUGAAACAGCGGAAACAAGAGUAAAUAAGACUAACACUAGAAGUAACUAGCCUGCCAACUUCUAUGCACCUAAACUAAUAAAAGUCAUCCUCAGGGUCUUCUAUAUAAACCAAUUCAUACUCUUCCGAAUCUGCAAAAAUGGUAAGAAGUGGGUUGAGCGACACAUCGCUCAGUAGGUAAUAUUUACCCCUCUGUUGGAUCAUGCACUCUUAAUUUUAUAGGUACACAAAUGUUUGAAAGUAACGUUAUUUAUAAAGCAAUCAGUAGUAAAGAAUGACAAGCAAUUUAAAAGCAUCUCGUUGAUAGUUGUACAUGAGAAAUCGUAAGGUCAUAAAUCAUUUCGUCUCAAGUCACAAACCUCUCCAUAACCAUUCGCAAAUCAACUCAUAUCAGUUCAUAAGUCUCAUUUCAACUCAGUUCAUAAAUCAUUCCAUCAGAUCAGCUCAUAACAAGUACAUGCAAUGACCGGCUACUGAGUACUCAGCCUAGAGAUUAGAUCCCUUCUAGGUGGGCGACCAAUAGAUUUCAUGACUAUCGAUUGAUCUCAUUUCAUUCUUGGGUCAAUCGGUCGGACUUUAUAUCAGGCUACCAUGACCUUGCCAAUCGGCCGGACUUUAUACCAAGCUACCAUGGCUUUGUCAAUCGGCCGGACUCUAUACUACGCUACCAUGACCUUACCAAUCGGCCGGACUUCAUACCAGACUACCAUGGCGAUUAGACAGGACUAUAGCCCCUACCGUCUAUUCCAUGACUGCUCUGAGCCUUACUUGUCAAAAUUCAUUUCGUAUAUCACAUACAUAAUUCUUUGCUUUCAUAAAAGAUUCAACUCAUUUUGUAUAUAAGAACAUAUCAAAAUAUUUCAAAUAGGUCACAUGGUCCAUUUUUAUAUAGUAAAAUAUAGCUUUCAUAAAUAUCCAAGUAAAGCAUUUAAUCAAACACAUUUCGAGUCAACACAACAAAAUAGGGUUGAAAACAAGAAUUUCAUUUGUACAUUUGAAAUCUCAGAAGGAUAAGUACCACCUAUCUCUGUUUGGCGGCUCGAGUGGAACUACUUUAGGUCCUUAUAUCGUACCUAUCAAAAGUAUAGGUUCCCUAAUUAGUUGUUACUUCCUAUAGAUGCAUAAAUAUACACCUCUAAGUAAGUACAGCAUUCAUAUCUAAACCAUUAUAUGGACCCUAAUAGUAUUUCCCCCAAAUUGGACGAUUUUUAUUUUUGGAAAGUUUCCUAAUUUGAAGAGUUUCUAUUUUUAGAAAGUUUCUUAAUUUGGAAAGUGCUCAUUUUGUAAAGUUUCCUAAUUUAACAGAAAAUAAUUAUUCACAAUCCUGGUUAUUAUCCUCACUACUAUCUUACUAUAUUUAUUUAUAAUUUAUGAUUAUCCGUUAUUAUUAUUACCAUCCCCGUCAUCGCUAAUUUAUUUUAUUAUCACUUAUAUAUAUAUAUUAGAUAGUCACUAUUACCUUCCCCUUUAUUUCCACUUUUAGGCGUGUGUAGGUGUUAUUAUUAUUUGUAUAUAUAUCUACCCAUACACUUAUACAUACUGACUUUCUAUAAUUGUUUUAGUUUAUUCCACUCGUAAUUAUAUCUUAUUUUUUGUUUAUAUUCUUCAUUUAUUUCCCCCACGUCCACAUUAUUGUUAUUCUCACUAUCAUUGUUUUAUUAAUUAUUAUUUACUAUUACUACUACCACUAGUAUUAUUAUUAUAUUUAUCCUCAUAUAUAUAUAUAUAUAUAUAUUUUAUUAUAUAUAUUUAUUAUUAUUAUUAUUAUUAUUAUUAUUAUUUUAAGCAUUUCGUUUAGCAAUUUAGCACUUACCUUACCUUGUUUGAUGUGGCUUAAGACGGCUAGAUUAAGAUGUUUUAGAUUUCCAUUUAAGUAUCUUAUACGUAAUUAACUAAUGAUAGUUAAUGAGAAAAUUCAACAUUGAUAUUGGCUGGUGGGUAUUUUUCUAAUAUUGAUGUUAUCAUAGCUAAAGACCACCGCAUUAAUUGCCGGUCCCCACCUCCGUGUGUGUGUUUUUGUGCCAUGAAGACUUCCACGCUCGUCUUCAGUAUAUAUGAUUUUGCUGCUGACACCAAUUCAUGUGAGUUUCGGUCAAAAAAAUCUCAACUUGAUCAAUGAGCAAGGCCAUGGGCAAAAUUCACUACCUUUCCUUGAUAAAUUUUAGCAUAGUUUCGUUAGCCAUGAUGGCUGCCGGCAACAGUAAUGUUACGUCGGAUCAAUUAGCGCUUCUUGCGCUAAGAGAUCGCAUGAUCAAUUCAGAGCCUCGAGAAAUAUUGGCAAAAAACUGGUCCAUUACCUCCCCUGUUUGCGAUUGGAUAGGGGUCACCUGCGGCUCUCGACACCGCGGAGUGACUGCCUUGAAUAUCUCAAACAUGAACCUUACCGGUACCUUACCUCCUCAACUUGGGAAUCUGUCCUUUCUUGUUUCCCUUGAUAUUAGCAAAAACUAUUUCCACGGAGAACUACCUCGCGAGUUAGCUCACUGGCGCCGACUAAGAUACCUUGAUUUCGGGUUCAACAAUGUCGGUGGAGAGCUUCCCUCCUGGUUUGGCUAUUUGCAUAAACUCCGAUACCUGUCCCUCAGAGAAAAUAGCUUUACGGGUUCUAUCCCGCCUUCCAUCUCUAACAUGUCAAACUUGGAGAUGCUAUGGCUGUCUUAUAAUUCCAUUGAGGGGAACGUUCCGAUAGUAUUUCAGGAACUUCAUAAUUUGAAGCAUUUGAUUAUUGAGCAUAAUCAGCUUUCGGGUCCUUUGCCUCUCCACACUUUCAAUAUUUCCUGACAGGAAAGCAUUUCUUUCAAUAAUAACAGCCUAUUUGGCAUACUUCCAGACAACAUCUGUGACGGCCUUCAGAAACUUACUUUUCUUGGUCUAACAGGUAAUAGUUUGACUGGUCAAAUACCUUCAACACUGUCCCGGUGUUCACUGCUUCAGGUGCUAUCCUUGUCAGUGAAUUAUUUCACUGGACCCAUACCCAAGGAAAUAGGAAACUUGACAAAGCUGGAAAAGCUAUACUUGGGGACCAACAACUUAAGAGGUAGAAAGUAGUAGUGAACAAUUUUUCUUUUUAUUUUAUAAACUCAUAUAGGUAUCAAUGUCCAUUUUUUUUCCCUUGUGUUGAGCUCACACUUCAUUUCUUCGGUUCUUCUAUAUGGACGUGUUAGUGAAACAGAAAAACACUACAGCCAUUUACCUUUUUUUUUUUUGGAUAGAAGGUUCUUUGUGAUUCAUGUUUCAAAAGACUUAAAUAUGCAAAUGAAAAGCUUUCAGUUUUAGGGGUACUCGACUUGUUAUAGGCAUCCUGUUCUUGUGUUUCUAAAAUUUUGAAUAAUCUUGACACCAAAAGGUGCAGGAAACACGACCAUUUCCAAUUGAUAAAAUUUGGAAAGUUCAAAAGUCUCAUCAUUGCUGUCGCUAUAUAUUUCCAUUCCAAGUCAAACCAAUCUCAUGAGAGUUGCAAUUUUGCAGGUGCAAUUUCAACUGAAUUAUGGAAUUUAACCAUGUUGAUGAAUUUAGAUUUUGGCGACAACAAAUUGACAGGUAUGCCAAAGUUGCUAAUUACAAGGUCUUAAUUGCGUAGACCAACAUUAAAACUUGGCAUCAGUUUGAUCAGUAGGAUACUUGGGGCCUAUGUUCGGUUAUUUGACAAUUUGACAUCAACUUUUCCUUUUAACGGAUUUUUUCAAACUUUAAAUUCUAGAUAGUGCCAAUGGAAAGUUGCCAAUGAUAUGCUAACACAAAAGUGCUUUACCAUAUUACAGGUGGAAUACCUGAAAGCAUUGGGAAUCUUCACACAUUAGAGACUCUUGCUUUAUUCAACAAUUCAUUAUCAGGUUCCAUACCAGCUGCAAUUUUUAACAUUUCAUCUCUCCAAUAUAUUGGACUCCACCAGAACAAAUUCUCAGGAACGAUUCCUUUGACAGUGAGUAAUAAGUUAAGCAAUUUGGAGUCUCUUUUUCUUUAUCGGAAUGACUUGACUGGUGUUAUACCCAACUCCAUCUCAAAUGCUUCUAAGCUAGUUUUUUUGAUACUUUACAAUAACGAGCUCACAGGUUCAAUCCCCACCUCUUUAGGAAGUUUAAGAAAUCUAAAAAUUCUAAACUUGGUUUUCAACAGGCUAUCAAGUGAAUCCUCAGAAUUGAGCUUUUUCACUUUCUUGACGGCUUGCAGAUCCUUGAGAUAUUUAACAUUGAAUAAUAAUCCUCUAAAUGGUUUUCUACCAGCUUCCAUUUCUAACUAUUCGACUUCACUUGAAGGGAUAAGUGCAGUCACUUGUAAAAUCAAAGGAAACAUCCCAGCUGGAAUCAACAAUUUGAGCAGUUUACUAGUUCUAGAUUUUUCAGAUAAUGAAUUGAUUGGAUCUGUCCCAAGAACUAUGCAUAGUCUGGCAAAUCUUCAAGUGCUGUACUUGAACUCGAAUCAAAUAAGAGAUGUCUUGGACAUUUUCUGUGGAUUACAUAGUUUGGGGUUGUUAAGCUUGAGCCAAAAUCAAUUCUUUGGUAGUAUUCCAGAAUGCUUAGGAAAUAUGACAAAUUUUAGACAGAUUUUUCUAGACUCCAACAGGUUGACUUCCAUGAUACCUGCUAACCUAUUGAGCAUGAAAGAUCUCCAAAUUCUCAACCUUUCAUCAAAUUUCUUAAGUGGAUCGCUACCUUUAGACAUCGGGAACCUCAAAGCAGCAUAUAGUUUAGAUAUCUCGUUCAAUCAAUUAUCAGACAAAAUCCCUACAACCAUUGGAGAGCUACAAGCUUUACAGAACCUUUCAUUGGCGAGAAAUAAUUUGCAGGGUUCUAUACCAGAAUCAUUUAGCUAUAUGGUAUUUUGGAAUUCUUGGACCUUUCACAUAAUAAUCUCUCUGGUGUGAUACCCAAGUCAAUGGAGGCACUCAAAUCUCUUAAGGAAUGCAAUGUUUCUUUUAAUAGAUUAAGUGGAGAAAUUCCUCGAGAUGGUCCCUUCAGAAACUUUACAGGUUAAUUGUUCAUGAACAAUGAAGGACUCUCUGGUGACCUAAGGCUUAGUGUUCCACCAUGUCAGAGUAAUUCAAUUAGAAGAUCGAGCAAAAGAAAGGUGCUUCUACUUGUCAUUAGUCUGUCAGGGAUGGCAGCAAUACUGAUAAUAGCAAUUGGAGCAUUAUUGAAUCUAAAGUGGCUAAAGAAACCAAAGAGUUCUGGUGGAACAGAGUUGAUGUUAGCGGCAAAAUAUGAAAGAUUUUCAUACUAUGACCUUUUGCACUCAACCGAUAACUACAAUGAAAGCAAUUUGCCUGGAGAAGGGAGCUAUUGUUCUGUUUACAAAGGGAUCCUAAGUGAUGGCACUGUUGUGGCUAUCAAGGUAUUCAACUUGCUAGUGGAAGGUUCAUUAAAAAGUUUUGUUAGAGAAUGUGAGGUUCUAAAGAGUUUAUGCCAUCGAAAUCUUACAAAAGUGCUCGGCAGCUGCUGUAACCUUGAUUUUAAAGCCUUGGUACUCAAAUACAUGCCCAAUGGGAAUCUUGAGAAGUGUUCGUACUCUCACAACCAUUUUUUAGAUAUGUUCCAAAGAAUAAACAUAAUGAUUGACGUUGCUUAUGCAUUCGAAUAUCUCCAUUAUGGUUAUGAUACUCCUGUGGUACAUUGUGACUUGAAACCCAGUAAUAUCUUGCUUGAUGAAGAUAUGGCUGCCCAUGUAAGUGACUUUGGUAUAACAAAAAUGUUUGGUGAAGGAGAAAGUAUUUUGCAUACCAACACCCUUGCAACACUGGGAUACAUUGCGCCAGGUUAAGCAUUUAAACUUUUGCUGUCUACAUUUCCUUUACUUCUACGAUGUUGUUCAUCUGUUGUUAAUCUUUUAACUGAUUCUAUUAUUCUGACUAUUGUAAUCUUGUGCCAGAGUAUGGAUCAGAGGGGAUAGUUUCGACAAGAAUUGAUGUAUACAGCUUUGGAAUAGUUUUGAUGGAAGUUUUUUCAAGGAUGAGGCCUAGUGAUGAAAUGUUUUUGGGAGAUUUAAGCCUUAAAAGUUGGAUAGAAGAUUCUCUUCCUGAUGCACUUCAGGUCGUUGAUGCAAACUUAAUAAGGCCAGAGGAUGAGCAUUUCACUCACAAGCUGAAGUGUGUUUUAUUGAUCAUGAAUUUGGCUUUGAACUGCUGUAGAGAAUCUCCAAGAGAACGGAUGAACAUGAAAGAUGUUUUAGCAGAACUACUAAAGAUCAAGAACCAAUUUCAAUUUCUGAUGAUAGUAAGUAUUUAUCCUUUUUGUGCAAAUUUUACUUCUCAAUGUUGAAAGUUAUGUUUCCUUAUUCAAUUGAGCUUAUAACCUGCUAUUUUUUGCAGCAUACCGUUAGGUCUUGAUCGUAUCAGAAACAAUGCUUUGGCCAAUGCAAACGGAUAUUGCUGUAUAAUUUGUAAGCUUGAUUUAUUUUGAAGGCCAGAGAGAGAUGUACAUUAUUCCCUUGGUGUCAUCUACAUCACAUUUGGACUUUCAGUUAUAAGGAACAUUGCAUCUAGGGUUUUACUUUGCUUUUCUUUUUUUUCCUUUAAUUCUGACUAAGUUCUUGGCUACCUUUUACUUUAAAUAAUCUAGUGACAAAAAGUAGAAAAUUCACAAUUCCCUGCCAUAAAAAUAGAAUAGCAAAAGCAUACCAUUCACUUUCAAAGGAGACUUCAGGGACGACUAGUCUAGGUCUGGGUUUGUUUCUUCUCCAUCCACAUAUAUAAUAAUGGAAACUGGAAUUAAAGUCAAUGAAGGAAUAAAGCAAGACUAAUGGUGGCCCCUUCCCAAUCAGCGUCGCAAGCUCCAUGUCGUCCAUGAUUUGAUAGUCCUUGUUUGGAACCUACUUGGAAAAUAAAUCAAUGUUACAACCUUUCUCCAUUGAUUUGGUUUUAUUAUUCCUGGAAUGUGUUAUUAGUGGACUUCCAUGCUCGUUUCUAUCUGUAUAUAUCGUUUUCCAGUUCAUCCCAAUUCUUAAUUAGUGAGUGCCCCGGUGAGUGUGGAAAUCUGAAAUUGAACCAUAAGCAUGGCCAGGGACAAAAUCUACUACUUCUUCAUGCUUAUCAUGCUUACUAUGGAUCAAUCAGUGACAUGAUCACUUCAGAACCUCAAGAAUUCUUGGCAAAAAAUUGGUCAAUUACCUCCUCUAUUUGUGAAUUGCUUCGUCAGUUGGCUCACUUGCGUAGAUUGAGAUACCUUAAUUUGGAAUCAACAAUUUUGGUGGACAACUUCGCUCCUGGUUUGGUUCCUUAUAGAAACUCCAAUACCCGUCUCUCAGAAACAAUUGCUUUACGGGUUCUCUCCCACCUUCCAUCUCUAACAUGUCAAACUUGAAGACGUUAUGGCUGUCCUUCAAUUCCAUUGAGGGAACAAUUCCAACAGAAUUUCAGAAUCUUCAUAGUUUGAAGAAUUUACAUAUUCAGCAUAAUCGGCUGUCUGGUCCUCUGCCACUCCACACUUUCAAUAUCUCCUCACUGGAAAACAUUUCUUUUAUUGAAUUAGGGUAUACCAAAAUUUACUUUAAGAUAUGUAAUAGGGAUGUAAAUAGUUAUAUUUAUAUUGUAUAGUUAUAUUUUUUUCUGCAUGAGCGACAUAUUGGAGCAUCUUUUCAUAACGUGCAACAUGGGUGGUUUGUGAUAUUAUAAUAUAUAUCAAAUAUAUUACAUGAUCUAUUUGCAUAUAACAAAAUAAAACUUGCUUUUAAGGAAAUUUCACAUUUAAUAUUCAAAAAUUCAAAGAGGUGAGUACCAUCGAAAAACUUAAUUUGGUCCUUUAAAGAAGCAAGUUGUUCUAAUUUUGAUCAUUUAUCAUAUUUUGUUAAGGAAAAAUCAUUCAAACGUUCCUCACAUUUUAUAAAAUGAUUUUUUUCGUCCCUCACUUUUAAAAGUAUAAUUUUACGUUCUCAAACAACGUGUACUAUUUAUAGUGGGAAGUAAGAUUUCCGAACAACUCCUAAUAUUCAUCAUAUGUACAAUAGCACAUUUUUUAAAAACAAAAGCUAUAGUAAUAUCUUAAAAAAUGCCAAAAAGAACUUAUUAAGAACUAAAAACACUUGAAAAGAAUACACUAACAUUCCUUUACAUUACCACCUUUUUUCUUCUCACUUUCUCCUUUCCUCUUUCCUUCGCACCAUGCCACUACCUCUCUCCUUUCCCUUCGCCCCUCUCUUCCCCCCCUCCCCACCCAAAUCGCCUCCCUCCACUAUACUUCUCGACUCAUUUCUCUUUUUCCUUCUCAACACCCACUAUUCCUCUAACCUUUAUGCUUUCCCACCUUCACCCACCAGCGCACCAAUUCCCCUCCUCUCUUUUGUUCCCUUUCCCUUUCUUUUCUUCAUCACUCUUGGAAUACCCAAUCCAUCUUGUUUUCUGAAAAUGUAACAUGCAUGAUAUAUAGAUAUUAAACGUGCCUCUAAAAAUAAUUAAUCUAACGAGCUCAUACAUUGAUUUCCUAAGUGCUCUGACAUCUUAAAGAUAGCAAUUAUAUAAAGCUAUUUUCUUUUUUCAUUUACCUAGUAUUAUCGAAAACAAAUUGAUAAACUCGGACUUUGUCCGAAGUAUAAAUGUGUGAGCAGCAAUCGGGCUUCAUAUGUGAGCUUCGAGCGGGGCAAAUGUAACUGAGCAAAGUUCUGCUCUAGUUUAUCGAAUGCAUAAUGCAUAUCAUUAAGUUCUCGAUUUUUAAAUGCAUAAAGCUAUUUAAUAGAAUGCAUAGCUAAAAUUCUUGAAACCUCUCAUCCUCAAAUACAUGCAUAGCUAAGCUCUUUUACUGCAAAAGCUGAUUCAGAGAAAAUCUUUAAUCAACAAAAAUAUGGACAGAAGAAGAAGGGUAAAUAGAGGGCAAAAGUAUAAAAUUAAAACUGCAAUUAAUGCUCAUAGGACAGGUUCACAAAAUUAUGAUGGGAGAUUUGUGACUUCCAUAUAAACAAAAGGGAAAUCAGUAUAAUUUAGCCUAACUAAAAGAGACACCCAAAAAAUUUAAGGAUUUUUCAAAAGACUACAUCAUAGGGAUGACAAUGGGGUGGGUGCCUGCAGGGGCGAGGGAAAAUGCAGGACUAAAGUGUGGGAUGGAUUUAAUAUAGUAUAAUAUGGAUGUAGUUUUUUUUUUUGAAUAAUUUUUUAAAAUAAUAUCAUACACUUUAUUUUAUAUAUAUAACUUUGAAAUAAAUUGUAUGGUAUUAUUAUGCUUAAAUACAUAACUUUGAAUUAAUAACAUGAUUUAUUGUCAAUUUAUUAUGGUAAAAUGAUAAUUUUAUUAUGUUCAUUUACUUAUUUUCUUUUUCAUGUAUUGCAUGUUGUUUAUUAAAAAAAAUGACAAUUGGUUUAGAUUCUAUGUUGUAUCAAAAAUAAAAAAAAUUCCAAAAGUAUAUUUUUGGGUUUGAUACCUUCCGAAAAUUUUAUUAUCACAACUCUCCAAUAAAUUGAUCUUAAUACCAACAAUUUCUCAGGAACUCUUCCUUCGACAAUUGGAAAUAAGCUAAGCAAUCUUGAGAUUCUUGGACUCCACCAAAAUGACUUGUGUGGAGUUAUACCUGACUCCACCUCAAAUGCUUCUAAGCUCGUUCGGCUAAGCCUUCAAUUUAAUAGCUUCACUGGUGUAAUUCCCAACUCCCUAGGAAAUUUGAGAAACAUCAAGAAUCUAUGCUUAGCCAGCCACAAUCUAUCAACUGAUUCCUCUACUGGAUUGAGCUUUCUCACUUCCUUGACAAGGUGUAGAUUCUUGAGAUAUUUAAAUAGUGGGCGAUAAUCCACUCAAUGGUUUUCUUCCAAUAUUUUUGAACUAUUCGACUUCUCUGAAAGUCUUAAUUGCUACUAGUUGUAAAAUCAAGGGAAACAUCCCUAAAAAAAUCGGCAAUUUGAGUAGUUUUACUGGUGUUAGAUUUUUUUUUCCUGGUGUUAGAUUUAUCAUGUAAUGUACUCACUGGAUCUCUUCCAAGAACAAUACAAGGUUUAACAAAACUUCAGCGACGGGACUUUAGUGUCAAUGAAAUAAGAGACUCCUUGGAAGUUUUUAGUGAAUCAUAUACAUUGGGUGAGUUGCAUUUGAGCCAAAAUCAGUUCUCCGGUCCACUUCCAACGUGUUUAGGAAACCUUACAUCUCUAACCAAGAUUCAUGUGGAUUCCAAAAAAUCGACUUCAAAGAUUCCUACAAGUGGACCGUGAAAAAUCUUCAAGAACUCAAUCUUUCCUCAAGCUUUUCAAGUGGAUUCCUACCUCCAGAGAUCGAAAACCUCAAACCAGCAUACCUUUUAGAUUUCUCAGUCAAUCAACUAUGAGAUAUUAUUCCUACUACAAUUGGAGAGCUACAAGAUUUGACUUGCCUUUCUUUGGCAAACAACACUUUUCAAGGGUAUAUUCCAGAAUCAAUUGGAAACAUGAUCAGCUUGGAAUCCUUGAACCUUUCAUAUGAAAUCAGAAGAUUAGUUUUAAUUGUGAACAUUAUAGACCAACCUAUUGCGACCACAUUUGCUGUACAUGCAAAAAAGAAGGAAUAUUCCUGAUGACAUUCAGCUUAACUCUCCAAAAUCUUGUUGAUUGUUAACGCUACGUCAAUUGCGUGCAAUUAAUCAAGUUUUUUUUCCCAUCGUCCCACCUCUUCCACCAGAUAGCCAGUUAGAUACUGGAAUUGAAUUUAAACUUGAUAAUGGGGAAAAAUCUAAUAGCCCCUCUCCUGGCUACUGUGAGUGAAUUGAAUAUUGAUUCUCAAUCCAAUUAAUUGAGUUUAAUAUUUAAACAAAGGCCAAUACAAGUUGACUCAAUUGGCAAGGAUGAUUACUUUUUCGCAAAAGGUCGUGUGUUCGAAUUCCUAUCUCGAUAUAAGAAUUGUGUUGAUAUAUGGUCUCGAUAUAUGGUCUUGGAGGCAUGCACCACCCAUGAUAGUGAUUGGAAUUGAAUCCAUCCAAAUUUUCACUUACCAAAAAAAAAAAAACUUAAAUGAAGGCAAAAUCUCAAUUACAGCUAUUUGAGUGGCUGAAUUUUUUUCCUUCAUGUUAAUGUUUGCAAAAUAAACUCUCACUUACCAAAAAAAAAAUUUAAAUGAAGGCAAAAUCCCAAUUACAGCUGCUUGAAUGGCUGAAUUUUUUUUUCUUUAUGAUAAUGUUUACAAAAUUUCGCUCGUUCAUUCUAUUUUUAAACAUCUCUGAUUGCCUCGUUCACUGCCUCCUGGACCAAUUUAGCUUAGGACCAAGAGUGUAUUUGUUAGAUCCAAACGUGGAACAAACAACUAUUAAGAUAUCAAAUAUACAACAAUUUAAUGAUAAAUAAGCCACAAGCAUGAAAGAUAAACACACAUAAUAUUUAACGUGGUUCGAUUCCACCAUUGAGCCUACGUCCAUGGAGAGACACCUGCUCUUUAUUAUGAGAGGAAAACCCUAUACAAGAAUACAAUUUGAACCCAAACCCAACCCUUGUAUACCAUCUCUCAUCUUCCAAAAACCCUCUCUCACACUCCAUGUAUAAGGUUACAUGACACCCUUGUGUGUCCUUGUGUAUUGUAUGUCAACCCACCUAUUUAUAGAAAAUAUUAUUUGACCAAAAUCCAAAUAACAAUAGCAAAUCAAUGCUAAUUUCUAAGCUAGUUCAGAAUAAGAAAUAAUUUCUGAGCUAAUUUCCUGCAACAAAGUCAGUUCUCUGUUGAUUGGCCACCACGUGUGGGAGAUCACAUACAAGACAUUCUAAGUUGGGAAAAUUUUGGGCAAUGCCCUUAGCAAAUUCACCAGUGCCACCUCGAACAUCAACGAAAGAUGUCAGGUCCUGAAACACAGACUUGCAUUGGGUCAUCACCACCUCAACGAUUAAACUAGAGUCACCAGCCAUGGCUUCAUUAAAGAUUUUCGCAAACUGAGGUUCCGCAGCAGCAUAAGACCAGAAGUUUUGAAGGGUGUAUUACAGAUUUAUACAAACAGAUAAAAGCCUGCUGAAUACAGAUUUAUAAGGGUGUAUUCUUCUCUCUGGAAUUGAGAAUCAUAUGAUUCUCAAAUGACUAGUCAAAGUCUAAGAAAUUAAAUCCCAGAUUUUUAGAUGUUAUUGUUGUCGUUAAAAUAAAUUUUUGUUCGGUGAUUUCCAAAUAUAAGAGGUAAAUGGCUGAAAACUUAAUGUCAAUGAUCCUUAGAAGACGCCAUAUUUUGGUGGAUUCUAAAGUGAAAGUAUCAAAGAGAGUUAAAUCUCGCGGAUUUUCGAACACCACAGCUUAGGUCAAACUUGAGCAGCUCAAAUAGUGAUAGAACCUAGCGCUUGAGCAAAAGCAUAUGUCUGUGAGGCUCGAAACACUGUCAAAUUUAAUUGAGCAUGAAAAAAAAAAUAAUCUUAAUCGAGCGUUACACAUAUGUAUAAAUUUUUUUUAUUAGUUUGAAAUGUUUACUGUAUGUCUGAUCACAAUUAAAUGGAUAAAGUUUUACAAAAAUAUGCACACUCUAACUCGGUGUAAGUUAAGUUUCAACAACAACAAUGACAUUUAAAAAUUUGGGAUUUAAUUUUCUUGGAUUUUGAAAAAUUCUUGUCACUUUCAAAAUCAUGUGAUUCUCAAUUCUUGAGAGAAGAAUAGAUCCUUAUUGAUACGAACUCGACCCAACAAGAACCUGUCUUGAAGAACCGAAUCGAUCAGGCAGCGGAAGGAUCUAUCUUGACCAGGUUAUGGAUACAAAGAUGGAAAGACCUUACGACCCCUCUAAUCCCCGUGACUACGAACUUGUUGAUAUUAUCUCAACCCGUAACCAAACGAAUUAGUAAACCUCAGGCAAGUGUAGAAGGCGCCACAAUUCAACAUGGUCUUGAAUUGAUAAGCCGAAACUUGAACAAAGGAGAUACAACUCACUUUGUAUCAAGGAACGCUCCCAAAGGAACAAGAAAGAGAAAACUCUCAAUUUUUUUAUUCAUCUCAUAAUUGUGUUUUUCAAUAGUUAAAUAAAGUUGGCUAUUUAUAGCCUUGCAAGACUCAAAACCCUAAUCUAAAUUGGAAACAAUACAAGUUUCCUUAUUUGACUUGACUUCUAAACUUGACACAACUUCCUAAACAAAUUUGGAAGCAAUUAACUGCUUUCCUAAAACUCUAAUUCAACUAGAAUAGGAAACUAACUAAUUCAAAUUGGCUUAAUUAUGGUCAACAUGACCUUAGCCUUUAUUCCCUAAUUCAAACAACUUACUUAACUCUCAAUUUGGAAAUCAAUCAAGAUACCAAUCAAGAUUUGGAAGCCAAUUAAAAUUUGAAAAAUUUGGAUCUUCAAUGAUUCUCGAGCCCGAUUGCACCAUCAACCAUCAUUAGAAUGUGCAGACUUGUAAAAUGAAAGGAAUCCAUGCAAAUCUUCAUGUUCUCAUCAUUCCCCUCCUCUUGAAAGACGAUUUGUCCUCAAAUCGAGUGCUUGUUUACAAAGGAGUAACUCGGAGAAUGUUAUAUGUAAUCCAAGAACUUCAAGAAAUUAUCAAGCCAACUACAAGAAGCAAGAACAACAAGAAACAACCACAAGGUAUGGGGAAAAAAGAGAAAAAAAAAUAAUUUUCGGAUGAAUAGUACUGCUACAGUACUACUACAAUGCGGCGAUGAACAGUACUGCUACAGUGUGAACAGUUCUGAUGAACAGUACCGCUGUGAACAGUACUUUUUUUUUUUUUUGCUUUUGACGACUCGAUGCAAGGUUAGGACUUCACUUGGAAGAAAUUUAAUAGGAGUUAAACCCUUGAAAAACCUGUUUUCAAGAACGUAAUCACACCAAGAAAUUCCAACCUCGUUCAAUCAAGGGGGUAGGUUAGACUCAAGUGAUAAAAUAAUAAAAACCAAAAAAAUUUUUUUUCUUUUAAAAUUGAAAGGCGGCUAGGGUUUCGAUAGAAAAAAAAAAUAGACAAAUAAGAAAAGAAAAAGGAUAUUAACCUGAAUCAAGAGCCGAAGCUCUGAUACCAGAUGAUACGAACUCGACCCAACAAGAACUUGUCUUGAAGAAUCGAAUCGAUCAGGCAGCGGAAGGAUCUAUCUUGACCAGGUUAUGGAUACAAAGAUGGAAAGACCUUACGACCCCUCUAAUCCCCGUGACUACGAACUUGUUGAUAUUAUCUCAACCCGUAACCAAACGAAUUAGUGAACCUCAGGCAAGUGUAGAAGGCGCCACAAUUCAACAUGGUCUUGAAUUGAUAAGCCGAAACUUGAACAAAGGAGAUACAACUCACUUUGUAUCAAGGAACGCUCCCAAAGGAACAAGAAAGAGAAAACUCUCAAUUUUUUAUUCAUCUCAUAAUUGUGUUUUUCAAUAGUUAAAUAAAGUUGGCUAUUUAUAGCCUUGCAAAACUCAAAACCCUAAUCUAAAUUGGAAACAAUACAAGUUUCCUUAUUUGACUUGACUUCUAAACUUGACACAACUUCCUAAACAAAUUUGGAAGCAAUUAACUGCUUUCCUAAAACUCUAAUUCAACUAGAAUAGGAAACUAACUAAUUCAAAUUGGCUUAACUAUGGUCAACAUGACCUUAGCCUUUAUUCCCUAAUUCAAACAACUUACUUAACUCUCAAUUUGGAAAUCAAUCAAGAUAUCAAUCAAGAUACCAAUCAAGAUUUGGAAGCCAAUUAAAAUUUGGAAAAUUUGGAUCUUCAAUGAUUCUCGAGCCCGAUUGCACCAUCAACCAUCAUUAGAAUGUGCAGACUUGUAAAAUGAAAGGAAUCCAUGCAAAUCUUCAUGUUCUCAUCACUUAUAAAUCUGUAUUCAGCUGGCUUUUAUCUGUUUUUUUAAUGGGGUUUUUAUAGCCGACCAAUUUUUGGUGUAUUUUCAAGAUAAAAUACCCCUUUGUCUUAUAUAUUGAUACAUUACCUCUUUGUCUUACAUGUGAAUCUCCAUUACCGGCCGCUUGUUGAUUUAUGAUGCCGCCUUAUACAUCAAUUCAUUUCCAACCUGCAUUAGAUAUUGUAUUUUCGAAAUACAGUCUAAUGCAUCCAUCUGAUACUUUCUUUUGAGGUUUUCUCUGUGGUCUCGAAAGCCAAUCCAUCUUCUCGGGUGCCUCAAUCCUGAAUUGGAUACUCUUGCUUUGACUUUCACUAUGGUACUGUAUUUUUGUGGAGUAAAUGACACAAAUAGUUUUAAAUUGUUCAAAAUUUAUUAUUGUGAUCUUCAAAAUUAUGUACUCUUGUGACAAUUAUGUUUUAAAAUUUAUUAUGAAAGGCUUGUUUAGACCAGCCUUGCUUUGGUUGUUUUAUUUGAUAACUUUUGUAUAUAGAAUUAGGUUAUAGUAGUAAAUAGUUGUAUUUUGUAUAGCAGGUUGAAUUUCGGGUUCAUCUUGGUUGUUGCCAAUUGCUACAUACGUACAUGGUAGGAAGACUUAAAAGUUAGUAUGUACAAAAUUUUAGUUAUUUUUGGUUUGAUUCUAGAGAGGGUGAUGUUAUGUCCUAGUUUUGGGACGUGAAAACACAUAUAAUGGCUUCUUUUCUUCUCAAUUCUCUUUUUCAUUACACGAUUGAGGAGAGAGUUGUGAUGGCUGAAAGUUUUUGAAGGCUUUUUUUUGAAUUGAAAAGGGAAAAGUGAAUUAAAAAAGGAUCAAGUGAUGAUAUUCCAUCCAAAUUUGUUAGGAAGCCAUCAAUUGUUUUCAAUUAAUCAAAAUUAUGAGGAUGAAAUGGGUUUUGGUUGGAACUUGAAGAACAAAAUUAGUCCAGAUCCGAAACAUUGGGAAUUAAAAGUGCAAUUUUCUCCUCAUGAUAGAAAUGAUACACCAUGAAGGCCUAAACUGGUUUCUAUCAAAUAUGGUUCACCUUUGUCGUAGGUUGUAAAUUAUUUUCGUUUAAGUGGUAAUAUAAAAAUCUUCUAUGAUCCUUGAAUAACAAAUUAAUUGUCGAAAAAUGUUUUUGGUUUCUUCCACAAAAUUCUGUAGUUUCCCAGCUUGCAACAAGUUGAAGUUCAAAAAGAGUUUGGAGCAAUGUCACCAAUCAAAUAUGAAUAAGUCAAUUAAUUGGAAGAUCAUAAUUCCGCAGCUCACUUUCAGAGGAGACUUCAGAGACGACUGGAAGUAAGAUGUUGAGCUGCAUCUAUUUUCCGUCCACAUAUUGAAGUUUUAGUCUUCAAAGACUAUUCUGCUUAAUUACAAUCAAUCCUAAUUGACCUGUUUUUCUAGAAAAUGACCCUGUGGAAUAACAAAUAUCUAUGCUAGUUGGUCAUAGCAGCCUCUAUCUCGAUUUCAUCCUUAGACCCGAGGCAGAACAUAUUGCUUUGAUUUCGAAUGAACCAGAUGGUAUAAUAACAAGAAUUUCUAAAAUUUAGUACGGGGGAAAACAUUAUAGCUCAAAUGAGAAUACUUGUUUUUUUUUUUUUUUUUUAAAACUUUCAAAUGUUUAAUGGGUGAAGAUAAAAUUUUCUGAGUCUAACUUGGGGUGGUGAUUCCUAUCGGAUCUCCUCUCCGGAACCCCUAGGCCGGUCCGCCCAUAAUUUGCUAGUCAUUAAGUGGGAAAAUCAACAUUUAUGAUGACUGGUGCUGUUUUCUGUUAUGGCUCCUAUCAUAAUUCACGGCUGGAGACCACCACACUAAUUUCUGCUCCCAGUUCCAUGUGUGUGUUAGCGUGUUAUGAAGACUUCCAUGCUCUUCUUCAAUAUUUAUCAUCUAUCUUUUUUGUUGAUACCAAUCUAUGUGAGCAUGGCAAUGGGCAAAAUUCACUACUUUUUUUUUUUUUUUCCUGAAACAAUAGAAGCUUUUAUUUCUACUAAUAGAGAAAUUACACUGUAUGAGCAAGGGCUCAAGUUUUCCUUCACAAAAGUGUACUAAGACACUGAGGAUCAAAGACUUCCUCAUCAAAAUGUAAAUGCAUUGCUUGCUUACUCAGUUUAUGACUGAGGCUAUUCAUCCUAUUAUUACCAGACUGAAUAUCAAAUGAGCAUGUCCUAAACAUUAAGCUAAGAUCUUUUAUGUAUUGUACGUGGCCUGCUAGUCGCAUGUUGCCUGGGACUUGACAGUUGAUAAGCUUGGAAACCUGAUUGCUUGGUGUCUGAAGUUUGAUGUUGCGGCAGCCUCGUUCCUUUAGCUUGCAAAGUGCCAACUGUAUAGCCACAAGAUUGUCCAGUACAGGUGAUCCCAUGCUUCUUUCUUUCAUCAUCCACACUGCACAUAUGUGGUGCAUGCUGUUUUCUGCCAUAAUGCCAAUUCCCAUGUUCUGACCUUCGAAGUGCUGUCCCACAUGUACACAAAUGAUCAAUGUGUUUGCAUCUUCGCCCACUAUUUCCUCUUGUGCAUUUGCUGUAUCUGUUUCUGAGAUGCUCACUUGUUGUUCAGCCUGUUGGGAUUUUAGAUAUUCCUCCCACUCCAUGACUGCCUUUGUAAUCACUUUCAUUGGAUGUCUCUCUUUGUCUUCAAACUCUACUGCAUUCCUGGCUUUCCAAAUCUGCCAGAGAAUGUCAACUAUCAAUGUUAUAUGUUCCCUUCCUUCUUUCCUAGCUUUAACUUCCAUUAGUAUACUCCACCAUUUUCUGAAGUCGUUUGUGAACUCAUGAAGACCAUCCCAUUGUAAUGGAGCCAUCUUCCAUAUCAUCCUUGCUUUCCUGCACAGGAAGAAAAUGUGCUCCACUGUCUCACGGUUUUCACCACAUUGCUUACAAAUUAAUUCCCCUUUCCCUGUUCUCCGAAAGAUUGCCUCUCGUCCUGGUAACACUUGAUGCAGGCACUUCCAUAAAAACAACUUGUGCUUGUGCUUUACUUUAAGUUCCCAUAGCUGUUUCUAGAUUUUGCUAUUUCCCCCUGUCCAACUUGUUUCCCCCUUGUUGUUCAUUUGUACAAUAGACUGCCUGGCAGGACAUGUGAGUGCUGCAUAUGCAGACCUGAUAGUGUAGGUUUCGUUUUUGCUAUGAGUCCAAAAGUAACAAUCUGGUCUCCCUGUCAAGCUUAUAGGUGUUUUGAGUAUGUGGCCUGCUUCUUGUGAACUAAAAAGCCUAAAAAUGAGAGCUGAUUUCCACCUAAAGCUAGAUAUCAGCUCACUAACUUUUGUGACCUUGCAACCAGGGGGUUUUGUGGAUUCAAUCUUACCUCCCUUACCUUCCAACAUCCAAGCAUCUUCCCAAAUUCUGGUACUUUUCCCAUUUCCAAUUUGUUUCCUAGCUCCUCGCUGGACCUCCUCUCUUGCGCUCAUCAAACUCUUCCAUAUCCAUGAUGCAUUACCUUUUACUUCACAGCUCAAGAGUGUUGUCUUGGGAUAGUACCUAGCUCUCAACACUUUGCUAAGCAAAAGAUUGGGGCAUGUGAGGAGCCUCCAAAUCUGUUUGCCUAGCAAAGCUUUAUUAAAACUUUGAAGAUCUUUGAAGCCAAGUCCACCAGCUUUUUUCUCAGUUGUCAUUUUCUUCCAUGAAACCCAAUGCAUUUUCGUUUUGCCUUUCUCCUCCCCCCACCAAAAUCUUGCCAUGAGAGAGUUGAUGUCUUUGCAUAACCUCACGGGUAGUUUAAAACACGACAUGGCAUAAGUUGGCAUUGCCAUAGUUACUGCUUUAAGCAAAACCUCUUUCCCUGCUUGACUUAGCUGUGUAUUCCUCCAGUUGAGGAUUGUUUUUUGGCAUUUAUCUCUGAUGAAGCCAAAGAUUUGCUCUUUGGUUUUUGUGAUUACCAUUGGCAACUCCAAGUAUUUCCCUUGCUUCACCACCUUUCCCUGGCUACUAAAAAGCUCCUUAAAUUUUAGCCUAGUUUCCUUAAUAAUAAUAUUACUAUGGAUCAAUCAGCCCUUCUUGACAUUAGUAGAGAAACAAUUUCCCUGGAGAACACCUUAAUUUUGGUAUUAAUAAUUUUGGUGGAGAGCUUCCCUCUUGUUUUCGUUAUUUACAGACACUCCAGCAACUUUUGACUCAUAAACAAUACCUUUACGGGUUCUAUCCCACCUUCUAAGCACUCGAACAGAUGUAGAUUACUUAAACAUAUUGCAGGGAAUGAUUUCAAUGUUCAAGGAUAUUUUGAUUUCAAAGUUAUGAUGAAUUUCACCUCGUAGUCAUGACAUAUUACAAAAAUUUAGAAUCAUUUAAGGACAUGGGCAAAGCCAAAUUGAAUAAAUUUCUUCCACUAGCUAAACAAAUACCUUACUGUCAUUACAAUACAAGUAUUAUGGAGAUUAAAUACUUGGCCUAUGUGGUUUCACAGAACUUGAACGGUAACAGUGUAUUUAAUAUCUAGACAAGCCAAUGUUCCACAUAAGGAUGGCAAUGGGGCACCCACACCGCGGGGGUAGAAAUGGGGCGGGGGAUGGGGCGGGGCGGGGGCGGGGGCAAAAUAUUUCCUCCCGCAUUACAACGGGGCGGGAGAGGGGAAACAUACACCUGCCCCAUCCCCCGCAUACAAUAAUAUAUAUAUAUAUAUUACAAUUCUAAAUUUUCUAAAGUUGCAACCUUACUUACAAGUACAACGUUAGUCAGUGUCAACGGCCGUCGCAACAACUGAAAAAAUUUCUUGGACUAUUGUUGAUUUGUUUCUUGCGGCCCCCCAAAGACUAAGCUAUCCAAUUCCAACCUGUUUUGGUCCUAACUUUUUUUUAUUUCGAUCGGUUCCCUUCCUCCGCACUGAAUGUAACUUAACUUGUUAUGCUUUAUUUCCAUCUUGACAGCUUUUUAAUCGUAUUUAACAUUGUUUACAAUUGUAUUAUUGUAAAUAAACAUUUACGAUAGAUUGAUUUCUUACCACAGGGGAAACGGGGCAAGGGCGGGGGACGGGACGGGGGGAGUUAUUUGACAACGGGGCGGGGGCGGGGGCGGGGGAUCCAUUGCCACCCCUAGUUCCAGAUAUCAUAUACCAACCAAUGAAUAUUAAGCGCAAAUAAGUAAAAUCGAUGUAUAUAAAAGGCAAUACUCAAAAGCUUUACGCGUAAUAGCAUUUUUUGAGCGUAUAUAUUUGCUACAAGUAAAAUGUCUAACUAUAUGAAAGUUUCAUCAACAACUAUUUCAUGAAGUGAUCUCAGUAUAUCUCAAAUUAACUGCAUUGUGGCUAAGGGUGUAAAUUUUUUUGUAAGAACAUACCGGGUAACUUGAAAUGGUUACCUGCUGGCUUAAUACGAAAAUAUUUACCAUAAAAUAAACAAUCAAACGUGCAACGGACGAUAUGAGAGUACCUUUCACUAAUUGAGAGCCAAUAACAUAUUCCUGUCAAGCAAUGGAUAACAGAUAAUUUCAGAAACCUCCUCUGAGGUUUCUAAUAAUUCUGCUUGGCUCCCCUAACUCCCUUUCCAUUUAAAACGACAACACUAAACUUAAUAUUUUUAAUAAAACUCUCUUGUUACCAUGUUUAUGCAAAGGAUGGAUUUUAUAAUUUUUUUACGUUUUUCCUUCUUAUUCAUUUCUCUUAUAUUUCAUUAGAAGUACAGAAAAGCUAUCAAUGCUGUCCUUAAUAUCUAUCCAAAUUAAACAUUAAACUAGUAAUAUUUUUUUGAUAACUUUUAAUAUCAUUCAAUUUUUUUUGUAGCCCUUUUUUUUGGUAUCAAAUUCAAGGAUAAAUCAACAAUAAUUAAAAAUAAAUGACCCAAAAUCACCACUAAAUUAUGAUAGUUCCAUCACCAAUCUAGUCCAUAAACUUUUAUUAAAAAAAUAGUUUGUAAACUUUAAAAGAAACAAAAUAGCACCUUUUUCUCUAUUUUAAAAAAAAUUUAUAUUCCCAAUAAAGUAUUAUAAAAAAAUACCCUAUUAUAGCAAAAGAUUUAUUGUUGUAGUUGAUUCUCAAAGAACAAAUAUUGGCAUGAAAAAAUUGACGCUCUUUUUGUUUAAAGGAACAAAUUAAACUUUGUAAGAUAAAAGCAUUUAGGGUAUACAUUAAAUUUUUUACUCUAUUUUAAACUUUGGUUACCAAAAUGUUAAAUCAAGAAAGGUAAGUGUAAUUUUUAAAACGUCAAGAACUAAGUGAAAUAGUAAGAAACCUCAAGGCAGGUUUCUGAAAUUAUCCCUAACAGAAGUACAUACAAAAUUCAACUUUGAAAAGAGAAUAGACUUGAGGGGCGACUUGAGAUGGGUGUGAAGUCCUUGUUUCCUUCAUUCCACGGCACAUGGCAAAAGAAACUAGGAUCGUGACAGUGAUAGGCAAAAUAUAUCAAGUGACAGUGCCUGAUAGGCAAAAUAUUCCAACCUUGAAGCUAUAAUCUCCGAAGACUAUUCUAACGUCUACCGAAUAGCGAGUAGCGACCUGAUAUUCUGCAAAGCUCUAACCCAACAAGAGGUUUAAAGAAGACUUGACGGUGGCCCCUUCCCCGCCCCGGUCCCUUAGGUCCGUCCUUGCAUAAUUUGGUAGCAAUUUUGAGCUUGGUUAGAAAUAAAUGUACUGAGGUUUUUUUUUUUUUUUUUUUUUUUUUCCUAGUGGGGCGAAACUUUGAAGUAAUGACGACAAGACAUGGAAGUGUUGGAAAUAUGCUUGAAUUUUUUGGGAAGCAAUGACAAAAACCAAAUUAAUGAGAAAAAACAUGUAUUUAGGAUGGGUAUGGAAUCGUCAUCCUUAUGUUUGAUUUGCAUUUUUGCAGAGAUUAUAUAAAAAAGAAAAUAGAAAACUACUAUUCUGAUACGUUAUUGGAACAAGUAUUUGUCCAGUAAAAGGGUGAUAUGGUUAAAAGAAUAGUUCAUAAAAUAUUUUUCAAAUAGUAGCAGAUCAAACAAAUAUAGCUUGCAAAAAAUUGUUUGGAUAGGGUAUUAUUUGAAAUAUUAUUUGUUUGUAAUGUGAUAUAUGUGAGAUAAAAAGGUGGUUGGGAAUAUAAAAAGGUGAGUUGAAAAAUAUGUUUAUGAUGCAAGCGAAAUAUUAUUUGGGAUAAGUUCACUAUCCAAACAAACAAAUAUUGUUUUUUCAUGAUAUACUAAACUAGUUGAUCUACUUUUUUAAUAAAAAUUUGAGCAAUCAUAUCAUCUGUGCGUCUUCUAAGGGUUUCAAAUUAUUUUCGUUGAAGGGUCUGUUUGAUUGGAAGUAAAAUGUUUUCCUUGGGAAAAUAUUUUCCGUGGAAGUAAUUUUCCAUGAAAAUCAUUUCCCUUUCAUCAUUUUCAGGUGUUUGGUUAGCUUAUCGAAAAUAUUUUCUUACUUCAUUUUUCUGGUGUUUGUUUAAUUUUUGAAAUAUUUUCACUUUUAUCUCUAUCUUUACUUUCUACACAUUAUAACAACAUACUUCUUCCCAUACAACAUAAGAAAAUUUAUCUCAUUGUUUAACUUUAAAAAAUCUUGGAGAAAUGUAUAUAUGAAUAAAAAAUAUUUCCUUAAGCAAUAAACAAAUUGCUGGCCAUUUAGUGUGAAAUAUCAAUCACAUGCAAUGCUUAUUGUGACAUAUAUCUUGCACUCUCACUCUGAAAGUUUCUCUAGAAAAGAAUGUCCCUAUUAUACAUAAUUAAUUACUAGCAUAAGAUGAGCAGGAUGAGGUUUUUUUUUUUUUUUUAAUAUACUAGAGGGAGGGUUGGGUUGGGUGGUACGGGGGAGGGAGUGUAAGGAAGAGGUCUUGGGUUCGAAUCCUCCUGUUUACACUAAAAAAAAAAAAAAAAGAACAUACUACAAGAUGUUUUCAGUAAGUUUGGAACAUACUACAGGCGGGAUGCAUGCAUUUCGGAAAACAACUUCAGUAAGUUUGGAAGGGAAGUUGUUUUCCAUAAGAUGAGAGAAAAUAUUUUACAUAGGAAAAUGUUUUCAGUAACUUUUGUGCAACCAAACACGGGAAAUUAGGAAAAUAUUUUCCUGAAAAACAUUUUCACCCGAAACAAACGGACUCGGAGUGAUAUCAGUCUUCCAUAGUGCUUGGAUAAUGAAUUGAUUGCCCAAAAAAAAAUUUUCAUUUCUUCCACAGGAUUACAUAGUUUCCCAGCUUGCAAUGACUUGAAAUUCAAAAGGAGUUAACAAGCAACGUCAUGAAUCCAAAUCGAAGGAUAUAAUAAAUUGGAAGAGAAGAAGUCUAGAGCUCACUUUCAGGGGAGACUUCAGAGACGACGUGAGGUAAGAUAAUGAGCUGCAUCUUCCCCGACAUUGACAUUAUAAUCUCCGAAGACUAUUCUGCUAAAUUGAGUCAAUCCUGACCUGGUAAUGCAAAAAGUGAUCAAGAGACUACUUAAUAAUUUGAAGCACUAAUGUUCUACCCACCUUGGGUACACAAAUAAUUUGAAAGCCGUUUAAAUUUGUAAUUGACAUAGUUUGCGAGAAUGAUAGACAUCUAUGCUAUUUAGUCAUAGCAGCCUCUUUCUCGAUUUGAUGCAUAGACCCGAUGCAGAACACAUUAUUUUGGGAGGGAAAAUUUGAUUUCAUAUGAACUAGAUGGAAUAAUAAAAAGAUCUUGCAAAGUUUUGUAGAGGAGCAAAUAUUUUAACUCAAAAAAAAAAUACUUUGAAAACUUUAAGACAUUUAAGGGACGAAAAUGAAAUUUUCUGAAUCUAACUUGGGACGAUGACUCCUAUCUAGUCUUCUCUCCCGAACCCCUCUAGACCGGUCUGCCGUAAUUUGAUAGUUAACUAUGUUUUCAGUACAACUAUGUUUUCAGUGAUCAAAUGCUGUCGAAAAAUAUAUAGACCAAUUUUGUGAUCUUAGACGUAGUUUUUCUCAGUCGCCAUCUUCAUUGCAAACGGUGCCGUCGUCAAGAAUUUGAGGUAGUUUUUUCCUCCUCUCUUUCAAAUAUUAGUCCUAUAAGAAGCAAAUUGAAGGUGCGAGUAAAAAAUCUCUGCUUGCUAUCUUUUAACUUCAUUUGAUGACAUGCAAAAGUAUGUUGAAGGGAAAAUGUCUUGGAGUUUACACAAAAUUAACAAGGAAAGAAAAAAAAUUUUUUGUCAUCACAACGUGAGUUAACAUAAAGCAAGAGGUACGUACGGGCACUUGUAUAAACUACAAAUGAAUUGGUCUAUACUCUUAUCAUUUUGGAAAAUAACUCGAUCUCAGAUCUUAAACAGGAAGUAGAAAUUAAAUGAUCUUCUUAUAUAUGUUCUACAUUUUCAUGAAAAGAAUUUCCAGCCAAUUGCAUAUCCAAUUAUUUGAGAUAUUUUUUUUUAAAAAAAAUUGCUAUUAUGAAAAUAGUUCUUUUUUCAAAAAAUUUUUUUGAUGAUCGUCAAAGGAGAAGAAGCAAACCUCAAAGUCUUCAACAUUUGAAGUCCAAGUCUUUCUUGCAGGAUGAAUUGUGGACUUCUUGGAUGCUAAACUUUUGUAAUUGAUGACAAGUGGGAUGUCUAUCACUUUACUUAUUUACGAAGCAUCCUUUCAUCACGGCUUGACUAGUGAACAAAUUUUUCUACAAAUUAAGCAUCAAGAUUUCAUAUAUAUUUUGAUGUCAAAGUUAUGAUAAAUUUCAUCUUAUAGCCGUGACAUAUUACUGGAAUUCGGAAUCAUUUAAGGACAUGGGUAAAGCCAAAUUGAAUAAAUUUCUUCCACCAGCUAAACAAAUACCUUACCAUCUUUACAAUAGGAGUAUUGUAGAGAUUAAAUACUUGGCCUAUGUGAUUUCACAGAACUUGAACUGUAACAGAGUAUAUUUAAUAUCUAGACAAGCCAAUGUUCCACAUAUCAUAUACCAACCAAUGAAUAUUAAGCGCAGAUAAAAAUCGAUGUAUGUAAAAGGCAAUACUCAAAAGCUUUAUGCGUAAUAGCAUUUUUUGAGCGUACGUAUAUAUUUGCUACAAGUAAAAAGUCUAACUAUAUGAAAGUUUUAUCAACAACUAUUUACAAGUUUUUUUUGUAAGAACAUACUGGGUAACUUGAAAUAGUUAUCUGCUGGCUUACUAUGAAUCGUCCCGUCCCUGUGCCAUGUGUCGUGGGUGGGGCCCACCAGGCCGGGGACACGUGUCAGAUGAGAAUCUUCUCGAACCUCGAGGUUCGAAUGCUUUAGAAGUGAUAGAAUUGGCUCACAUACACACAAUCGUGGUUGGUCAGAGGUUUGGUCGAUACGGUGUGUUUCGAAGAGCAGAAAUAAAAUGGCCAACACGAGGGACAUGGCAGGAUUCUUCAGGGUCGUGAGGGACUGCGGCAUGGAGCACGUCGUGCUCCUCGGCAUGUACUUCGCACUAUGCAUGGGGAGACAUCGCUUCAUCAGCGAACUGGACCUGCUGUUCAGGGCAGUGGAGGAGCUCAAGAGAACCCUGUCGGAUUCAGACGAGGCCGCGGAUGAUGGCAGCUCGACCGGGAGCAGCCGACCUUCUUCGGUAGAAGAAGCGGACUGAAACCCAGAUCCGGUGAAACCCUUCCAUCGGAUGAUGAGGUGGGACCCACAUGCACAGGGAAUGCGUAUUAACGCGACGUAGAUUUCUGGAUAGCAUACUCGUAUACGUACGUAUGUAAUACAUAGGGAUUCAAUGCAGCAGUGACACGUGUAACAGAUGCGCAGGAAGGAAAUAAAAUGCCUCAAUUCAUUUCAUCCUUAAACAAUAUGCAUACAAACUAGACAUGCCUUGACCCUAAUAUUAAUGGUGACAUAUUGAGAUAUUACAUUUUGUGCCAUACAUUGAGAAAUUAUUUAUUGGGCCUGAUGCUCGGCCCAAUGCCAGUGUUAACGGCCCACUGGAUCAAGAAAUUGAGAACAUUUUCGAUUAAAUUGACCUGGGCCUGGGGAGAGGCCCACUAGAAAUUAACUGGCCCAGUUAACAUUUGAACGACCCAUCUGAUCAAGAAAUGCUGAAUGUGCAGGGCAACGGGAACUCAGUUGCUGCUGUCCAAUUCUUCAACUUCUUGGACAAUUGGUGCCUGCUCUUGGUUUGUGAGUGCAAAGAGAGGUUGUUGCAGGAAGAAGAAAGCCGCAUUCUGCUUAGUCCAGUUGAAAAGAUCCUGGCGGUCUGGUGCACUUAAGUAGACGUCAUAUGAAGAAUUGAGACCAGGAUUGCAGAGUACAAUUGAUGGAAUUCCCCCUUUGAUUUUCCUGGGUUUGGCAUAUUUGCAAUUGGAUGACCAAUCUCGUUGUGCACCUAGGAAUUCUUUCCAGUGUUUGAGAAAUUGAGGGUUUACGUCAUCUAUGACGUUGUACCAUGCAUCAUCACAGUGAUGGGCCAGAUCAAUAUGGCCUGCGUAGUAAUUGUGGGCCUGAGAAUUGAGACUUCUUGCCCAGCAUGUUUUACCAGUUCGACUUGGGCCUUCUAUUAUUAUGGACAUGGGCCUGUGUGGUCUAUUACCAGACCCAGUAACAUUUGUAUCGGCCCAAUGGGUCAAGAACGAAGGAACGCGUUGGAAACGAGUCACGUAUGGUUCUGGUGGCUUCUGGAAUAUUCUAUCCAAAUUGCUGGACAGUUUGUCGUAAUGAAUAAUGAACGAUCGAGGAUCGCCCCUCUUGAAAAUAUUGAGAGCCAUGCCCUUAUCUUGCCCGGCAAGCGCAGCGGCAUAUACCUCAUCUGUUUUGUCAGAUGAGAAUCUGCUCCAGCCAUCUGGCUGGAACUCUCCCCAUUCAACGAAAUCACCAUAUUUGGAUAUGUAAUCCUUAACUGCUGAUGAAUUCCUGGCACCUUGGACAUUCGGGUGGAACAUCGAAUUUGAAAUGGGAGAUUUGAUAUCGAAGAAUCUCGCAGAUGCAGUGCGAAAUUUACCUUGGAAUUGGAUCAGACAAUGUAGAUGAGGAGAACCAUCUUCGUGUGUUUUUUGAGCAACCCGUAUGUAAAUGGAGGAAAUAGAGAACUGGAGGUUCCUAAUUGCAUCUAAUGCUUGUUGUUUGGGAAGAACACACCUGGGAUAGGUGAGGAAUAUGUUCUUCGCGUUUAUGAAGAAGGAAGGACGUGCUCUCGGCAUCCUGAAACUCAACCCAACCUGAUGACGUCACUCACCUCAAUACAAAGUAUCCCUAGUAUUGGCUAUACUGGGUCGGCUUAUAUAGGGGUCUUCCGAGCGUCUUAUAAUAUUACAAAGACGCUCGGGGCGGACACGUGGACGGCGGAUGGAGGGGCCACGUCACCCCCCAAGAGUAAACUGGACGGUUGAGAUCAGCUCAACUCAAUGGCAUUGUGGUAAAUAGUUCGCUCAACCCAAUGGCAUUUUUGCCAUUUGGCCCAAGGGCCCCCCACGUGUCCCCCCACGGUCCGACAGGAACGUGGGCCGCCGUACUCUCUUGCCACGUGGCCGAAGGCCACUGGCCGCCCGGGGCCCUCGGGCCCCGCACUGGUGCACAGUGCUAGCAAGUGGAGCAGCACAGUGCCCGGAUGCACUGUUGCAAUUCGAAUUUGAAAUUAAAAUUCGAAAUUCCCACCUCAUCAUCCGAUGGAGGGGUUUCACCGGAUCUGGGUUUCAGUCCGCUUCUUCGGAGGACCCAUCUGAUCAAGAAAUGUCGAUUAUGUUGGGCCACUUACACGGAUGGCCCACGAUGAGAUAGCCCUAACUCUAUUCAUUUAUCUUCCCCUGCAACCGCCCCUAGUUUCGACUAAGCUAAUUCUGCUAUUAACAAUUAUCACUUGAUAGCUAGUUUGGGAGUUUGGGACAGAAAAAGAAAAGAAGAGAGAGCUUAAGUUAGAAAAGAAAAGAAAAUACAAGAUGGGUUGGUUCUAUUAAAUAUACGCCUCGUUGACCUUUUUCGGGGGCACAUGGGUCGGAGUUGAACUAAUCCAACUCUAUUGAUUGUCCUAAACAAAAAGGAAGAUGCUACUGUAGGGUCUAGGAACGGUGGUCAUUGGACCAUGGGACAAUACUGUGUCAGGUUUUUAAGUCUUUAGAGAUCAAUUUAGUAAUUUUAGAAUAAAAAGAAAAAGAAUUGAGAACAAAAUUAAGUAGACUAAGAGAAAGAGAGGAAGGAAGCACAAAGGAGAUGAUUGAUCCAGGAUAGAGAAAGAGAUGAGGACUAAUUCUAUUAUGAUUACAAUUGAUAUCCCAUUACUCUAACGGAUAUGGGCCCUUACAAAUCAAGUUCAAACCAGCUGUGUAAACCCAUUUCAAACCAUCUAUGUAAUAUAUUUGGCGUAGAUUGGUACAAUUUUGGUGUGAUCAUGAUUUUUGCACAAAUUUAGUUGCAUAAAUCCCAAGCUCAAAAUUUAUACCAAAGUUGCACCAAUUUACAAAUGUUACAAGAAUUAGACUUGAAUUGAACAAUAAUUCAACUCGUGAGACUCCAAAUCCUAAUGGAUUCGAACUCCUCUAUACAAGCAGCUGAUCACUAAUGGCCAAUUGGCAAACUACACUUACUAAUUGAAACUACAACUUAAUGAUACAAAAUGCAAGUGAAACAAUAAGAAACAACAAUUGCCUUGUGUUCUUGUCAUACAGUUUAGGUUUUCCUAUACUUGUCCGUCUUUCAUAUUUUUUACAUAAUAUAGUGUACAUUUAUAGAAUUUAUUGUACUUAUAAAUUUUAUUGGCAAUCUCACCUAUAAAUGUACACUAAAUUGUGGAAAAAAUACAAUAACCAUACCUACCCCGUGGUCACUGAUUUGUUAAAUUUAUGGGUUUUUUUCUUUUUAUAAACAAAUUAGAUAAGCUAUUAUUUCCUGAAUAGUUUUUUGUUUGAUGUUUUCUUCUUCUUCUUUUUUUGUGUAAAUCCUUGUUGAAUUUUAGUAAUGUCUCACUAGUUUUGGAUAAAAUAGAAAUUGGUUCCUUUUCCUUGAUUUAAUGGAACACUCAUUUUUAGAAAUUCAAUAGGAAAAGAGCUCUUAUCUAAUUUUCUUUGUUAAUUUAGUGAUUUAUGCUUAAAAAAGGAAUUUAGUGCGUUAAAUAGGAAGGGAAAAUCAGUUUUGUAUUCAUUGGAUACUUUUCCAUAUUCAGUAGGCAGUAGCUCUGUUAGUUGAGUUUAAACACUGUGAUAGACAAGCAUGACCGUAAAAUUGCCAAACCUAAUCUAUAAUUUGGUCAAAUCUCCCCCCUGUUAUGUUGUAGACAUGCUAUAAUCAUUUUCAAUUAAUGCAUUUGGAGAAUUCAAUAAUCUCAUUAACGUUGUUAUUAAAUACUUCCAUUACAAGUCAAAAACUCAUAAAAGUUGCAAUUUUGCAGGUGCAAUUCCAAAUGAAAUAGGGAAUCUAACUAUAUUGACGAUUUUAAAUUUUCGCGACAACAAAUUGACUGGUAUGCCAAAGUUCCUAAUUACAAGGUCUGAAUUGCUUAAACCAUAGGCAAAAUUGACUGGUAUGCCAAAGUUCCUAAUUACAAGGUCUGAAUUGCUUAAACCAUAGGCAAAAACUCGGCAUGCGAUUGGAUCUAUAGGAUAGAAGGAUCACGACUAUGUCCAAUCCCCAACUCUUUACAAUGACGAGCUCAUAGGUUCAAUCCCCAACUCUUUAGGAAGUUUAAGAAAUCUAAAAUUUCUAAACUUGGCUUUCAACAGGCUAUCAAGUGAAUCCUCAGAAUUGAGCUUUUUCACUUUCUUGACGGCUUGCAGAUCCUUGAGAUAUUAAGCGUUGAAUAAUAAUCCUCUAAAUGGUUUUCUACCAGCUUCCAUUUCUAACUAUUCGACUUCACUUGAAGGCAUAAGUGCAGUCAGUUGUAAAAUCAAAGGACACUUCCCAGCUGAUUGGAUCAGCAAUUUGAGCAGUUUACUAGUUCUAGAUUUUUUAGGUAAUGAAUUGAUUGGAUCUGUCCCAAGAACUAUGCAUAGUCUGGCAAAUCUUCAGGUGCUGUACUUGAACUCCAAUCAAAUAAGACAUGUCUUGGACAUUUUCUGUGGAUUACAUAGUUUGGGAUUGUUAAGCUUAAGCCAAAAUCAAUUCUUUGGUAGUAUUCCAGAAUGCUUAGGAAAUAUGACAAAUUUGAGACAGAUUUUUCUAGACUCCAAUAGGUUGACUUCCAUGAUGCCUGCUAACCUAUUGAGCAUGAAAGAUCUCCAAAUUCUCAACCUUUCAUCAAAUUUCUUAAGUGGAUCGCUACCUUUAGAGAUCGGGAACCUCAAAGCAGCAUAUAGUUUAGAUAUCUCGUUCAAUCAAUUAUCAGACAAAAUCCCUACAACCAUUGGAGAGCUACAAGCUUUACAGAACCUUUCAUUGGCGAGAAAUAAUUUGCAGGGUUCUAUACCAGAAUCAUUUAGCUAUAUGGUAUUUUGGAAUUCUUGGACCUUUCACAUAAUAAUCUCUCUGGUGUGAUACCCAAGUCAAUGGAGGCACUCAAAUCUCUUAAGGAAUGCAAUGUUUCUUUUAAUAGAUUAAGUGGAGAAAUUCCUCGAGAUGGUCCCUUCAGAAACUUUACAGGUUAAUUGUUCAUGAACAAUGAAGGACUCUCUGGUGACCUAAGGCUUAGUGUUCCACCAUGUCAGAGUAAUUCAAUUAGAAGAUCGAGCAAAAGAAAGGUGCUUCUACUUGUCAUUAGUCUGUCAGGGAUGGCAGCAAUACUGAUAAUAGCAAUUGGAGCAUUAUUGAAUCUAAAGUGGCUAAAGAAACCAAAGAGUUCUGGUGGAACAGAGUUGAUGUUAGCGGCAAAAUAUGAAAGAUUUUCAUACUAUGACCUUUUGCACUCAACCGAUAACUACAAUGAAAGCAAUUUGCCUGGAGAAGGGAGCUAUUGUUCUGUUUACAAAGGGAUCCUAAGUGAUGGCACUGUUGUGGCUAUCAAGGUAUUCAACUUGCUAGUGGAAGGUUCAUUAAAAAGUUUUGUUAGAGAAUGUGAGGUUCUAAAGAGUUUAUGCCAUCGAAAUCUUACAAAAGUGCUCGGCAGCUGCUAUAACCCUGAUUUUAAAGCCUUGGUACUCAAAUACAUGUCUAAUGGGAAUGUUGAGAAGUGGUUGUACUCUCACAACCAUUUUUUAGAUAUGUUCCAAAGAAUAAACAUAAUAAUUGAUGUUGCUUGUGCAUUGGAAUAUCUCCAUCAUAGUUCUGAUACUCCUGCGGUACAUUGUGACUUGAAACCCAGUAAUAUCUUGCUUGAUGAAGAUAUGGCUGCCCAUGUAAGUGACUUUGGUAUAGCAAAAAUGUUUGGUGAAGGAGAAAGUAUUUUGCAUACCAACACCCUUGCAACACUGGGAUACAUUGCACCAGGUUAAGCAUUUAAACUUUUGCUGUCUACAUUUCCUCUACUUCUAUGAUGCUGUUCAUCUGUUGUUAAUCUUUUAACUAAUUCUAUUAUUCUGACUAUUAUAAUCUUGUGACAGAGUAUGGAUCAGAGGGGAUAGUUUCGACAAGAAUUGAUGUAUACAGCUUUGGAAUAGUUUUGAUGGAAGUUUUUGCAAGGAUGACGCCUAAUGAUGAAAUGUUUUCAGGAGAUUUAAGCCUUAACAGCUGGGUAGAAGAUUCUCUUCCUGAUGCACUCCAAGUCGUUGAUGCAAACUUAAUUAGGCCAGAGGAUGAGCAUUUCACUGACAAGCUGAAGUGUGUUACAUUGAUUAUGAAAUUGGCUUUGAACUGCUAUAGAGAAUGUCCAAGAGAAAGGAUCAGUAUGAAAGAUGUUUUAGCAAAACUAAUAAAGAUCAAGCACCAAUUUCAAUUUCUGAUGGCACUAAGUAUUUAUCCUUUUUGUACAAAUUUUACUUCUGAAUGCUGAAAGUUAUGUUUCCUUAUUCAAUUGGGCUUAUAACCUGCUAUAUUUUUGCAGCAUACCGUCAGGUCUUGAUCAUAUCAGAAACAAUGCUUUUGACUAGCGUUGCAAGCUCCAUUUCGUCCAUGAUUUGAUAGUCCUUGUUUGGAACCUACUUGGAAAAUAAAUCAAUGUUACGACCUUUUCCAUUGAUUUGGUUUUAUUAUUCCUAGAAUGUGUUAUUAGUGGACUUCCAUGCUCGUUUCUAUCUGUAUAUAUCGUUUCGCAGUUCAUCCCAAUUCUUAAUUAGUGAGUGCCCUGGUGAGUGUGGAAAUCUGAAAUUGAACCGUAAGCAUGGCCAAGGACAAAAUCUACUACUUCUUCUUGCUUAUCUUUAGGUUAGCCGGCAUGGCAGCUAGCAACAGUAAUAUUACUAUGGAUCAAUCAGUGACAUGGUUAAUUACCUCUACCAUUUGUGAUUGGAUAGGGGUCACUAGCAAUUCUCGACACGUUGAGUGACUCCCUUGCAUAUUUCAAACAUGAACUUUUCUAGGGGUACCAUACCUCCUCAACUUGGGAAUAUAUCCUUUCUCGUUUCCCUUGACGUUAGCAGGAACAAUUUCCUUGAAGAACUGCUUCGCGAGUUGGCUCACUUGCGUAGAUUGAGAUACCUUAAUCUUGGAAUCAACAAUUUUGGUGGACAACUUCCCUCCUGGAUUGGUUCCUUAUAGAAACUCCAAUACCUGUCUCUCAGAAACAAUAGCUUUAUGGGUUCUCUCCCACCUUCCAUCUCUAAUAUGUCAAACUUGGAGACGCUAUGGCUGUCCUUCAAUUCCAUUGAGGGAACAAUUCCAACAGAAUUUCGGAGUCAGGUCCUCUGCCACUCCACACUUUCAAUAUUUCCUCACUGGAAACAUUUCUUUCAAUAACAAUAGGCAUUCUUCCAGGCAACAUCUGUCGCAGCCUUCAGAAACUUACACAGCUUGGUCUAGCGCAUAAUAAUUUCAGUGGUCAAAUACCUCCAACAUUGUCUCAGUGUUCAUUGCUUCAGGUGCUAUCCUUGGCUGCGAACAUUUAACCGGAAUCAUAUCCAAACAAAUUGGGAAUUUGACGAUGCUGGAGUUUCUGGAUGCGUGGAGCAACUAUUUAGAAGGUAGAAUCCGGGACAGAACAAUUAAAGUAUAGGACUGACCUGCUUUUCAUUCCAUUAUUUAGGUAUAUUUAAGGGUUGAUUGCACUCUACACCUCAUGACAUUUGUGUUUAACACUUUGCCCUUAAACUAUCAAUUACAAGUUUACAACACCAUGAUAUCUUUGUCUUCUUGUGCAACCUGUACCAUCUAUAGUGGGAAGUAAGAUUUCCGAACAAAUCCGAACAAUUUUCAGGUACAAUUUCAGAGGAAAUUUGGAAUUUAAAUAUGUUGAGACUCGUAAGCUUUCAUGGCAACUUCUUGACAAGUAGGCCAAACUUCCUUAAUUACAAGAUUGAUCUUAAUUGAUUUAGACUGCAAUUAUAACUUGGCAUGAGUUUGACCUAGAGGAUACCUAGCGAAUAUUUUCAAUUCAGUGAGAUUUGCAGUUGCCAGUUAAUUUUGAUCUAAAGAUCUUUGGAGAAGCUUACAUCCAAUUUUCACUUUUACUAGUUUUUAAGAAUUUUAUGUCCAAAGAGGUCUACGCCAAAGAAGCAACUUUGAAGCUUGAACAAGGAUACACAAUAGUCAAAUACUUGAAAGAUUUGUUUGUUUCAGAGAGUUGCUAAUUAGUGCGAUUAAAAAAUCAACAAUUGUGUGCUACUAAACUUAAGAAAAUUCUAUGAUAUUUCCUUAACUUAUAUCUCUUAUUAAAGAUAGUAAUUUAAAUUUUAAAUAUUUAAGAAUAUUUAAUCUAAGAAACAAUAAUACUUCUUCCACCAUCCGACAGUAAACUUUAUUUAUGGAUAUGAUAUCCAAAAGGAACGGUAAAAUCUGCUCUAAACUUAUUAAGAUUAUCAAAGGUGUGGGCUAACCUGUGCUUGGCCCAUUAAAAAUUCAAAGCGAGUUCACUUGCAUUAGCGCUAAGUCAAUGUUGGACCUAUAUUUGGAAACCAAUUAAAAUAUCGGCUAGGUUGUGGGCAAGUUAGGCUCAUCUUGAAUAAGGCUUGACCCAUUUAAUUAUAUAAUUUUUGUUUUCUUUGUUUGGAGUAGAUGAUAUCGAUACGCCACUUUUUGACAUGUAUCUACUUUCCCUGUUUUAGAUUGGUUUUAGGAGGCAGCAAAUAUUAAAGGGUAAGGCUAUAAGGGUGUGUGGAUAUCAAGUGGAAAGAGCUUAAUAUUUAUUUGUUUAGAGUAGAUGAUAUCGAUACGCCACUUUUUAACAUGUAUCUUGAGAUUCUUGGACUCCACCAAAAUGACUUGAAUGGAGUUAUACCCGGCUCCAUCUCAAAUGCUUCUAAUCUCAUUUGGCUAAGCCUUCAAUUUAAUAGCUUCACUGGCGUAAUUCCCAACUCCCUAAGAAAUUUGAGAAACAUCAAGAAUCUAGACUUAGCCAGCAACAAUCUAGCAACUGAUUCCUCUGCCAGAUCGAGCUUUCUCAUUUCCUUGACAAGUUGUAGGUUCUUGAGAUAUUCAAUAGUGGGCGAUAAUCCACUCAAUGGUUUUCUUCUAGUAGCAUUUUCGAACUAUUCAACUUCUCUGGAAGUCUUAAUUGCUACUAGGUGUAAAGUCAAGGGAAACAUCCCUAAAACAAUUGGCAAUUUGAGCAGUUUUACUGGUGUUAGAUUUAUCAUAUAAUGUACUCAUUGGAUCUGUUCCAAGAACAAUACAAGGUUUAACAAAACUUUAGCGAUUGGACUUUAGUGUCAAUGAAAUAAGAGAAUCCUUGGAACUUUUCUGUGGAUCAUAUACAUUGGGUGAGUUGCAAUUGAGCCAAAAUCAGUUCUCCGGUCCACUUGCAAUGUGUUUAGGAAAUCUUACAUCUCUGACCAAGAUUCCAAUAAAUUGACUUCAAAGAUUCAUACCAGACUGUGGAACGUGAAAAAUCUUCAAGAACUCAAUCUUUCCUCAAACCUUUUAAGUGGAUCCCUACCUCCAAAGAUCGACAACCUCAAACCAACAUACCUUUUAGAUUUCUCAGUCAAUCAACUAUAAGACAUUAUUUCUACUACAAUUGGAGAGCUACAAGAUUUGACUUACCUUUCUAUGGCAAACUGAUAGGGCGUUAAUUGUCAGUAAUUUUAUUGUUAAUUUUCCCCUUUAUCCUUGCUAAAUAUUGUUUUAAAUUGUUAAUAUAUACUUAUAUUUGGUACUUGGACAUAUCUAUAGGAAGGGGACGGAAAAGUGCUAAAAAGGGGGACCUGUUGAAGAAAAUUGCUCCACACGUGGGAGACUUCAAAAAGCUUCACAAACUUGGCCCACGGGUACUUAGCAACGGACUUCCCUUUUUCUUUUGCUGAUGAAGAGUCUUACUAGCAAGAGAAAACUAAAAAAAGUGGAAGUCGGCAGAGCUUCCUUUUUGUACUUUGACUCUCAAUUCGGCGGGGACCACGGAGGGGAGCAUUAGUCAUUGUUUUAGAAACAAACAUAGAGAGCCGUGGGUGAUUGUUUUUUUUAGCAAUAGUUUAGUUCUCUUUCUUUUUUCUCCUUUGCAUGCAUUCCUGGUGUUCGACGAUAUUCCCCUUUGAAAAACAGCUUUGACUUCUUGCUUUCUAGUGAAAAGAGUGAUGCCUUUGCAAUCAAUUAAUUUGCGUGAAGAUUUACUUAUGCGGCGUGAUUAAGCUUUUCAUCUAAUUAAGGAUCAACGCGACGAUGCAAUCCCGAAUAUCUGUGAGAUCGAAUUAGUUUUCAUGUGUUCCUUAAUUUGUUAAUAUUUGCACGUUGUCUACUUGAAUUUCCUUGCGAUUAGUUUGAUAAUUGGAUGUCAAGGGCCUGAUGUUCAAUGUGACUGAUUAAUCUCUUGCCAAAUUAGUCAAUUAAAUCCGUAAUUGUUUAAUCGAUUAAUAUCAGUGGCAACUAGCAUUUUUACACACUAGGGAAACAUGCAAUCUGAUUUAAAUAACCCUCGUAGUGUGUUAUUGAUUGGGGUUAGGUUUUUCUAGUUUUUAAUGCAAUUGGGGAAUGAAUUCCUACGGUCGUACCUAAGAGUAUUUUCUAAUUAGGGGUAAUCAAUGGUCGUACCUUGGUUAUCAAUAAAUUAAGGAAAAAUUGAUCAUCAGAGCUCGUUGGCGACUAUAACUGACCUAUUAAUAAAUUAAAUGAACCUCCAUUGCAUCAAUGAUCGGAUGAAUGGACUGUAUCUGUGUCUGUGUAGUUGUAUCCUUGGUUAGAAUUUAUCUAUUCUUGAUUUAAUUCCUGUCUAUAUUCGUGGUAGUUAAUUAUUAGUUUUAAUUGAGUUGCUUAAUUAUUUUUAGCUUUAUUCUGAUAAAACCCCUCUUUUUCCAAUUGGAACCUCAAAGAGACAAAUAUUCCCAAUUCCUGAGGAGACGACUCUGCUUGCCACUAUCUAUUAGUUAAUAAAUUUUAUCAACUUAUUAAUUCUGAUAUAUCGGAUUAAGCGAAUUCUUCGGGAACAGAGUGAAUCAAGUAACCCAUUGCAUACCUAAAGUCCCUGUUCCAGUACCUAGAUUUGAUUAUUGACUGCUUUUAGUGGUAAUUAAAUUUUAUUAUUAUAAUUGCACAGACUCGACACCUGUCAAUUUUUUACGCCGCUGCCGGAGACUGGCAUUAAUUAUUUGUUUCUUUUAAAUUCAUCUUUGUUCUAAUUAUCUGAUGCUUCUCUAGUGUAUGCCCCAUUCUUCUUGUACAGGCGAAUUAAUUUUCGACCCUGAAGUAGGGAAGAUCACAUGUAGAACGAGGAAAGAAACCAGACAAUUUAGGGAAGAGCAAUCCAGUGUUGCACCUCAAGGACUUGAUCCAAAGGUUGAGUCAACGAAUUUACGUGGUGAUACUUCGAGUGAUUCAGACCAAGAGAAAGUCACCAUGGCGAAUGCACACACACUAAGAGAGUUGGCUGCUUCUGAUUUAAAUCAGCAGCCCUUAUGCAUUACUUUUUCGCAUUUAAAUGAUAGCACAUUUUUUGAGUUGAAAUCUGGCCUAAUUCAUCUUUUACCAUCUUUUCAUGGCUUACCAAGUGAGGAGUCUCACAAACACUUGCAGGAGUUUGAUGUCGUCUGCAACAAUAUGAAACCCUCGAGAAUUACAGAGGAACAAAUAAAAAUAAUGCCAUUCCCCUUUUCUUUGAAGGAUUUCGCAAAAGACUGGCUAUACUACCUACCACCAGAUAGCAUCACUACGUAAGACCAGCUGAAGAAAAAAUUUCUGGAAAAAUAUUUUCCUGCAUCUCGGGCCGUUAGUUUAAGGAAAGAGAUUUGCAGCAUCAAACAACACUUAGGUGAGUCUCUCUACGAAUACUGGGAAAGAUUCAAAAAGUUGUGUAUCAAAUGCCCUCAACACCAGAUAAGUGAGCAACUGCUCAUUCAAUAUUUCUACAAGGGCCUACUCUUCAAAGAUAGAAGCAUAAUCGAUACUGCAAAUGGAGGAGCAUUGGUAAACAAGACUCCUCGAGAGGCUUGGGAGCUAAUUGAGGGGAUGGCUAAGAAUUCACAGCAGUUCAGUUCAAGAGAGGGUGUCCCGACGCGUAGGGUGAAUGAGGUAGAAACAUCCUCCAUCCAACAACAACUCUCUGAAUUGAUGUCUUUCGUGCGACAACUAGCUAUGGGAAGUGCCUCACAAGCCAAAGUAUGUGGGGUGUGCACUGUCUUAGGUCAUUUUACGGAGAUGUGUCCGUUAGUUCAAGAAAAAAAUGCAGAACACGUAAAUAUGGCUAGCCACGUGCCUGUGCCAAGAAAGCAAUACGAUCCAUAUUCAAAUACAUACAAUCUUGAUUAGAGAGAUCAUCCCAACCUCAGUUAUAGAGGAAAUAGACAGUCUAACUUUGUGCCAAAUAGACAACAAGGGUACCAGCAGCAGUACCAACCUCGACCACCACCCCAACCACCGAGGUCUAGUCCAUCUUUGGAGAAGAUGAUGAAACAACUGAUGGCUACUACCGCACAACAUUAACAAAAGAUGGACUCGAAAUUGCAGAGCAUAAGAAAUCAAAUGAACCAGAUGCAAUCCAUGCAAAGUCAAAUGAAUCAGAUGGCAAUAGCGAUCAACCACAUGGAAUCCCAAGUUCAAGGGAAGCUGCCAUCUCAACCUGAGUUAAAUUCCAAAAAAUGUUAGUGUAAUGACCUUGAGGAGUGGCAAGGAAAUCCAAGGACCCGAACUGGUGAUUCCUAAGGACAAGAACGAGGAACGAAUUGAGAAAGAGUUGGAAGAAGAGAGCAAAAACAACAAAGAUUCAAAGGUAACCCCAAACCCAGUCACUUUAGUUUGCAAUAAUCCAUCUCCCUUCCCCAGCAGGCUAGAGAAACCAAAGAAGCCGAACAAGGAGAAAGAGGUUCUAGAGAUCUUCUGCAAGGUGGAGAUGAACAUUCCCUGUUGGACGCGAUUAAACAAGUACCCAAAUAAGCAAAAUUUUUGAAAAACUUGUGUGUCAACCGAAAGUGGUUGAAAGGAGAUGAGCGAGUGGUAGUGGGGGAGAAUGUGUCAGUAAUUCUACAACGGAAGUUUCCACCAAAAUGCAAGGACCCAAGUAUAUAAACUAUUCCUUGUAGGAUAAGUAAUACCUUAAUUGGGAAAACAAUGUUAGACCUAGGAGCUUCGAUAAAUGUCAUGCCAAAGUUCAUAUAUGCUUCUUUGAAUUUAGACCCUUUAAAAUAGAUUGGGAUAAUAAUCCAAUUAGUUGACCAAACCAAUACAUACCCUGACGGGUUGAUUGGAGAUGUUUUGAUAAAAAAUAAUGAAUUGAUUUUUCCAGCUGACUUCUAUGUGCUUGACAUAGAUGAUGAACACUCCCAUGAACUAUCACCCUUUCUGUUAGGUAGAGCCUUUUUUAGUACAGUCAGAACAAAAAUUGAUGUUAAUAAGGGUACCUUGUCCAUGAAAUUUGAUGGUGCGAUUGUUCACUUUAACAUCUUUGAGACCAUGAAAUAUCCUUCUGAUUCAAAUAUUGGCUCUAUUUUCUCUGUAAAUGUUAUUGACCUUACUGUACAGGAAGUUUUUGAAAUUAAAAGUAGUGAUGAGUUAGAAGUCGCCUUGACCAGGCACUUCGGGUCAGAGACGACCUCUGAGGUAGAGUUGAACGAAGAACUCAAAUAUGUGAUUGGAUCGUUGCAAUCGUUGCCAACCACGAGAACAAAGGUUUGUUUGGAUAGAUUAUUAUUUAAAAUAUUAUUUGAAAUAAAUACUGCAACAAUUUUGUGAUAUGAUAUAUGCGAGAUAAAAAGGUGGUUGGAAAUAUAAAAAAAUGUGUUGAAAAAUGUGUUUAUGAUGCAAGCGAAAUAUUCUUUGGGAUAACUUCACUAUCCAAACAAACCCAAGGUAUGGUUUUGCACCCAUUUUCACACCUGAAUCUCAUCAAAGGUUACUUCCAUCUGUGGUGCAGGCGCCUGUUUUGAAAUUAAAACCUCUGCCAAAACACCUGAAGCAUGCAUACUUGGGUAAAGGGGAGACACUUCCAGUGAUCAUAUCUGCUAGUUUGUCAGAAGUUCAAGAAAACAAACUGAUUCGAGUCUUGAGGGAACAUAAGCAGGCGAUAGGAUGGACCAUCGCCUAUAUCAAGGGAAUUAGCCCCACAGUGUGUAUACAUAGGAUCCGACUCGAGGAGGGUGCUAAACCCGUACGGCAGGUUCAAAGGAGAUUAAAUCCUUUUAUGAUGGAGGUUGUGAAGAAAGAGAUUUUAAAGUUGCUGGAUGUCCGAAUUAUAUUUACAAUAUCGGAUAGCUCAUGGGUGAGUCCAGUGCAUGUGGUUUCGAGGAAGACAGGGGUGACGGUGGAAUUAAACCAAAAGGGUGAGGUCGUACUAGUUCGGAAACCCACAGGGUGCCUGCAGUAUAUAAACUACCAGGAGUUAAACAUCGUCAUAAAAAAGGAUUAUUUCCCUCUCUCUUUCAUUGAUCAGAUGGUAGAGCGAUUAGCAUGUUGAGCUUACUAUUAUUUUUUGGAUGGAUUUUCAGGUUAUUUCCAAAUUACCAUCGCACCCAAGGAUCAGGAGAAGACUACCUUCACGUGUCCGUUUAGAACGUUUGCAUACCGAAAGAUGCCCUUGGGAUUGUGCAUUGCAUCUGCUACCUUCCAAAGAUGCAUGGUAAGUAUCUUUUCAGAGUAUGUUGAAAGAUUAUUGAGGUUUUCAUGGACGAUUUCAGUAUGUAUGGUGAAAGUUUUGAUAACUGUCUAGAUAACCUGAAAUUGAUCUUAGUAAGGUGUAUAUAAACUAAUAUCGUGCUUAAUUGGGAAAAAUGCCACUUUAUGAUCGAACGCGGGAUAAUUUUGGGUCAUGUAGUGUCAUUUAGGGGUAUUGAAGUCGAUAAGGCAAAAAUAGAUGUUAUAUCUAUUUUACCUUACCCCGCGAGCGUGAGGGAAGUGCAUUCUUUUUUGGAUCAUGCAGGUUUCUAUCGAAAGUUCAUUAAAGACUUCUCGAAGAUUGGAGCACCAUUAUUCCAACUUCUGCAAAAAGAGGUGUCAUUCGAGUUCGAUGAAGCAUGUAAGAGGGCGUUCGACAGGUUGAAAGGGCUAUUGACCUCCUCACCUAUUAUCCAAUCGCCUGAUUUGAACAUACCAUUCGAGAUCAUGUGCGAUGCUGGUGCUGGGUCAAAGAGUGGGAAAGACAGCCCAUGCUAUCUACUACGCAUUUCGAGCCUUAAACGGAGCUCAAUUGAACUAUUCAACCACCAAAAAGGAGUUUUUGACAGUUGUUUUUGCUUUAGAGAAAUUUUGGUCUUAUUUAUUAGAUGCUAAGGUUAUUAUUUUUUCUGAUCAUGCAGCUUUGCGGUAUCUGUUGACCAAGAAAGAGGCAAAAUCACGACUGAUACGGUGGAUAUUAUUGCUACAAGAGUUCGACCUGGAGAUCCGAGAUAAGAAAGGGGUGGAGAACCUGGUAGCAGAUCACUUGAAUCGAGUACAUGUCGUCAAGAACAACCUCCCACUGAGAGACGCAUUCCCUGAUAAGUAUUUAUUUUCUAUUAAUUUAUCUUUGUCUUGAUAUGCAGAUAUUGUUAACUUUCUAAUCACUGACAAGUUCCCUUCAGGAUGGCCCAAGGCGAAGAGGGACAAGUUGAGGAGUGAUGCAAAAUCCUACAUUUGGGAUGAUCCUUACCUCUGGAAGCAAAGUUCCGACCAAGUCAUCCGCAGAUGUGUAAGUGAGAAUUAAUUCCAAUUUAUUUUAACUUAUUAUCACUCUUUUGUGUGUGGAGGCCACUUUGGACCAAAGAGAACGGCUCGUAAGGCUCUAGAAAGCGGGUUCUAUUGGCCGACCCUCUUCAAGGACGCCUACUCAUUUUGUAAAUCCUGUGAUAAGUGUCAACGAGUAGGUAGUCUCUCUCGUAGGGAUCAAAUGACUCAGACCCUCAUGAUUUUUGUUGAAAUUUUUGACGUUUGGGGCAUCGAUUUUAUGGAUUCUUUUUCUUCAUCUUUUGGUUUUUUGUAUAUAUUGUUUGCUGUAGAUUAUGUUUCAAAGUGGAUGGAAGCAAAGGCCACCCGCACUAAUGAUUCCAGAGUAGUUGCAUAUUUUAUCAAAUCUAACAUUUUUGUCCGCUUUGGGAUGCCGCGAGCAAUUGUAAGCGAUUGGGGCACUCAUUUCUGUAACAAGACGAUUGCUGCAGUUUUUAGGAGCUAUGAUGUCUUGCACAAAGUCUCCACAUCCUACUAUCCUCAGACAAACGGUCAGGCGGAAGCGUCAAACCGAGAGAUCAAGUCGAUUUUAGAGAAUAUGGUUCGACCCGAUAGGAAAGAUUGGAGUGUGAAACUGGAGGAUGCACUAAGGCAUAUAGGACGGUGUACAAGACACCAUUGGCAUGUCCCCAUACCAUUUGGUAUUUGAGAAGCCAUGUCACUUCCCGAUUGAGUUCGAGCAUAGAGCGUUUUAGGCGGUCAAAUAAUACAAUAUGGAUAUCGAGGAAGGCAAAAUUCAUAGAAAGUUGCAAUUACAAGAAUUGAAACAAAUUCAAAAUGAAGCAUAUGAGAAUGCGGUGAUCUAUAAGGAGAAAAAUAGGAUCUUUCAUGACCAACAGAUAUCCAGGAAGACAUUCGUCUACGGGCAAAAAGUUCUACUGUACCACUCGAAAUUGAAGCUAUUUUCAGAUAAAUUACGUUCUUGUUGGAUUGGUCCUUUUGUUGUGACUAAUGUUUUUCAUUAUGGUGCAGUGGAGAUCCAGAAUUUGAAAACGGAGAAAAAAUUUGUAGUGAAUGGUCACCGUCUCAAGCCAUAUUAUGAAGGGCUUCCAGUUGAGUAGGUGGAGAUGAUGCAACUAGAAGAUCCGAUUUGCUUAGUUUAAGCAAAUUCUGGGCUAUGUGUAGUCAAAAAUAUUAAAGAAAGGCGCUUUUUGAGAGGCAACCAAAAUAUUGAUUUUAUUGUUUUUCGUGGUUCAAUUCUUUCGUUUUGUUAUUUCUCAUUUGGGUAGUAGUCGGUCUUAAUAUUUUUCUCCAUUAUGACCAGGAAGGGGAAUCUUGGCGUGUCCACGCCGUGUCAGUGCCUCCCGAGAUCAGUGGACGUUUACCAAUCUUGGCAUGCCCACACCAUGUUGGUAAAAUCUCAACAUCUCACGAUAUUGGCAUGAAGGAAAAUUUUGGCAUGCUCACACUGUGUUAGUGCCUCCCGAGGUCAGUGGACGUUUUGUAAUCUUGGCAUGCUCACGCUAUAUUUGACGACCCAAAAACAAAGGAAAUAUUUUUAAUUUAAAAAUAAAAAAAUGAUUAGAAAAAAAUAAAAAUAAAUUUAUUUUCCUUUUAAACCUUCAAUUUUGUUAAAAAAAAUAUUUUCAAAUUUUGAAAUUUAAAUUCGAAAAAAUUUGUACUUAAAAAAAACUAUUUUAUUUUUUUCUUUUCCUUCUUCUUUUCUUUCCUUCUUCUUUUCUUUCUAUCUUCUCCCCAAUUCCUUUCUCCUUCACUUUGGCCGACACCACCUCGCGUCCGCCGCUCUUUCGUCUCCCUCCUCGCGCGACCAACCUUCUCUCCUGUCACGCCCGCAAGGGGCGCCGCCACUCUCCACCGUCCAUCCUCGCGAUCUCUCUCUCUCGAUCUCACCUAGUGCGUCGCCUCCACCCCACGCCGCUGCUGGUGCCGGGCGUCGCCAUCAGACGCCCACUCAAGGCGAGCGCCGCGAACCUCCAUCGCGCGCCACCAGCACGCCCGUCGCUCACUCGUCAACCACCGUUGUCUCCGAGCUCCACCGCCAGUCCAACCCGCGACGUCUCCCUCCUCCUCUCCUCUCUCGUUCAACCACAGUCCGCUGCACUCUAACCCGCGACAGCAGCCCCUUGUCACACGCCGUACCUAAAAAAAAAAACCCCAAGCCGCCGUAGCCGCUGCUCGCCGCUCCUUCUAUCGUGCACCGCCGCUACCGUGAGCACCCACGGACGCCGCGGUCUCCAUCAGCAAUCAGGCCUCCAUCUCCCUAGUGCACAACUGUCCAGCUUCGCGACCACUCGCUUCUGCCUCCAACCUCACGCGACUGCCGACACUCGAAGCCACCGGCGGUACUCUCUCUCUCCCCGGUGGAGGUGCCAUUCCAUUCUCCCCUAUUGCCUACUUGUUGGGAUUAUUCAUUGCUGGAUUUUCGUUGUUGGCCUCUAUAGAGGGCAUCUCUACUGGAAUUGAGUUGCUUCAGUUCGCAUUGCUAAACAUUGUCUGAGUAUGGCUUACCUUGUUGUUGAAAUAGGCAAUUGUUCAGUUUGUUGAUUUGUGGGUGUAUGUGACGGCUCAACUAAGUGCUUCUGCCUUUUCAAUUGGUGACAUUUGUUGAGUUUCACUUGCUUUUUUUGUGUUUAUUUGUUGCAUUGGAAGGUGCUUGUGGCACUUGCGUUUGCUUAUUAAAGUAGGUUGCCUCUAAUUGCCUUGAUUGGGAAUAUGUUGUCUUUUUGUUUCAUUUACUAAGUUCAUUGGAACACUUGCUGCAAUUUAGGGGAUGCAUUGUUUCUGCAUUUGGCUAAACUUGGGACCACCAGUGCUUAUUGUUCAACAUUGUUGUAUUGUUGGGGUAUUUUUAUACCUUUUGGGUGUUUGAAUUAUGCAUUUUAUUGUUUGGGUGGCACCAGUGGUUCUUACAUUGUUAUUGCCUCAAAUUUUGCUGGUUAUUCUGCCUUUUGCCGUUUGGGUUGCCUGCUAGUUACCAUGGUGAGGCCACGGUCAGCCUCUAGGUCUAGGACACCUAGAACUUCUCAGCCUCCCCCGCCCCAACCCACCAUUCCUGCCUCUGACCCCUUGCAAGACCCUUCCUCCUCUGGAAGGAGGGCUCGCUUUGGGAGGUAGAGAGGCGUCCAUAUUUUUGACCCUUCACAUUUUGAGGGUAACUUGGACUUCACCUGGGUUGCCAACAAGCAGCGAUAUGCUGUUUGUUGUGAAUGGCGGAUUACUCCCUAUCGAAAUCAGGACGCUGACAUCUUGGGUCUUCUGAAUAUUCAAGUUGAUUUUGACCGAUUAAUUGCAACCAUUGGGUGGCGUCCCUAUUCUUAUAUUGUUGACCGUCUAGCUUUUGUAAAGUUGGUUAGGGAGUUCUAUGCCACAUUUAAGUUCGACCUUCCUACUGAUUACACAGUUUAUACUCCCAAUGUCAUCCGUUUUCGGUUAAUGGGUCAAGAAUUCCACUACUCCAUUACUGAUUUCAAUCUAACCUUAUGUUUGAUCGAUCAGACUUAUGUCGAAUCUCGUGAGUAUGCCGAGAGUGCAUGUGACUACGUACAGUCUUUUUUCUCCCGCUAUCGACAUAUUUGGGAUGAUAUGUCCGUACACCGUGCUAAUUAUGACUCUCGUCUGUCUAAGGGUUCUUAUCUGAAGGAUCCGGCGUUUCGCUAUAUCCACCGUUUCUUGGCCUAUAGUUUCUCGGGUAGGCGAGAUAGCUCGGGCGUUUUGUAUAAAUCCAAAAUUUUCUUUAUUUGGUGCAUGCAUAACAAUAUUAAGGUUAAUCUGGGGUGCUAGCUCGCUUCUCAAUUCAAAUCUGUUUUGCCAAAAAAGAAGCGCCCCCUGAUUUUUGGGUCAUACAUUACUCAUUUGACUGUUAAUUUGCAUGUGCUUGAUCUCUCUAAUCAUGAUUUGCAUGUUGCCUGUCAAAUGGAGCCCUUGGACUUUUCUUGUCUAGAAAAAUGGAUUUGGUUUGGGAGGGUGACAGUGGUUAGGAGGUUGUUCCCCCGGGACCGACUUGAGUUCCCCCUCGAUUCUCUUUUGCCCGAUCGUCCACUACUAGUGAUGACCCCGGCCCGUCUACCUCCUCUCAAUUCCCUCCACCCCCAGCAACUGAGGAUUGGCACCAACUCCAUAUGGAAGUUCAGAGACUGGAGGCUCAGGUGACUAACAUCGAUAACAACAUACAUUUCAUGGCGCAGAAUUUGACAGCAUUUAUGCACCAUACGGGUCUUGCUGCUCAAUUUCCACUUAACCCGCCGCUAUGACCCUGAUUUCAGGGAAGUACCGUUGCUCUUUUGCUUACUUUUGCUAUUAGAUUAUCAUAUUGAGGGCAAUGUGUGAUUAGGUGUGGAGGGGGAUCGUUGUGGUGCUAGUAUUUUUAGUUUUUAGGUUCUAGAGGUUUUUUCUUUAUUUUUAGUUUGCUUUUGUCUAUCUUUCAUUUAUUUUCUUUUUUUUUUAGUGAUCAGCUCUUUUAUGAAUACCAAGUUUCGAUAUUGGAUUGUUGACUCUAAUCCUACUAUUGUCAAGUUUUAAUAAUAAAAGUGUAUCUAACUAAUAUGGUUGAGUCUAAGAACAUCUCUUUAGUGAAUAUCGAUGAUUGUUUGACUCUUAUAAUUUUUGGGUUAACUUUUCUAAACAUUUGGAAUGAUUGUUGGCAUUUUCAUAUGAAUUGGUCCGAUUAUUAACUUUAGUUCUCCAUAUUUGAAGAAAUGAGGCUAGUUGCUACUGUUUUUGUUUUUAAGAUGUAUUACUUUGAGUAUUGAGUUAUUUGGCUGUGAAUAAAAGUAGACUGCGCUCCGCUAGUGGUUACUACUGAAUAACCGAGGAUUUUCACCUCAAGUGUCGAUUCUCGCGUCAAAAGGUAGUAAUUUCUGAGUACGUGAUCGUAUAGCGAUAGGAGCUGAGUAACCGGAAUUUUUCAUCUGACAAAUGUUGGGAUUCGCUUCAAAAGACUCCAAUGGCUAGAGCUAAGUCUUUUGCUACUACUGAAAAAGAAAGAAAAAAAAGAAAAAUACAAAAUGUGAAAAAAAAAAAGUGAAGGUUGUGUUAGUAUGUGAUAAAAAUCAGCUUGCCGAUUUGUGAAUUUAAUGUUGAGAUUUUAGUUAAUAGUUGGACCAUUUGCUGUUAAUGUUGAGCGACCAUUCCUUUUUCUUAAACUAGUUAACCUGAAAUUGGAGAAGUUGGUGGCUUAGGAGCUAACCGAGGUGAUGUUUCUUGGAUCUUGAUCACUGAUGCUUGAUCUAUAUUUUUCUUAGUAUCUUGGCAAUAUGGUAAAUAGAGCAAUAAUCACUAUCAAAUCUCGGUGUUUAUUUGAUGUUCUCAUGCUUGAGGGCAAGCAUGAUUCAGAUGUGGGGGGAAUUGAUAGGGUGUUAAUUGUCAGUAAUUUUAUUAUUAAUUUUCUCAUUUAUCCUUGUCAAAUAUUGUUUUAAAUUGUUAAUAUAUACUUAUGUUUGGUACUUGGACAUAUCUACAGGAAGGGGACGGAAAAGUGCUAAAAAGGGGGAUCUGUUGAAGAAAAUUGCUCCACACGUGGGAGACUUCAAAAAGGUUCACAAACCUGGCCCACAGGGUACUUAGCAACGGACUUCCCUUUUUUUUGUUGAUGAAGAGUCUUACUAGCAAGAGAAAACUAAAAAAAGUGGAAGUCGGCAGAGCUUCCUUUUUGUACUUUGACUCUCAAUUCAACGGGGACCACGGAGGGAAGCAUUAGUCAUUGUUUUAGAAACAAACGUAGGGAGCCGUGGGUGAUUGUUUUUUUUAGCAAUAGUUUAGUUCUCUUUUUUUUUCUCCUUUGCAUGCAUUCUUGGUGUUCGACGAUAUUCCCAUUUGAAAAACAGCUUUGACUUCUUGCUUUCUAGUGAAAAAUGUGAUGCCUUUGCAAUCAAUUAAUUUGCGUGGGGAUUUACUUAUGCGGGCGUGGUUAAGCUUUUCAUCUAGUCAAGGAUCAACGCGAUGACGCAGUCUCGAAUAUCUGUGAAUCGAAUUAGUUUUCAUGUGUUCCUUAAUUUGUUAAUAUUUGCACGUUGUCUACUUAAAUUUCCUUGGGAUUAGUUUGAUAAUUGGAUGUCAAGAGCCCGAUGUUCAAUGUGACUGAUUAAUCUCUUGUCAAAUUAGUCAAUUAAAUCCAUAAUUAUUUAAUCGAUUAAUAUCCGUGGCAACUAACGUUUUUACACACUAGGGGAACAUGCAAUCUGAUUUAAAUAACCCUCGUAGUGUGUUAUUGAUUGGGGUUAGGUUUUUCUAGUUUUUAAUGCAAUUGGGAAACUAAUUCCUAUGAUCGUACCUAGGAGUAUUUUCUAGUUAGGGGUAAUCAAUGGUCGUACCUUGGUUAUCAAUAAAUUAAGAAAAAGUUGGUCAUCGGAGCUCGUCGGCAACUAUAACUGACAUAUUAACAAAUUAAGUGAACCUCCCUUGCAUCAAUGAUCAGAUGAAUGGACUGUGUCUGAGUAGUUGUAUACUUGGUUAGAAUUUAUCUAUUCUUGAUUUAAUUCCUGUCUACAUUCGUGCUAGUUAAUUAUUCAUUUUAGUUGAGUUGCUUAAUUAUUUUUAACUUUAUUCUGAUAAAACCCUCCUUUUUCCGAUUGGAAUCUCAAAGAGACAAAUAUAUCCAGUCCCUGAGGAGACAACCCUGCUUGUCACUGUCCACUAGUCAAUAAAUUUUGUCAACUAAUUAAUUCUGGUAUAUCGGAUUAAGCAAACUCUUCGGGAACAGAGUGAAUCAAGUUACCCAUUACACACCUAGAGUCCCUGCUCCAAUACCUAGAUUUGAUUAUUGACUGCUUUUAGUGAUAGUUAGGUUUAUUAUUAUAAUUGCAUAGGCUCGACAACUGUCACAAACAACACUUUUCAAGGGUCUAUGCUAGAUUCAAUUGGAAAUAUGAUAAGCUUGGAAUCCUUGAACCUUUUCAUAUGAAACCAAAAGAUUAAUUUUAAUUGUCAACACUAUAGACCAACCUAUUGCGACAACAUUUGCUGCACAUGCAGAAAAGAAGGAAUAUUCCUGUUGACAUUCAGCCUAACUCUUUAAAAUCCUGUUAGCAUAUUAUCUUUCAUGCUUAUGUUGGCUCUUAAUGUGGUGAUUUCUGAUUUUCUGAAAUGAAGUUAGAACUUCUCCAAUUGCUAUCCUCUCCUCGAGUAGCUCUGCUAAGCACUUGAAAGCUACUUCCAUUGUCAAUGAUGUGCACUGAACUGAUAGGGCGAUAAUUGAGCGUUUAUUACGUUGGUAUUUGGUCCUAAUUUUGGCCAAUUGUUGUGCAGAGUAAUGGGUUUUUGCUCAUAUUUGGUAAUUGUGUUAUUUGUAAGCGACUGAUGUCAAAAGUGGCAGAGAGAGGCAAUUUUCCAGAAGACUAGUCAUUCCAGAACAUGCCCACGCUAGAGAUCCUAGGGUGACGUCCAAAAGACGAACUGCGGGACUUAUCCCUGGGAGCUUGCCGCUAUUCUUGGAAGGUGUAUUUUGAAGUCACGUGGGAUUAGGAGACAUCUUGAGAGACCUUUGGCAACAAAGCAAGGAGAAAAAAAAUAAGGAAAGAGAUUCCUUAUAGAAACAAGCACUUUGUUAGCUAAAGAGACGGCGGUGGCAAAACUUUAAAUAAGGCAGCAAUAGACUAGGAGUUGGUAUCUUUGACCUUGGAUCUUUAGUUUUUCUCUUCUUCUUCUUAACGUGACUUAGAGAUUCGUGGUUUUUACUUUAUCAACUAAAUUCUAUAAAACGCUUUCAAUUGCAUCAACGUUAUGCGACAAGGCUAGAUCCUUUGUCUAGUUGAGGAAUAAUCAAGGCCCAGUGCACGGAAAAUUGUGAGAUCUUUUUAAUUGUUCUGCGCUAAUUCAAAUUUUGCGUUAGUGGGUAUUUAAUUAUUCUUUGUUUUAAUAGCCUAUUCUUGUUUGGAUCAAUGUGGCCAGUUAUUCAAUUGUUUGAAUAAUAUACUGCCAAUUAGGACGAGGGUGCGUAUCACUUGAUUGUCUUAAAAUUAGUGGCAAACGGCACAAUUUCAUUGCCUUGCAAGCAGUCUAAUCUGUGUCGUAGGAAUAGUGAAUCUAGUUUAAAUGAACCUGCAUGUGUGUUUGUUAACUAGAAUUUGAUCUCUCUAAUUCCUAAACUGGGAAUAAAUUAAAUCUUUCGAGCGUCUCUGGGGUUAUCUAUUUUACAAGAGGGUGGUUUAAGAGCAUCUCUAGAUCACCAUAUAAUUAAGAAGAAAUUGGUAGUUUGGCGAGAUUAUUUUCUUGAUUAGGUUGUGUCAAUUAAUUAAUUAUUAUAUUCUUUAACUACUGCACUUUCUUGCGAGUAGAAAUUCAGUACUCUUACCUCUUUAAGUUUUUCUUUUUGUCUUCCUUUCUAAACCCCUCCACAUUCUCUGUGUGUGAUAAAUCUACCAGCUCCCUGAGGAGACGACCCUACUCAUCACUAUAUUCGUUUAGUUUUGAGAGUAGGUCUUGAUAUAAAUUUUAUUUUUGGUAGUUUGACAGUCACUAAAUUUUGGUGCCGUUGCUGCGGACCUGGUGUUUGAAGUGAUUUAUUACACAGGUUGUGUUUAGCCUUUGUUUUAAGCCUCGAUCUUCCCGUACAGGAAGACUCGAAUUUGACCCAGAGAUCAAGAAAAUAGCAAGGAGGUUGACGAAGGAGACUAAGUUGCAAAAACAACAAGUUUCAACGGCAAUACUCCCUGAACUUGAACAAAAUUCAAAUUUAAGUGAUUCAUCAGUUGAAUUGGAAACAGACUUGACUGGACCAAACGAAAAAAUGGCUGGCCAAAGGACUUUGGGGGAGUUUGCAACCCCGAAUGUUAACCAACAGCCUCUGUGCAUUACGUAUCCCGACAUUGAGGAGGCUUUUGAAUAAAAAUCUAGUUUGAUUCAUCUAUUGCUUACUUUUCGUGGUAUUGCAGGUAAGGACCCAUACAAGCACUUAAAGAAAUUUCAUGUAGUAUGUUCAACCAUGAGACCUCAAGAUGUUACGGAAGAAUAAAUCAAGUUGCGCACUUUUCCUUUCUCCUUAGCAAACAAGGCUAAGCACUGGUUAUUUUAUUUGCCAUCGGGGUCUAUCACUACGUGGGAAGGAUUGAAACGACAGUUCCUUGAGAAAUUCAUUCCAGCCUUUAGGGCCGCCAACAUCAGAAAGGAGAUAUGUGGAGUUAGGCAAACUAAUGGAGAAAUUCUCUACAAAUAUUGGGAGCGAUUCAAACAGCUGUGUGCUAGUUGCCCGCACCAUCAGAUCCCAGACCAGUUGUUGAUCCAAUAUUUUUACGAGGGACUGUUACCCAUGGAUAGAAAUAUGGUAGAUGCAGCGAGUGGCGGUGCUUUAGUAAAUAGGACAACAGAUGAAGCCAAACGGCUUAUCUCAAGCAUGGUUGAGAACUCUCAAUAGUUUGGAGUCGGAUCUGAGGGAGUGACUAGAAGGAUCAAUGAGGUAAAUCAUUCUGAUCUCGCAAAUAGAUUAACGGAACUUACCACCUUGGUUGGUCAAAUGACUAUAGGGCAAGUACAGACAAUUAAAGCAUGUGGGAUAUGUGCUGCUCCCGAACAUGCGACCGAUAUGUGCCUAAGCCUUCAAGAUGACCUAUACGAGCAAGCCAACGCCAUGGGAGAUGUGCAUGGACCACCAUAAGGGAGAAAUAACCCAUAUGCGCCCACAUACAAUCCAGGGUAGCUGGACCACCCCAAUUUCAGCUAUGCUCUGAAACUCUCAGAUUUUCAACAAUCGUUCUAGCAGAGACCACCAGUACAACAACCAUUCACGUCCAAUUCCGAUAUGUCCCUUGAAGACAUGGUUAAAUCACUAGCUGAUAGCACUUGUCAAAUGCGGCAGGACUUGCAGAGAUUUCAACAAAAGACUCGCACCAGCAUUAGGAAUUUGGAGGCGCAAAUGUCACAACUGGCGUCUUCAAUGAGCAACCUUGAGAGUGGUAAAAAGAAGCUAUCAUCUCAGGUAAUUCCCAAUCCAAAAGAGAAUGCAAAUGCAAUGAUUCUACGAAAUGGCAAGGAGGUACAGUCCUCAAAAUCGGAAGCAGCAGGAGAGGAAGACGAACGAGUGUAUGGGGAGUUUGAGAAGGAAAAAAUAAGCACCCCGCCAAAUUUUCUAAGAACUUUGAUAUUAACCCGUCUUUUCCUGGCAAGUUGGCUAAAGCCAAGAAAGAGGAGUCAGAGAAGAAAAUUUUGGACACCUUUCGGAGAAUGGAAAUCAACAUCCCUUUGCUUGAUGCGAUUUGACAUUUAUCAAAAUAUGCAAAGUUUUUGAAGGGGCUGUGCACUAACCGAAGCAAGUUGAAUGUUCAAGACAAAAUAAAGAUCGGUGAGAAUGUGCCCACGGCCCUUCAAAGGAAGUUACCGCAAAAAUACAAGGAUCCAAGUAUGUUCACGAUACCAUGCAUCAUAGGACAAAAGAGAAUACAAAGAGGUAUGCUUAAUCUAGGGGCAUCUAUUAAUAUUAUGCCUUUGUCAAUAUUUAGGGCCUUAAACCUAGGCCUUCUAAAAGAUACAAGGGUAGUAAUUCAACUAGCCGAUAAGUCAAAUGUUUACCCUGAGCGUGUAGUUGAAGACGUCCUAGUGAAAGUUAAUGAGUUUAUCUUUCCUGCUGAUUUCUAUAUUGUUGACAUGAACGACGAUAACUCAGUUAACUCAGCUGUACUCCUUCUGGGUAGGCCAUUCAUGAGUACAGCUAGAACCAAGAUAGAUGUACAUGAAGGUACCCUGUCUGUAAAGUUUUACGAGCAGACAAUUACUUUUAACAUUUUUUAUGCGAUGAAAUAUCUGGAUGAUACUGAGUCUAUUAAUUAUGUUGGUGUCACUAAUUCCAUUAUGCAAGAUCACCUUGAGCAGAAUCUUAUGGAGGACAAGCUGGAAUUCGUAUUACAAUAGAGCAAGAUGAAUGCAGACGUGGAAAGUGAGGAUGAAGAGGAUACUAUAGAAGCAAUUAUGUCGCUACAUUCACUCCCGAAAUUACUUGACAAGUCAGUCAACUCAUUUUUACCAUUGCCUACUUCUAAAGAGAGAAUUUUGCCCUCUGUCGAACAGGCACCGGAGUUGGAAUUGAAAGAAUUGCCAAGGCAUUUGAAAUAUGCUUACCUGGGAAACAAUAGCACUCUGCCGGUUAUCAUCGCAAGUGAUCUGACAAUAGAACAAGAAGAAAGACUUUUACGAGUCUUGCGGGAGUUUAAACCUGCAAUUGGAUGGACGUUGGCAGAUAUCAAAGAUAUAAAUCCAUCCAUUUGCAUGCACCACAUUUUACUUGAACCAGAUGCGAAACCGGUAAGGGAACGUUCGAGGAAGCUUAACCCACCAAUGAAAGAGAUAGUCAUGAAGAAGAUUCUCAUGUAAUUGGAAUUAGGAAUUAUUUUUCCUAUCUCCAAUAGUGAGUGGGUAAGUCCAGUACAUGUUAUCCCUAAAAAGACCGGCAUUACACUUGUGUGGAAUGAGAGGAAUGAGUUGGUGCCAGUGAGACUCUAAAAUAGGCGGAGAAUGUGUAUAGACUUCAGGAAGUUGAACGCGACCACAAGGAAGGAUCAUUUCUCAGUACCAUUCAUCGAUGAGAUGCUUGAUCGAUUGGCAGGUAAGUGUUUCUUUUGCUUGAUGGCUACUCUGGGUAUUAUCAAAUUACUGUUGCCCAAGAGGACCAGCACAAAACCACUUUCACUUGCCCAUUUGGAACUUUUGCUUAUCGCCGUAUGUCUUUUAGGUUGUGUAAUGCUCCAAGGACGUUUCAAAGAUGCAUGAUGAAUAUAUUUUUCUGACAUGAUUGAAAACUGCAUUGAAAUAUUCAUGGAUAAUUUCACAGUACAGUGAUUUGUUUGAUCAAUACUUGCAUCAUUUAACAAAAUUUUUACAGCGGUGCAUUGAAACAAAUUUGGUCCUUAAUUAUGAAAAAUGUCAUUUUAUGGUUAAGGAAAGUAUAGUUUUGGGCCAUGUUGUUUCGUCUAAGGGUAUCGAUGUUGAUAAAACAAAGGUUGAUUUGAUUACUAGUUUACCUUACCCCACUAAUGUCAAGGAGAUUUGUAGUUUUCUUGGGCAUGCAGGUUUCUACAGACGAUUCAUCAAACAUUUCUCAUGAAUUGCACAGCCAUUGUCUCGACUACUUCAAAAGGAGGCGCCAUUUGAUUUUGGAGAUGCUUACAAAGUGUCCUUUGACACACUAAAAAGCAUGUUGACCACGACACCAAUCAUUCAACCUUUGGAUUAGAGCCUGCCAUUUGAGCUUAUGUGUGACACCAGUUAGUAUGCAGUGGGAGCUGUACUUGGUCAGAGAAGUGGGAAGUGUAGCCAUGUCAUUUACUAUACGUCAAAAAUGUUGUCGCCGCCUCAAUACAACUAAACCACCACCGAGAAGGAGCUUUUAGCAAUUAUUUUUGCUUUUGAGAAAUUUCGAUCAUAUUUAUUAGGAUCGAAAGUAACAGUUUUCUCUGAUCAUGCGGCCUUGAAAUACCUAUUGGCAAAGAAACAGUCUAAGCCAAGAUUUAUUCGUUGGAUACUCUUGUUGCAAGAGUAUGACUGGGAGAUCAAAGAUCGAAAAGGGGUAGACAAUUCAGUGGUAAAUCAUUUGAGCCGAUUGGUUCGAAAAGAAGAGAGAGUGCCCAUGUCUGAGAUAUUUCCAAACGAACACUUAUUUCAGCUUAGAGGUGAGGAACCCUGGUAUGCUGAUAUUGUUAAUUUUCUGGUCAGUCACAAAUUUUCAAGUGGUAUGGGUAAGAAUAAACAGGAUAAAAUAAUAUAGGACUAUCGAUAUUACAUUUGGAAUGAGCCCUACUUGUGGAAAGUAAGUUCUGACCAGAUCAUUCGUCGAUGUGUUUCAAAUGAAAAUAUUUCCUCUAUACUUAUUCAUUGUCAUAGUUAUGCUUGUGGCAGUCACUUUGAUCCUAAGAGAAUUGCUCGAAAAAUACUUGAUUGUAGCUUUAUUAGCAAACCCUGUUUCGUGAUGCUUAUUUGUUCUGUAAGAGAUGUGAAAAAUGUCAAAAGUUUGGGAAUUUAUAUCACCGGGAUGAAAUGCCUCAAGUUCCUAUAUUAUUUUAUGAAAUCUUUGAUGUCUGGGGUACGGAUUUUAUGGGACCGUUUUUUAGUUCUUUUGGUUGUCUUUAUAUUCUUUUGGCCAUAAAUUAUGUGUCGAAAUAGGUAGAAACAAAGGCUACCCAAACUAAUGAUUCACGAGUUGUUCAAACUAAUGAUUCACGAGUUGUUGCAGGAUUUCUUAAGUCCAACAUUUUUAGUAGGUUUGGUGCGCCAAGAGUAAUCAUCAGUGACCAAGGUACUCAUUUCUGCAAUCACACCAUUGAGGCACUGAUGCGUAAGUAUGGAGUUCACCAUCAAGUUGGUACUACUUACCACCCACAGACCAACGGGCAAGCUGAGGUCUCUAAUCGCGAGAUUAAAAGUAUUUUGGAGAAAAUGAUCAACCCAAAUCGCAAGGAUUGGAGUACCCGAUUGGAUGAUACAUUGUGGACAUAUCGCACGGCGUAUAAAACACCAAUUGGAAUGUCACCUUACAGGUUGGUUUAUGGUAAGAUGUGUAAUUUACCUGUUGCAAUUGAAUAUCGUGCGUUUUGGGUAGUUAAGCAGUGCAAUUUGAACGCGGAUAGAGACGGGAAGAAAUGGAAACUCUAGCUUCAAGAGUUGGAAGAAAUCUGCUUGGAGGCUUACGACAAUGCACGACUUUACAAAGAGCGCACAAAGUCCAUCCAUGACAGACUCUUGCGUAAUAAGCAAUUUUCUAUAGGUCAAAAGGUACUUCUGGUCAACUCACGGUUGAAGUUCAUGCCAGGUAAGUUGCGGUCCCGAUAGAUUUGACCAUACAUUGUUGUUAACGUUUUUUCCAAUGGUGCAUUUGAAAUUAGAAGUUUUGAGACUAACAAAAGUUUUAAGAUCAAUGGUCAUCGUCUCAAACCGUUUAUAAAUGUUUUAGAACUUGGCACUAUGGAGGAGGUCCACUUGCUCGACCCCGGUUCCACUUAAGAUGUUAAAUUACCUUUGGUCUGGUCACAAACGUUAAAUAGAGGUGCUGCUUGGAAGGCAAUCCAAGAUUUCAAUUUUUAGUAAUUUUUAUGUUUUUAUUUCAUAAUUGCGUAUUUAAGAUCAAGGUGUUUGGAUUCCGAUUGAUAGAAUUCUUUAUUGCAGGUCAUGGAUGUGUUUUGUGCAAUUUUAUUUUGGGAUUCGAGACAUAAUUCUUGGGCAGAAGAUUUUCCCUUCUAAGGCAUGCCCACGCCUUGUGUUAGAUGCAAAGGGGCGUUUUUAAAGAUUGAUAAACAGAAGACUUACGCUUCCAAGGCGUGCCCGCGCUCUACAGGGAUGCGCCAGAUGAACUGUUCUAAGAAAUUGGUGAUCGGCGGGCUUUCGGUUCCACGGCGUGCCCACGCCGCACAACAAAUUGCAUCGAUGCUGUUAUAACGAGGGAGGCAUACGAUUUCCAUUUCCAAGGCGUGCCCGCACUUUCCAGAACAUCUCGCGCACGCUGUUACGAAGGGCUGGGCAAACGACUCCGGCCUCCAAGACGUGCCCGUGCCUUCCAACCAUCACGACAUAUAAAAACAAAAAGUCAACAAUGAUUAGACCCACUCUAAACCCUACCUUUAUUUAUUUAUUUUUCUUAUCUUUUCUUUCCUUUUCUCUUAGCGUCCUCCCCGGUCUUCUCCCUUCGCCGCUGCCAUCUCUGACGGCGUUGCAGCGGCACACUUCCCUCCUCGAUACCAACGCCGCACGCCAUCGUUCCUUUCCCCUUUUCGUCCUCGUCUCUCUCCUCGAUACACGCCGCCAUUUCGGUCACCAUCACCGUGACCCCAAUCGCGGCCCUGGUCACACUGCCGCACCACCGCCGUCAUCUCCACCCACAACACCCGCGAUGCUCACCCACGGACACCGCGCACCGCAGCCACUGUCCUUCGUCCCCGUGCAUCUCUCUCUCACGCGUGACCCACGGCCACCCGCCAUUAACCGCCAUCAUGAUUUCUGCUCCAUGGCCACUUAUCUCCUGCCAAGUUGCCCGGUGGUACCUCUCAUUUCUAUCUUUUUGCCAUUCGUGACUCGAAUUUGGAGUUUUGUUGAUAUAUUUGACUCCAAUUUGGGCGUAAAAUAUUUGUGAUUUUUUUGGUUGGGUACUUCGGUUAUGGUGGGUCUGUGAUUUGAUACACAUGGCUUGGUGAUUCAUUAGUUUGUUGGGUAUAGUUGACAGUUGAUUACAUUUUCUGCACCGUCAAUUGGUUGUUGACUGUUGACUGUGGGUAGUGUUAUUUGUGGUCCCUUGUCUCCAUUUUGAGUUUUCUUGUCGACCCCGUGCCUUUGGAAUUGACAUAUUUGCCCCUUUAUAGCUUUGAAAAAGGCCACUCCGUCUGAGGCAUCGGGUUCCAACUCUCAUAAGGGGAGGGCCCCGAUUCAACCGCCCACUAGGUCCCGGUUGGGGUUUUCUAGGAGCACUCUGUCUCCUGGGGUGUGGGGGGAACCUUUGAAGGAUCUCACGCCUAAGCAGAAGGAGCGGUUGAGCUCCUUGGUGGUGCGUCCGUUCGCCCCAUGCAAGUGUUUCCACUCUUCCACUCUCGACCAGUUGAACAUUGCUAGGGAAGUGGAGCAGUUGUUUUCUGCCAUUGGGUGGGGUCGAUAUCUAGUUAUUGACUAUUUUUCGCACGAGGAGUUCUGCUAUGAAUUCUACGCUACCUUCCAAUUGGAGAAAUUUGAUUCUCUAGCCUUAGACUCAUCGGGGGUGAUCCAAUAUAGGUUGCGAGGUACCCCACAGGCACAUUCUAUUAAUGAGUUCAACUUGAUCUUGGGGUUUAUGAGUGAGGACACCCUCACCUCCGGCACUUAUAUCAAUAGUGCUUGCGACUUCACCCAAUCCUUUGCAAGCAAUUAUAUCGAGAUCUAGAGGGAGUGGUGCACGGACACUCAACUUUACGACCCGAGUCAGUCUAGGGCCUCGUUUCUUAAGGAUCCAGUGCUGAAAGUUAUUCACUGAUUUCUGGCGUAUAAUUUCUCAGGUCGGAAGGAUUCCUCCGGCACCCUCACCAAGGCUGAAUUCUAUUUCCUCUGGUGUAUGAGUAAUAAGGUGCAGGUCAAUUUUGGUUAUUGGGUAGCUCACUCAUCACACGCUUGGCUAUCCGCUUGGGAGUGCUUGAUCUUAAUAAGGAGCAUAAGCUCACCAUGGCUCGCGAGCUUGAGCCUUUGGAUCUGCGCAGUCUAGAACGGAUAGGUGUCAUUCACAAGAUGGGGGAUGCCUAUCAGUUUACACCUCCUGGAGAGGGUGUGCCCGAAUCCCGGGUCCCCCCUACUGCAGCUACCUCGACGGCUGGUCAGGCAGGACCCUCCUUCUCCGCUGCUCCAUCCUCUUGGGACACUCAGUUCCACACUCCGCAGGACUCGAUUCUUGACUUGGGCGGCUGGGUUGAGUGCCUGGAUGACCGCCUCACAGUCUUGCAGGUCCAUGCUACCAUUCAGACCGAAAAUCUGGCAGCCUUCUUUGCUCACGUUGGCUUUCAACCACCUCAUCCUCCUCCUCCAUAGUGCUCCCAUUGGCCUUCAGUGAAGCUUCUAUUCCUUUCUUUUCACUUACUAUUUUUCUUUGCUCCAUUAAGAACAAUGUAGAUUUAUGGUGUGGGGGGAGUAGUUUAGCUCUUUAGGUCUACCAAUAAAAAAAAAAGAAAACAACAAAAAAGAAAAAAAAUCAAAAUAAUUAGAAAAGGGAACAAAAAAAUAUAUGUGAUGAGUUCAUUUGGCGUCAGUUGAAAAUGUCUAAAACUUGAUACUAUGAUGAUGAUUGCAAUUACUCUACAAGCAUGAGCAGUGAUAUUAUGUGGUUGAAUGUUUUAUCUUCUUAAUAAUGGAAUUGAAUGAUGAAGUUUGCAAGACUUGGUUAUUAAUAUCCCGUUGUGAGCUGUCGAGCCAAUAAGCAUUGCAUUGAUAACUGCUCUAUUUUCUUUCAUUGAGUGAUUUCACACAUGAUUUGAUUGUUCUUGAAUUUGCUUUGUUGUAAAUGUCAAGACCACAUUCAUGAGUUUGAUGCAUUAAAAUGACAAGGGCACUUAGGUUAACCAUUUUAACUUUCUAAAGACCAACCUUAAUCAGACCUCCCCUAGUUGACCAAGGUUGAGCGAAAACCUUUUCUUUGUUUAAUAACUCAUUUUGUCACCUCUAAACCCCUUGUGUUUGAACCCUCUUUGUUUCCAUUCGGUGUUAAAGGAAUGCCUUGAUUUCAAUGCAUGAUGAUUUUGAAUUGGGUUGAGAGGGGAUGAUUGAAGUUAGCGAGUGUGUUUAUAUUCCUAUGUAGUUGUGCGUAUUUUGAAAAGAAAAGAAAAAAGAGAAACAAAAAAAGGGAAAAAGAGAAGAAAAGGAGCACACCAAGAAAGAAAAAAAUAAAAAGAAAAAAAAAGAAAAGAAGAAUUACAAAGUGCUGUUAUCAAUAUGUGCGAUGUUGAGAUAGUGGGGUGAAACCCUUGGUUGUGCUGGCACUUGUUAAUUCUUUCUGGAAAAUUUUUGGGUAUGCUUUGGAAAGAUCAUUUGAAUGAAGGAGGAAGUUGGAAGUUAUGCAGUGAGUCAGUGGUAUUUCCUUUGACAUAAUGAGCCUAAAUUAUCUGUUUGAUCCAACCCGUGUCUGAAUCCCAUUACAACCCGCAUCAAGACCCUUUGAUUUUUGCAUUAAAUUUGGUCUUAGUGGUGCCGAUGUGAUUUAUUAGCAAGCAUAUAAUAAUAUUAUUUUAUCGUGUGGUGGGAGUGACCCUUUUUUACCCCAUAUCGAGUGGUAAGUAAUCAUAUUUCAUUCUAUAAGAGAGGGUUAAGUCUUAAAAUUUCUAAAUUUAAUAACAUUGUUAGAAGGAUGGGACACUUGAGCUCGCAUGAUUGAACUACUGUGUGUGUGUACCUGUAAUUGUAUCUCUGAACUUUAAAAUGCUUGAGGGCAAGCAUUGUCUUGGUGUGGGGGGAUUUGAUAGGGCGAUAAUUGAGCGUUUAUUACGUUAGUGUUUGGUCCUAAUUUUGGCCAAUUGUUGUGCAGAAUAAUGGGUUUCUGCUCAUAGUUGGUAAUUGUGUUAUUUGCAGACGACUGAUGUCAAAACUGGUAGAGGGAGGCAAAUUUCCAGAAAACUAGUCAUUCCAGAACGUGCCAACACCAGAGAUCGCAGGGUGACGUCCAAAAGACGGACUACGGGACUUAUCCUUGGGAGCUUGCCGCUAUUCUUGGAAGGUGUAUUUUGAAGUCACGUGGGAUAAGGAGACAUCUUGAGAGACCCUUUUGGCAACAAAGCAAUGAGAAAAAAAAAUAAGAAAAGGGAUUCCUUAUAGAAACAGCACUUUGUUAGCCAAAGAGACGGUGAUGGCAAAGCUUUAAAUAGGACAGCAAUAGACUAGGAGUUGAUAUCUUUGACCUUGGAUGUUUAGUCUUUCUCUUCUUCUUCUUAACGUGAGUUAGAGAUUCGUGGUUUUUACUUUAUCAACUAAAUUCCAUAAAAUGCUUUCAAUUGCAUCAACAUUAUGUGGCAAGGCUAGAUCCUUUGUCUAGUUGAGGAAUAAUCAAGACUCGGUGCACGGACAAUUGUGAGAUUUUUUUAAUUGUUCUGCACUAAUUCAAAUUCUGUGUUAGUGGGUAUUUAAUUAUUCUUUGUUUUAAUAGCCUAUUCUUGUUUGGAUUUAUUGGAUCAAUGUGAUCAAUUGUUCAAUUGUCUGAAUAAUAAACUGCCAAUUAGGACGAGGGUGCGUAUCACUUGAUUGUCUUAAAAUUAGUGGCAAACGGCAUAAUUUCAUUGCCUCGCAAGCAAUCUAAUCUGUGACGUAGGAAUAUUUAAUCUAGUUUAAAUGAAUCCGUAUGUGUGUUUGUUAAGUAGAAUUGGGUCUCUCUAAUUCCUAAACUGUGAAUAGAUUAAAUCCUUCGAGCGUCUUUGGGGUUAUCUAUUUUACAAGGGGGUGGUUUAAGAGUGUCUCUGGACCACCAUAUAAUUAAGGAGAGAUUGAUAGUUUGGCGGUUGUUGAAUUGCUAGAACCAAGUUACUUACGAACGUGUGAAUUAAUUCAGGUAUCUAUAAUCAAUUACAUGGACCAGUGCCGAAAUUAUUUCCUUGACUAGGUUGUGUCAAUUAAUUGUUUAUUAUAUUCUUUAGAUACUGCACUUUCUUGCGAUUGGAAAUUCAGUACUCUUACCUCUUUAAUUUAUUCUUUUUGUCCUCCUUUCUAAACCCCUCCCACAUUCUCUGUGUGAUAAAUCUGCCAGUUCUCUGAGGAGACGACCCUACUCACCACUAUACUCGUUUAGUUUUGGGAGUAGGUUUUGAUAUAAAUUUUAUUUUUGGUAGUUUGACAGCCACCAUGAACCAUCCCUGUUAGAUCCUCUUCCAGCCUCAUCAAAUUAGCAUGUAUAACCUCAGACACAGCAUCUGGCCAUGAUGCGUUUAUCCAGUCCUUCAAGGUCAUAUCUCCUGAUAACAUUUCAUUAGUUGGCUUCCUUCUUGUGAAAGUUUCCAUCAACAUGAUUCCAAAACUGUAGAUAUGACACUUCUUGGAUAUCAAACCUUCUGAUCCAUACUCUGCACCAAGUGAAACAGCUUAUCAGAAAGAUUACAAUUAUGUUGAGGGAUAUGAAACAAAAUUAGAAGCAACUAUCAUCACUUGGUGCCAUGUAUCCCAGUGUUGCUAGUGUCUGAGUUUGGGCCAUGCUCUCUCCCAUCCCUAAUAAUUUUGCAGUGCCAAAAUCACCCACAUGUGCUACGAUAUUUUCGUCAAGUAAAACAUUGUUUGGUUUCAGAUCACAGUGAAGCACAGGGAUUGAAUAACCAUCGUGCAGAUAGUCUAAUACUGAUGCCACAUCAAUCAUUAUGUCUAGUCUUUGCAAAAAAUCCAUGUACAGAUCCUGAUAGUACAACCACUUUUCAAGACUUCCAUUAGACAUAUAUUCAAAAAUUAAAGCUUUGAAGUCAAGGCUGGAACAGCUGCUGAUGACUUUGGUUAGAUUUCUGUGACCAAGGUUACGUAGUACUUCACAUUCUAUGUCAAAACUUCUAAAUGCACCUUUUAUUUGUAAGUUGAACACCUUCACAGCUACAUUUGAUCCAUUGAUUAAUGCCUUGUAAACAGAACCAUAGGCUCCCAUGCCAAUCAAAUUUCUCUCACUAAAUCCUUUAGUAGCUUGUUCAAUUUCAUGAUAUGAUAUUCUGCCAUGUGCUAUAGCAUCUAAGGAAUCUCCUCCAGUUAUUGUGCUGCUUGUUUUUCUAGAUCGCAUUAAGGCAACAGGGAUGAUGAUGGCCACAACUAUGAGAGAAACUGCUAGUGUAAUUAACACAAUUAGUAGCACUCUUUUUGUCCUUCGCUUUCCAGAUAAGCUAGCUCUGCAUGCUGGGACUUGAAGCUGAGGAGUGCCACAAAGUCUUUCAUUUGACAUAAAGGAUUUAGAUGUGAAGUUUGCAAAAGGACCUCCAGAAGGAAUUUCACCACUUAAUCUAUUGAAGGACACGUUAAAUAAUGAAAGAUGUGAAAGUGCUUCCAAUGAAUUGGGGAUGGAACCAGAUAGGUUAUUACUUGAUAAGUCCAGAGAUUCCAAGGCUAACAUGUUGCCAAUUGAUCUAGGAAUAGGUCCUUCAAAUCUAUUAAAUGCAAGGGAAAGAUCAAUCACAUCUUGCAUACCUCCAAUUGCACUAGGGAUGACACCUAAAAUUUGAUUCAUAGAAACAUUUAACAGUGUCGCAGCCUUUAAACUUCCAAUUUCUGAGGGAAGAGAGCCACUCAAAUAGUUUGAAGACAAAUCAAGAUGCAAGAGAUCACCGAGGCUCCCGAAGCUUGAAGGUAUAGCAGAGUUAAAUUUGUUGGAACUUAGAUAAAUGUAUCUUAGAGAUGUAAUGUUCCCUAAGCAUGCUGGCACCGUGCGGCAAAACUCGUUAUAGCUCAAACUUAGAAAUCCCAAGUUGUUCAAGCUGCAGAUGCCAUUUGGGAUAGGUCAUUCCAUUUUGUUGUCAUAAAGAUUAAAUGCUUGCAGUUUUGAUAGUGCUCCAAUUGUUGCUGGAAUGAAUCCAGCCAAGUUGUUGCCUUGCAGAAAUAAGAACGCUAAGCUGCUCAAAUUAGUGAAUUCAUUUGGAAUGUAGCCUCUUAUUCCACAAUAAGCUGCAUACACAUAUUCAAGAGAAGUAGAAAGGUUACCAACAGAAGAUGGAAGAAUUCCAUUCAGGGGAUUGUAACCUAUCCGUAGUCGUCGUAACUGUUGGCAAUGUGUUAAUGCACUGAAGAAGCUCAAUUCUGAUGAUGAAGAUUCUGUCAUCAAAUUAUUUUCAAUGACAUUUAGAUACUGCAAAUAUCUUAAAUCUCCAAAGGAGUGGGGAAAUGAACACUACUAGCUUCGCUAUUGACGUGAAGGCCAUGUCAUGUUUCCUUGGAAGUCAGAUUUUGGCAACGUUUCCUUUCAUAUCUUAUGCCAAUUGCUGCGGGAAUUGGCUUAUAAACAGAGGCCACGGCAAAGGUUUGGACUGCACUACCACUUCACGUGAAAGCUACCAGACACGGAAAGAAUCAAUAUGGAGCUUUAAGCUGCACUCAUGGAAGAGAAUUUCUGCCUUUCAAUUUAAGCUGCACAAGUUUUACCACAUUUUCCAACAGCUUGUGCUCUUGCUAAUGGUGCAUUACAUUGGCUUGUAGAGGAAGAUGAUGGUUUCAACUUUAUCAUUGCCUUCGAUAUUUCCAGUGAAGAAUUCGAGAAGUUGCCCCAUUAAUGGGGAAGGUAUUUUUUUCAGCAAAAUUGAGCAUCUUAAAUUGUUGCCUUUCUUUACUCUAUUGUUAUAUUUCAAGUGAAAGAUAUCGUGUCAAUUUAUGGAUCAUUGAUGAAUUAAUAUGAAGUGGAUAGAACUCGGACUAAGUUAAAAUCUCAUUUGAAAUUCUCGACAUUUGGUGUUGAACACCGAUCAUAUAUAUGCUCAAACCAAAGCAGGCAACUGCUUUUGCAAAUUGAUGGAGCAGAAAAGCUUGUGCUCUAUGAUCUUGGAACCAAAUACUUGAGAGAUGUAGCCACUGCAAAUGGAGCAGCUAGUUUCUUUAGAAGCCUUCUUGCAUGUCUUCAUGUUCCAAUUUCCAACUUGUGUAGCACUAGUUUUACCUCUUCUUGUUGCCAAUUCUCUGUUCUUAACCAAAAGUUCAUUUCUCCAAUUUCUUAUUCAAACUUAAUUUCAAUUGAAGAUGUUCAUUUGUUGUGAGUUCAAUCAUCCUAAUCCAGAUCCCUCUAUCAGUUAGAAGUUCAAGUUGCAAGCCAUUUCACUUUAUCCAUUUGCCAUCUUGCAUAGGGAUUAAAUUCAUGCUGAGUAAGUUCAUACUUUUUUUAUAUAGAAAAGAUCAUUUUAUUCAAAUAAAUCUGCACUAAUGGAAAAAAAAACACAUCAAACAAACAUGACACACAUACGUAUGGAUCUGAAAUAAAUAGAUAUAACUGAUCUAAAAAAAAAUAUAAAUAAAGAUAACAUUGAUACUCCUAUAUAUCUUCCAUUCGGAUAAAUCACUUUAGCCCAAUACAUCAGUGCAUGUUUGAUGAUGGAGCACCAAGGACCAAUGGAGAGAAAGACCAGGCCAUUUGAGUACCAAGUGGUCCGAUCACAAGAGCUCGCGCCAAGAAGAUGAGCGAGUCACUCCAAGCACUCGUGUGCACCAUCCAAGAGAGAAUUGGAGAUGAUUUAAAAAUCAUUGAAGGCUUGGAGAAUGAAGAUUCCACAUUAUACACCUUGCUCCAAGUUGAUGAGCCAAGUGAAGACUAGUCUUAGUCAAGGCCGAGAGUUAUUUGUCAAUCCAUAGUCAAGGCCGAGAAUUAGUUGUCAUUUAAUUGCUGUUUAGUUGUUUAAUUUUAGUUAAUAAAUCCAGCCCAAAAACAGUUUUCAAGAGUGGCCGGAUAUUAUAUAGCCUUUUUGCCAUUUUUCGGCCCAAGAGGCCUUAGCCUAGCCAAGAGCACCUAAUCCAUUUCACUUUAGGUUUAGUCAAGUGAAUCCAAAUCACUUUAGGUUAUCAAUUAUAUGGCUAUAUAUAGCCAAGGCAAGAGACCUUCACGAUCAGUCUUGAUAUUAAUAAAAUUGUGAGUUUUCACUUUCCCUUUCCAAGAGAGUCUCUUUGAAUAUUUGAGAAUCUUUCUCAAAUUGUUCAAUUGAACUUAUCAAUCAAGUAACUCCUUGGUUGUGGCGUUCAUCUACCUUUAAUUUGGUUCACUAGUUCGUUAGAUAACGGGUUGAGAUAGUAUCAAUAGUGUUCGUUCUAGAGGAUUAGAUUUGGAUCAAAUUUUCGCUGCCUAAGCCAUUGGUGAUUGGUUGUCUAGAUCGUGACCAAGUGAGUAUCACAUCAGUUGGUAAUCAGAGCUAGUCGACAACCACCAGGUUAUAUCCUUCUUUUCUUUUGUGUCGAAUCACAUACUCUUGUUUCAAAUUAGUUCGUGUGUCAAUUCAAAAAAAAAAUCGUACUGUUCAUCGUACUGUUCACCAACACUGUUCAUCGUUACUGUUCAUACGAAUUUUUUUUUUUUGGAUACGUCGUCUUGUCUCUUAUUGUUGUGUUUCUUGAAUCUUGAAUUCAUCUAAAGUCAGAAAAAAAUAAAAAGAGUCGCACCAAGUUUUUCUUGAGUCAAGUUGUUGGAAUUUUUUCUCUUGAACUGUCGAACCUAUUUCCAACAUUAAACCUUAAAUAUUUACGUUGUUUCUUGCAAAUCUUGGAUACCAAAACCUGAUUUGGGAAGUUCUUGAGUUUCUUGAUAAAAAAUCUUGAAGUUCUUGGAUCAACCAAAACUGUUUUGGGGAAUUCUUGAUUAAACAUCACGGGUUUCUUGAAACUUGGGAAGAAAGUCUUCAACUUUCUCAGCAAACUUGAACCGUUGAUCCGAAUAUAAGUUGUUGGGACAGAAAAUCUGAGUUCUUGAAAAACAAUUAGAGAGCCGCAAAAGAAAAAAAAAGGGGAGAGAAAGGAAGCAUCGGCUCUAGGUUUCCUACUUGAAAAACAAAUCCCAUUCUUGAAACACUCCUACUCCUAAAGCCUUUGGGAUUGAAGUCAGCCAAGAAAACCAAGAAACCAAGUCCAAACCUUCCUAAAACACCCUCACUCUUCCCACAUCAGAUCCAAACAACUACCACAAACCCGUGUCUUCCCCAAAACAAACCCAACCGCCUCUUAGCACUUGUUCCCCAACCGAAUUAAAGUUACCAUCAAGGGCUAAAACGAUUUGCCUUUUACACAUCCCAAACAGCCCAAAUACUCCAUAAACAACCUGCCCGAGCCCAAGAAGAAAACAACAAGCCAAAUUCCAACAAUACAAGAGUCCAAUAGUCCAAUCCACAUUCGACUUGAUAGAGUCCUUAUCAAAGUCAAAAUCUCACACACACUUGAGUCACUCAUUGCAGACUAAAUCAAUAAAAUUUCAAUGUGUUUCUCGUGUCCUUUGCUGUGUUUUUUUUGAGUCAUUAUUCAGUCUCAACUUUCAACUACUUUUACGCCAUUCCUUGGGGAAAGCUUGAAUAAAGUUUGAUUGAACAACUUGAAGGAAAUUUCUGAUUUCUUCACGGGGGAAAUCAAGGGAUUUGAAAAUGAGUGGUGAGAUCAUUAGAGUGUUCUAAACACUUGAAUGAUACACAAGAGUGAGCGGAACACGUGAGGGAGUGAGUGAGGAAUUUUUACCUUAACAUUUGUUGAAGUUUUGCAGGAUAAACCAUGGCCAAUGAAAACGACAUCACCAUAGCACAAUUGGCAUCAAGAAUGGAUGCUAUGUGGAGAGACAUGCAAAGGAAAUUUGAGCUCCGCUUUGAGUCCAUGCAAGAGCAAAUUGAACAAUUGGAUCCCUCCAGAAACGCACAAUUGGAUCCUUCCAGGAAGUCUUCUAGGAAAACUAGAGGGAAACUCACCGUGAACGAAUUCAAUGACUCUAAAUUAGAGAGAGAGUUCGAAGAUGAUGAGCGAAGGCCGCGGAGAAUGACACAAAGGGCUGACCAUGCCGAGGAUCAACUCAAAGGAAUAAAAUUAAAAAUUCCUACCUUCCAAGGUAAAUCGGAUCCCGAAGCAUACUUGGAGUGGGAAAGAAAGAUUGAAUUGAUCUUCGAUUGUAACCACUACACGGAGUCUCAAAAGGUAACGUUAGCCGCCAUAGAAUUCACAGAGUAUGUCGCAAUUUGGUGGGAUCAACUUCGCCUCAAACAACGAAGGAAUGAGGAACUGGCCAUUCGGACAUGGAACGACUCGAAGCGAAUCAUAAGGAAGCGCUUCAUACUCGAUCACUACCAUAGGGAUUUGCAUCACAAAUUGCAAACCCUCACUCAAGGUAGUAUGAUGGUUGAAUAUUACUUCAAAGAAAUGGAAAUGUCCAUGAUGCGGGCUGAUGUUCGAGAAGAUGAGGAGGCCACCAUGGCACGAUUUUUGGGAGGAUUACAGCCUGAUAUUGCUAACAUAGUGGAGCUUCAACACUACCUUGACAUAGGGUAACUCUUGGACAAAGCUAUCAAGGUAGAACGGACGUUCAAGAGGAGGGGAACGGGUCGUCAAAACUCCAACUUUCAAUCUGAAAAUUGGAAAAAUACGCCCUUAAAGAGGGAGGAUCACCCCUCGAGUGCCCUACACCUUGCAAAAUCGAAUGGAAAUUCAAGAGGGACUUUGAGGCCGAAUACACUACCUUCCAAACCAACUUCAAAGGAGGGACCCCAACAAGAGGUCUUUAAACUAAGGACCCGUGACACCAAGUGCUUUAAGUGUCAAGGGUUUGGGCACAUUGCUUCCCAAUGUCCAAACCAACGGACCUUGAUCAUGUUACCCAAUAGAGAUAUAUUGACCGAUGAAGAAGAAGAGAUACAUGAAGGGAUGCCUCCAUUAGAAAAGAAGGACGAGCUUGAAGAGGUACCAGUCAAUGACACGGUUGGAUGUCUAGUGGCAAGGCGAGCACUAGCCACUCAAACUAGUCAAGAUGAGCUCCAACGAGAAAACAUCUUCUACUUCAGAUGUCAUAUACACAACAAGGUUUGUAGCCAAGUCAUUGACCCAGGGAGUUGCACUAAUGUUGCAAGUGCACUAAUAGUGGAGCGACUCAACUUACCUACAACCGACCACCCACGUUCCUACAAGCUCUAAUGGCUAAACAAUAGUGGCGAGGUACGUAUCUCCAAACAAGUCUUAGUUACUUUUCGCAUUGGUCGAUAUGAAGAUGAUAUUGUAUGCGAUGUAGUGCCUAUGCAAGCUGCACACAUCCUUUUGGGCCGUCCUUUUCGAUUCGAUAAGAGAGUUAUGUUUGAUGAUUUUCUAAAUAAAUACUCCUUUUUGCAUAAUGGUAAGAAAAUUACACUUGCACCUCUCACACCACAACAAGUGCAUGAGGACCAAGUUAACUUGCAAAAGGAGUAUGAUAUACAUACCACUAGUCAAAAACAAUCAUCAAAAGAAAAAGUAAAAGAAAUGGCCGAGAACCCUAAGAAUAAGAGUAAACCUACUCGAACCAUUGAGCUAGGGAAGGAAAGAAAAACUAGCUUGCUACCUCGAGUGAAAGAUGUGAGGAAAGGUUUACAUUCUAACCAAGUCUUGCUUAUAUUGAUUUGUAAAGAAGCUUUACUCACUAAUGAGAUUGAUACUUCUCUGCCUAGUAUUGUCACUAACCUUUUGCAGGAGUAUCAUGAUGUGUUCCCUGAGAAUAUAACUAAUGGAUUGCCACCUUUGAGAGGGAUUGAACAUCAAAUUGAUUUCAUCCCUGGGGCUUCCUUACCAAACAAGGUACCAUAUAGGACUAAUCCCGAGGAAACUAAGGAACAACAAAGACAAGUAGAGGAGCUACUUGGUAAGGGUUGGAUUCAUCAGAGUCUAAACCCUUGUACUGUACCCGUCCUACUUGUGCCUAAAAAGGAUGGAGGAUGGAGGAUGUGCACUGAUUGUCGAGCCAUUAACGCCAUCACGGUAAAGUAUUGCCAACCCAUCCCUCGUCUAGAUGACAUGCUUGAUGAAUUGCGUGGUGCUAUUAUUUUUACAAAAAUUGAUUUGAAAAGUGGAUACCAUCAAAUUCGUAUGAAAGAUGGGGACGAAUGAAAAACUGCCUUUAAGACUAAACAUGGCUUAUAUGAGUGGUUAGUCAUGCCUUUUGGCCUAACUAACGCAUUUAGUACUUUUAUGAGAUUAAUGAAUCAUGUUUUGCGUCCUUUCAUUGGAAAAUUUGUGGUGGUAUAUUUUGAUGAUAUCCUUAUCUAUACUAGAAGUGUAGAGGAGCAUGCAUUACACUUACAAGCUGUCUUGGAUGUACUUCGAAAGGAAAGGCUCUACGCCAACCUUAAGAAGUGCACUUUUUGCACUGAUCAACUUAUUUUUUUAGGAUAUGUUAUCAGUGCACAGGGUGUACAAGUUGAUCAAACAAAGGUGAAGGUUAUAAAUGAAUGGCCAACACCUACCAAUGUAAGUGAGGUGAGGAGUUUCCAUAGCUUGGCAAGCUUUUACAGAUGCUUUGUCAAGGACUUCAGCACCAUAGCUGCACCACUUACAUCCAUUAUCAAGAAGAACGCACCAUUUCAAUGGGGGGGAGGAACAAGCUAAGUCUUUCCAAUUAUUUAAACACAAGCUCACACAUGCACCUAUUCUAAGUUUACCUAAUUUUGACAAAGCUUUUGAAAUAGAAUGUGAUAUUUCUGGUAUAUGUAUUGGAGUUGUUCUACUCCAAGAAGGUCGACUGAUUGCAUAUUUUAGUGAAAAGCUAAAUGGAGCCUUCUUGAACUACUCAACCUAUGACAAGGAGCUCAUGGCCUUAGUUCGAGCACUCCAAACUUGGCAACACUACCUUCGACCUCGAGAGUUCGUCUUACAUACUGAUCACGAAUCACUCAAGCAUAUCAAGUCACAAACCAAGUUGAGUAAACGACAUGCAAUUUGGAUAGCCUUCAUCGACACAUUUGCUUUCCUGAUCAAGUAUAAAACAGGUAAGUCUAAUGUAGUAGCUGAUGCAUUUUCUAGGUGAUAUACACUACUUACUACAUUAGAUGCAAAAUUACUAGGAUUUGAAUAUUUCAAGGAUCUCUAUGCUAUUGACCCAGAUUUUGGUGAGAUUUUCAACUCCUUGCCACGAGACACUCGUGAGCAUUACUUUAUAUCAUAGGGAUUCUUGUACUACAAGGACAAAUUGUGCAAUCCACUAAGUUCCAUGCGACCCCUGUUAAUUCAAGAAGCCCAUGGAGGAGGACUUAUGGGUCACUUUGGAAUUACUAAAACAUUGUCCACCCUCCAAGAACACUUCUUUUGGUCACGCAUGAAAAGGGAUGUUGAACGACAUAUACAGAGGUGUGUAACUUGUCACCAUGCAAAAUCAAAGGUAAAUCUUCAUGGACUCUACACCCCUUUACCUAUCCCACAUGCACAUUGGAUUGACUUGUCUAUGAAUUUUGUACUUGGAUUACCUAGAACUAGACAAGGUCAUGACUCUAUCUAUGUUGUGGUUGACCGCUUCUCUAAAAUGGCACAUUUUAUACCUUGCCAUAAGACCGAUGACGCUAAACACAUAGCUGACUUGUUCUUUAGAAACAUAGUACGUUUGCAUGGCAUGCCUCGUACCAUUGUGUCAGAUAGAGAUGUAAAGUUCCUUAACUACUUUUGAAAAACUUUGUGGUGUAGGCUAGGCACUAAGUUGCUUUUCUCUACUUCUAGUCACUCACAAACUGAUGGACAAACUGAAGUAGUUAAUAGGACUUUGUCUACCUUGUUGCGUAUCAUAAUAAAAAAGAAUAUUAAGACAUGGGAAGAUUGCUUACCACAUGUUGAAUUUGCUUACAAUCACACUGUGCACACUGCUACCCAAUAUUCCUCUUUUGAAAUUGUUUAUGGUUUAAACCCUCUCACCCCUUUGGACUUAUCUCCUUUACCUGAUCAUGGGAGAGUUAACAUAGAUAGUAAGAAAAAGGCAGAUUUCGUGCGAAACCUACAUGCCAAAGUUCGAGCCAACAUCGAAAAGCGUACAUUUCAAAACAUCCAAAAUGCAAACAAAGGGCGUCGCAAGAUGGUCUUCGAACCAGGCGACUAGGUCUGGAUCCACAUGCGCAAGGAGCGCUUUCCACUUCAAAGGAGCAACAAACUCCUCCCAAGGGGUGAUGGCCCUUUUCAAGUCAUGGAGAAAAUCAACAAUAAUGUCUACAAACUUGACCUUCCAGGUGAGUAUGGGGUACAUGCUACAUUUAAUGUUGCUGACUUGAGUCCAUUUUAUGCAGACGAUGAGCUUGAUUUGGGGACAAAUCGCCUUCAAGAGGAGGGGACUAAUGAUGGAGCACCAAGGACCAAUGGAGAGAAAGACCAAGCCAUUCGAGUACCAAGUGGUCCGAUCACAAGAGCUCGCACCAAGAAGAUGCCCGAGUCACUCCAAGCACUCGUGUGCACCAUCCAAGAGAGAAUUGGAGAUGAUUUAAAAAUCAUUGAAAGCUUGGAGAAUGAAAAUUCCACAUUAUACACCUUGCUCCAAGUUGAUGAGCCAAGUGAAGACUAGUCUUAGUCAAGGCCGAGAGUUAUUUGUCAAUCCAUAGUCAAGGCCGAGAAUUAGUUGUCAUUUAAUUGUUGUUUAGUUGUUUAAUUUUAGUUAGUAAAUCCGGCCCAAAAACAGUCUUUAAGAGUGGCCGGACAUUAGAUAGCCUUUUUGCCAUUUUUCGGCCCAAGAGGCCUUAGCCUAGCCAAGAGCACCUAAUCCAUUUCACUUUAGAUUUAGUCAAGUGAAUCCAAAUCACUUUAGGUUAUCAAUUGUAUGGCUAUAUAUAGCCAAGGCAAGAGACCUUCACGAUCAGUCCUGAUAUUAAUAAAAUUGUGAGUUUUCACUCUCUUUCCAAGAGAGCCUCUUUGAAUAUUUGAGAAUCUUUCUCAAAUUGUUCAAUUGAACUUAUCAAUCAAGUAACUCCUUGGUUGUGGCGUUCAUCUACCUUUAAUUUGGUUCGCUAGUUCGUUAGAUAACGAGUUGAGAUAGUAUCAAUAGUGUUCGUUAUCUCGGGGAUUAGAUUUGGAUCAAAUUUCCACUGCCUAAGCCAUUGGUGAUUGGUUGUCUAGAUCGUGGCCAAGUGAGUAUCACAUCAAUGUCUGCUGCCAAUCAAAUCUAAUUAAAAUUGGUUCAAGUCCAAAGUAAGUCCAUACUUUAAAUACAUAACCGAGACUUAAACUCUUUUUUUUUUUUUUUUUGCAAAGAACAUCACAUUCAUUCAUUGUCACCAACUCAUUUUUAGAUAACAAACAAACUGAAAAAAGACAAGGAAAGAGGCUAAAACUACCUUGGAGAAAUAAAGGAAGCAAAAUUGCAUGUUCAAUUAGUGGGAUACAGAAAAAGCAAAUGAUGAAGGAAAGCAAAUGCAUAAAUCACUUGUACACAGCCUAAUUUUACAUAAUAGACAGUCUGUCUAUAAACAUGACAGUUGGGAUAUUGUUACCAGUUUUUCCGUAUAAUGUUUUUGUGUGUGUAUAACACAAGAAUAGCACAUUACGGUGUCAUUGUAAUUAAAUGAAUGGUGUCCAAAUCAAGAAGAUUAGGUGGUCAAAUUUUUUGUCCAUUAAUUUGCCGUUUGACUUGAAAUUUUUUUCUUUUGAAUAUCAACGGUUUUAAUAGUUAAUUACCCAAAACUUUAGAAUAGUAGUUGUUGAGUUGCCUUCUAAGCCCUAUAUAUAUGAAGUCUGUUAUUGCUAGAGAAGUAUAAUAGUUGUUGAUAGCUAGUAUGUAAUUAGCUUCCCAUUGUUUUGUACAUCCACAUGUCACGUUUGCAAGAAGAUAGAGUGCAAUAUAUUUGACAUUUAAGACAGAUUAUCAGUCAAUGAAAAUAAAAUACCUACUCUACAAUAAAUGAAAUUGCAAGACAGUGGUGAACAAGAUCGCAUCCAUGAGGAUUGGAAUGAUAUAUUUCUUGGAAUAAUUUCAUAAACCUAUCCUGAGGUUUUUAACUAUUUUGCUUAGUUCCCUUGACGUUUUAAAAAUUACACUUACCUCCCUCGAUUUGACAUAUUGGUAACCAAAACUUAAAAUAGAGUAAAAAAUUUAAUGAAAAUCCUAAAAUGCCAUUAUCUUAUAAAGUUUAAUUUAUUCUUCUAAACAAUUAUAACGUAAUUUAGUACAAUUAUAAAAAAAAGUGUCAAGUUUUUUAUACCAAUAUUUAUUAUUUAAUAAUCAACUAUAACAAUAAAUCUUUUUUCCAUUAUAAGCUAUUUUUCGUAGUGAUUUAUUGGGGGAUAUAGAUUCUUUUUAAGAUAAAGAAAAAGUGUUAUCUUUAUUUUUUAAAAGUUUAUGGACUAUUUUUUUUAAAUAAAUGUUUAUGGACUAACUUAGUGAUAGAACUACCCUAGUUUGGUAGUGAUUUUGGGCUAUUUAUUUUUAAUUAUUGUUGAUUUAUUCUUGAUUUUGAUACAAAGAAAAAAGUUACAAAAAAAUUGGAUGAUGUUGAAAAUUAUCAAAAAAAAUUAUAAAAUCCAUCCUUUGCAUAAACAUGGCAACAAGAGAGUUUUAUUAAAAUAUUAAAGUUAGUAUUGUCAUUUUAAAUGGACAAGGGAGGUAGGUGUAAAUUUUAAAAUCUUAGGGGAACCAACUAUAAUUAUUAGAAACUUUAGAGGAGGUUUCUAGAGUUAUCCCUUGUUUCUUUCAAAGCAAUGAAUAUAAAGGGGAGAUUUUGGAUAUUAAACCAACUAAUUAAUUUAAACACAAAAUAACAUGCAAAAAUUAAGUAAAUUUUAAUGAAUAAUAAUGGAACUCUUGCCAAAGAAAUAACUUCUGAAAUGAUUCAUAAAACUAAUCAAAAUAAUAAACUGGUUAUAAUUGUCAAUGAAUUCUGACAACCAACUUUUCUUUACUUUUUUGAUAAUUAAAGUACGACUAUUAGCUACUUUUCUAAUUGAAAAGAUAAUCUUAGGUACAACUGACCAUAGGAUUUAAUCUUACAAUUGCAUUAGAAAAAGCUUAAUUCUAACUAGAGGUAUCAAAAUGGGUGACUUGGGCGGGUUUGGAUUGGGUAAAAUGAGUAAUGGGUAUAAGUGAGUUUAACCCAUUUAUAUCCAUUUAAUUAGAUGGGUAUAAAUGGGUUAGUCAAAAAAUGAAUUAGGUAACCCAAUUACCCAUUUAUAACCCAUUUAUUUUAACCUAUUGUAAAUUCAUUUAAAUUUAUUUUUGCAAAAUAAGUUAUCAAUUUGUACCACUCUUUGCACCCAUCAUUAGUUUUAAAUAUUUACUUAUAAUGCUCAAUAAGCCUAAUUACCAAUUUUUUCCCCAUCCAUACUCUAUGUCGCAAAAUUACAUAUUAUUUAAUAAUUAAAUAAUAAGAAUAUAAAAAUUUGAACUAAGUACUAUAAAAGUUAAUAUAAAAACUUAAUCCAAAAAUUUUGAACCCCUAACAUUUUUUUCAUAUAUAAAUUUAAAAUUUCAUUUUGGAAAGAUAAGAAAAGAGGCUAAAACUUAUCAUAAAUUGGUAAUGCUGAAAAAUGAGCAAGUUAAUAAACUAAAAGAAAAUAAAAUGAUAAGAUAAAACUAAUAAAUAAUGAUAAUAAUGAAACAAAAAUAGUUAAUAUCAUGACAAAAUGAAAAUUUUGAAAAAAAAAAGGGUGGAGAAAAGAGGAGACUUGGGGAAAGAAAAUUUUAAAUGGGUUAAUUGGGUUUGCUGGGUUAUCCAAUAAUACCCAUUUAAUAAAUGGAUAUUAUUGGGUAACUCAUUCAUACUCAUAUACAAAAAUUUAAGAUACCCAUACCCAUCUAUUCAUGGACGGGUAUGGGUAAAUUUAGUUAAAUGGAUUUGUUUGCCACCUAUAGAGCUCUCAUUGAAUGGUCAAGGGAUCGAAUCCUAUGAUUUGCAUUCAUCUUUAGAAUUUUAUGAAAGUUUCACCGGUUGAUGCAAAGGCACCCGUUUGGUCCGGUGGUGGUUCAAUUUCUUUCAGAUUCUCCUUUGGCCCAUUUGGGCCCACCCCUCCCCUUAGUAUAAAGCAAGAAUAGGAGUAGAAAAGAAAAGUUAUCGUGUAUAUUUUAAGUAGGACAUUUUGAAUUCAAAAUCUCCUAUUUAUAAUCCUUUCCAACUCCCUCCCCCUCUUUUUCUUCAUAAUACUUCAUUUUUCUUUCUGACAAUUAGAUUAUAGCAAUAAUUUCUUAUUUUUAUCCAUAUUUUAUCCAACAUACUAUGAGAAAAACAUUAGUCUGUUCAUUCUUGCUAUUGUUGCAAAAUUGGAAUUCUUGUCUCAAAAAUUACCAAAUCCACAAACAUAAUUUGUGGUGGAAACUUGUUAAUUUAUAGUUAGAAAUUGAAAUUUACCUAGACAUAAUAUUAUAUUUUAAGCUACAUUACUAUUGUUUUACAAUUCUAGUUUUUGGAAUGUCAUAUUUGUAUUGCUCCUUUUUUUUUUUUAAUAUUGCUCCUAUUAUCCAGAUCAUUUAAUUUAACAUGAUUCUAAAUUUUAUUCUUUACAAAAUAUUUGCAAUGAACUAUAAAUCAAAUUAAAAGGUAAUUUGGAGUCGUUUUUACUCACCAUAGUUUCACAAAGGAGGACCUUGGAUUACUUAAUAGCUGUGAAAACGAAGACAAAGCAUGGAAACAAGACUUUGGUAAUUUAUUUAUCAUCCUCCAAUUUAAUUUUUUCUUAAACUCUGCAUAAAAUGAUGGCAAAUAAAAUAGAAUUAAUGAAAUAUAUGCGGUCAUUUAAUGAAUUUUUCACACCAGAAAAAUAGAAAAUUCAUUUCAAAGCAAAAAUCUUUAUGAAUUGUUUGGACAUUUAGGCCCAAAGUUGAAUUGAUGGACCUUUGUUUGGGAGUCCUAAAACUUAGGUAGCUGACCAUUUACUUUAGAUUGUCUGUAUAUUGAACUGAAUAGAAAAGUUGAAUGUAGGAAGCUUAUAGCCCAACUUGAUUUUUCAGGCCUCCUAGUGGACCAUCUGACCAUGGAUCAAUUCCUAUUUUAUUAUCUCAUCCUUGUAACAGGUUCGUUUAGCCCGACAAAUUUCAGUGCAUAACCAAGCAGCUUUGUCAGGAUUUGGGGCUUCACAAUUUGUGUUUCGUACAAUUUUGUACAAGUUGACCUCUGGUGUUAAUUAAUAAAAUUUUAGUAUAAAUUAGGUCUGAUUUGCUGUAAAUUAGGUGCAGUUCAGUGUAUGUUGAUUUGUUAUUAUUUGGUAUAAAUCAAGUACAGUUUGGUACAAGUUAAUUACUAUCAUUUAGUAUAAGCUGAGAACAAAUUAGUGUAAGUUGAAAGUAAUUCUUAAUUUACACCAACUUGAGCGAAAUGGAACUUGUGAGGCCCCGUUUCCCUUCAAUUAACAAGGGAAAGAAGAAGAAGAAGAAAAAAAAAAAAGCAAUGUAAGCAUAAGAAGACUAGGGAUUAAAAGUUUACAUGCAGAAAAUUUGUAAAAGCACAAAUGGCAAAAGAAAAAAGCCAACGAGCACAUGGUAAGGCUUAGUGCAAUCCCAUCUUAGUCAACAUUCAACUCUAUGAGGGUUUUUUAUUAACAUAGUAACUUUUUAAUUUUUUAAAAUUUUUUUAGCAGGGAAAUGGUCAAAAUUAAGAAGUAGGGAAAGAGAAUGGAGAAUUUCAAUCCAGAACGUCUAAAUCUUGAAACCUCAACUUCAGCACCAGACACCACAGGAGUCUUGGACUAACAUUAGCCACUACAUUCUUGAAUUUUUUUUUUCACCCAAAUUAUCAGCCUGUUUGGAACCUGAGUUUUUUGGGAGUUUGUCUAAAACUUUACUGUAGUGCACUGUAGAAAUUUUUGAAAAAAUUUUGUAGAAGUUUUUAUAAGGUGAAAAUUUUUUUUGUAAGGUGCAAAAUUUUGUAGAAAUUUUUGUAGAGUGAAAAACUUUUUUUUUUCUUUUCAUUUUUUUUCUUCUUUUUUCUUUUUCUUUCUUUUUCUUUUCUUUCUUUCCUUUUUCUUUUCUUUCCUCUCUUCUCCUUCUUCUUCUUCUUCUUUCUUUCUUUGCUCCCCGUUACCUCCUAGCAGCAGUCACACCCGCCACCCCUCUCCUCCCUUUCCCCUUCUCCUCCCACCACCGUGACCUCCUCCCCCCCCGCCACCCCCUGUGCCUCUUCCCCCUCUGCCACCGCGACCCCCCCCGCCCGCCCCACCGCCUCCCUAUGCCCUUCCCCCUCUGCCACCCGCGACUCCUCCCCCCGCCAGCCCCCUGCCCUUUCCCAGCUUCUCCCCGCCACCCUCCCCUCCCCCGCCACUCCUGCCUUUUCCCCAGCUUCUCCCCGCCCCCUCUGCCUUUUUCCCCAGUUCUCCCGCACUCUCCUCCCCCGCAGCUUCUCCCGCCACCUCCCCUGCCCGCCCCCUCCCCUACCACCCCCCCCAGCACCCUCCCUGCCACCCGACCCCCUCCUCCCGCCACCCCGCGGACGAUGCUAAAAUAGUCCCCAGGUUUCUGGCAAAAAGCAUCGAGGAAUUUACGGAACUUGGAACGCUUCGUCGAGGAGGAUUUGCUCUUCUGCAUCCAAUUGAAUAAGGAAACCAUCACGUUGAAUUUGAUGUCAAAUUCCUCCAUUCUGGACUUUUUUGCUUUUUCUAGACUAUGAUUUUGCUUGUUCGGUUCUUGGGGAAUGUUCAUUUUUUGUGUUUGAAAAUGAAGGAUUUAAAAACCGUCUGAAAGGGGAAGGGGGAAGGGGGCAGGGGAGGCAGAGGGGAAGAGGGGAGGGGGAGGGAAAGAAAAAAAAAACUUUGUGUAUGGCCGGAACUGGCCGCCGGAAUAGUAACCGGUGUCGAAAGUGAUGGUGGAGGUGGUGGCCGGCGGCGGAGGAUGUGGUGGGUUGGGUGGGGGAGGAAAAAGAAAAAAAGUUUGAAGGGAAAGUUUUUUUGUGUAUUUUUUGAAGUGUGUAGGUAAAAAGUUUUGAGAAGUUUUUUAGGGUUCCUGUAGCAAAAGUUGUUAAAAAACUAGUAGGUAAAAAACUUGGGCAAAAAACUCACUUUCAAACAGGCCCUAUAUUGUGUGAACGCAAAUUCAUCAAAAAUUGAAAUACCAUGAACAUGAAUGAAUAAGACAACUAAGCUGCCAAAAGAAAUAUCAAGUCAAAGAGAUUGUAGUAAAAGAACAGGAACCAUGAAGAUAAGAAGGGUAAAUUACAUUUUACCCCCCUAUGGUUUACCCUUUUUUUACAUAAUUCCCCUAUGGUUUCAAAAGCUAUACAUAACCCCCUCAUGGUUUGGAUUAAAGUGUCAAAGUAACGGAAAUAGUCACCCGUAACGGAACUUCUAAAAAUGUCGAAAUUACCCUUAUAAAUACAUGACACAUUAAACCCGCAUGAUUUUUAUAUUUUACCAUAUAACCCCCUUAUAGUUUAAUAUUUUACCAUAUAACCCCCUUAUGAUUUUCAAAAUAUACACAUAAUCCCUCUUGGUUAAUACAUAAAUUUCAACUUUACAUAAGGGUAAUUUUGACAUUUUAGGUGAAGCCGCUAUGAAUGAUCAUUCCCGUCACUUUGACACUUUAAUUCAAACUAUAAGGGGGUUAUGUAUAGAUUUUGAAACUAUUGGGAUGUAAAAAAAUGCUAAACUACGGGGGGUAAAGUGAAAUUUGCCCAGAUAAGAAUGACUGCGUUCCCAUUUAAUUUCAUAUCCUAACACAAAGAUCAAAGCGUUUGUACAAACUCAAUAAUCUAAGUCCUUUCAUCUCCACUCCAAUUAUCCUUGGAUUUGGGACCAGUGGGCCCUUCCUCAGCCAACACUUCACUAGGAAGCUCACUAACUGCUUUUUCUAAAGCACUUUUUAAUUUCCCAGGCAAAAAUUUCUCAACCUUCUUGAUCUCAUCGUUGAUAUUAUAGCUGAUUUUUGGACCCCAUUCUCUAGUAUAAUUCAACCAUGGUGGUUCAACAAUUGUUGGCCCUAAGUAAUCAGCAGAAACCACUGAGAAAUUUGCCCCAGCAUCCAUAAAAAACUGCCCUUUUCCAGCAUCAUUUCUUAUUCCAACAUUUGAGUUAGACCCUUGCAAAAAAUCUCCUGUCUUUGGAUAAGCGGCAUGGCCAUGCAAUGAGGAAUACACCACUGGUUUGUUACCAUUUUGGAACUCAAGCCCAGAAGCGCUGAUCCAUGUCCCUCCACUAUGUUCUGAAAAAUAAACACACUUUAAUUCUCCAUUGAAGUUACUAAUCCUCAGUGUCACAUGCUCCCAGUCUCCAACAUGUUCCCCAAUUUUUCCUAGCUUAAUUGUAACAAACUCAACUUUUGCUCUAGCUGCACCAUUAAAAGGGUAAAAAACCCAUACAGCCAAGUCAGUAAAAGUUGCACCUAACAUAGGUUUAACAUGUAUAUAUACACUUGCAUCUUGUAGAUUUCCUUGCUUGACCCUAUCUUUAGCAGCAUUAUCACGAGGUAAAUCUAUCCAAUAUGCACCAUCAUUUGUACCACCUUGGGGCAUAUUUGACCCUGUUGGGGUAAUAGCAACAGGAUUGGAUUCCUGCCCUCUUGUGUACAGUAAUGCACCAUUCUGGAAAAACCAAUUUACUGAAGAAGGAAAGAACUCUUCAUCAGGGUGAAAGUAAAUCACUGGAGAAUAUUCAGCAAGCAAUGCUCGAAUCUGAUUCAGAGUAGGCAUAGCAUGAAAGUUGCCUUGCAGAUUCUUCAAACAAGCCAGUGAUGUUGCAGCCCCACUGUUUUGUGCUAAUAUAAAUGUACCUGUGGAAACCCCUAAAACUUGAAUCCCUCUAACUUUUGGCCUUGAACCAUAUAUGUUAAUGCCAUUAGAACUACCCCAAAUCCAAGAAUCUAGAUCAGUAGCAUCAGUGUAAUCAGAGCGGACGCAUCGAACUUUUUCCACUGAAGGCUUAUCAGGGGAGCUUGUGACUACAUGACCAAUGGCCUUGUAGCCAUCAGGAGGUGAUGGCAGCCAUAUAUAGCCCACGCCAUCUUGCUUGAUAUUCAAAGAUUCACUACUCCAAAUAAGUGUAUAAUCAGUGGGCUUGCUCAGAAUUCCUUGACCUGAUGAGGCAUCUUUUGCAGCAAGAACCCAUCCAAACAGGGGACUAUUGUUUGGUUGGCUAUAGUAACCAACUGUAAAGAAUCCAACUGGGAUUGAAGAUGGUUCAAAAAAGGUUGCACCAAGAUUAUCUGGUCCACCUUCAUGAGUAGCCCAAACUUUAUUGAAAGUUGAUACUUGACAUAUCCGUAAUCCUCCCAAAUCAAUUGUUCCACUAGCAAAUCCCGCACCUAUAAUCCACAAAUGAACAGAAAGUUAGCAGAUUUCCACAACUUUAACCAAAAAAACAGAGGAAAAUUCUGAUGGGUUAGCAUUUUUACCUUGAGGCCAGGCGGGUAAUGGGGAAGGAAGCUUGAACAUGGUUUCAAUAGGAGGUGGCUGGUUGUCUUUCUUGGACAGAUAUACCACAGAAGGAGAAAUUGCAUUUAUGCUAUUUCCCAUGCUUGCAUGGUCCAACUGAUUCUGAGGUCUUGAGCAACAGAGUUGAAUAUGGAGUGCAAGGAACAUGAAGUAGACAAACCCCAUUUUCUGCAAGAGAAAUUGCUUUAGAAAGUGUAAAGACAAAGCAAGAAAUCUAGUCAAGCGACUGUGGCGCGAAAGUUAUUCAUCUAUUGGUUUUCUAUACUUGAAGAAUGAAAGCAUAUUGUUUGAGAUUUGAGGAUUGGAUGUUCUUGUCUUCUACACUAAAGCUUUCUGCUUUGGCUUUGUUACACCAGUCGUUAUUAUACCUCUCCUAUUUUCACGGGACUGAUUCUGUGUAUCAGGAUGUAGAAUGGGUUAAUCCCAAUUUACUGUGCUAGAUAUACAAGGUGUGUAUCGAGCCUUUGCUCGAAUGUAAAUAUUUUUUGCCCAAGUUAUAUAUAUAGUCCUACCGUUUCGAACGAAAAAAAAAAAAAAUUCUGUGAAUCAGUAUCAGUGUAUGAGACAGCUCUAGCUGUCAUCAUAAUAUUUUUAAUGCCAUAGUUAAAAUGAAAACUAAGAAAAAAAAAAAACAUAAUCCACUGUAUGUAACUGUCUUAGAUAAUCCACUGAUGUGAUUGCUGACAACGACAUACUGAGUCUGCAGAUUUCUUGAUUCAAGGAACUAUACAAAGGAAUCUUUUUAUUCUUUAGGGAUAAUAUCAGAAACCUCUACUGAUGUUUCUUUUAAUAUCAUCUGAUACUCCUAAAGUCUUAAAAACGUCACUUACUUCCCUUACUUUUAUUAUUGGCUUAUCAAAACUUUUAAAAAUCUUAAACUACCUUUUCAUUUGUUAAAUAACAAUAUUCCUAAACCGUUUUAUUCACUUCAAAAAACUAUCACCUACAAAACAAUCUCUUAUAUUACUAUCACAUCAUAAUACUAUACCCCAUAAAAAUACAAAUUUGAAAAAUAAAAAAAUAUUUGAAAAAAAUACAUUUGCACCAAUUUAACUCUAUAUACUUGAAAUUGAUUUCUUAUGAACUUUAUAUUUUUUUUCAACAUCUUCUCAAUUCUUGUCCAAACCAUUAAAUUGUAUCUAUCAUUAUAAAAAUCAACUCAAAAUACGCAAAUAAAUCAUACCUCACUUUAUCACAAUUACAAAAAAUAAAAUUCAAUCAUAAUUCACUUUACACAAAAUUCAAUUUAUUAUAAUUUACAGAUAAAAUUUUGCAUAGUCAUCCAAAAAAUGAGUAAGAGAGAAUGACAAAUAAAAGGGAUAGAGAAAAAAGUGACUUUUGUUUCUUUUUUUUUUUAUUUUGAGUUCCAAAUUAAUUUUAAUUUGAUAUAUAAAUUAUGUUUCAAAUAAGAGUUAGUAUAGUCUUUUUACAAUUAUUAGAGGAGGUAACUGAUAUUUCAAAAAUUUUAGGGGACCAAGUGAUAUUAAGAGAAACUUCAAGGGAGGUUCCUGAUGUUAUCCCUAUUCUUUAUGAGCAAAGUAAUAUUCUAUUCGAUACUAGCAAAAAGGCAGCUCUAAUCACCAAGUGUGUGUUAUGCAUAGUAAGAGUACACAAUAAUGAUUCAAGAUUUUCUGAUUAGUUCUUGUACAAAUAUGACAUCAUUUUACUCAGUAGAUUCUGGGUGUGUUUGGACAAACAAGAUUUGAAUUAAAAUAAUUCACUUCACAAAUUUUAGUCACCUUUUUAUCUUUUCAAUCAACUUUUUAUCUCACAUUUAUCAAAUCACAAAAAGUGCUAUCGUAAUUAUCUCAAAUAAAUUAUCCAAAUAAACUCAGAGCCUAUCGCAUUGAGUACAACCGAUUUUGUGAUGUGGCGGACAGGAUAUUUGCAUGGAAACUUUUAAAUUCUUGGCACAACUGUCAUCACUAGCUUAAAAGGUAGACACAAGCAUUAUUGUUAUCUUCUUUGGUGAUUUACGGAGUAGAAUCUUUCUCAAAGUGUAAAGAAAAAGCUCAGCUAAUUCACUUUUUGUUUGGAUUGCAUUUUUUGAGCUAAAAUAAUUUUUUAUUUAUUUUAUUUACUUAUUUUUAGAUGUAUUUUAAAUUAUGCGUGAGAUGUUACUGUAAACUCCACAAACAAAAAUUUUUUUUUUUUGAAAAAAUAGGUAAUCCAUAUGGAACUUAAGGUUACAAUUGUGUAUUUUUCAAGUUGACAUGCAUUCAUGCACUAAAAGCUUGUAUUACUAUCAGUAAGAGAAAUGCAAGAAUUCAGGCUUGGAUUAGUUAAUUAACAAUAAGACUGGGGAUGUGACCGCAGAACUUUAUAUGGGGUAUUAACAAAGAAGGCAUAAGAUGAUAAGACAGCAAUAAGGCUAAUGCAUGUGAGUUUGUGACACUAACGCGUUCUUGAAGCAAGAUAGUCAAGGCUGACCUGUGUGCUAUAAUGUUUUGUAUUGCGUCUUCAAAAACACAAACCCCAAACUUCCCUUGUGGUUAUUACUUGUCAACUAGCUACACUGGCCCUUCGGGUCGGGUCGGUUGGUGCUGGGGUAGCCUCAUUAGGUCCUAGUACCGUAUGAUCGUGGUUCGAUUCCUUCUACUGUCUUGUGUAUCUUGAGAGACGGGUGCAAAAAUACAGCCACCAUAUUGUGCAAAGCAUCAUGUAAUAGAACGGAAAGCUAACAACUAAAAAGUGCAAAAUAUCAAAUGUUUUAUGAAUAUCAAGCUAACGGGAACGUCAAGGAAUUGGGUAGAACUAAUUAGAUCUUACAAUUAUGCAAAUUAGGAUUUGGACAGGUUUGUCUUGUAGGACUGCCUUUUAGUUUAGCCAAACUCUAUUAAGUGUGAUAUGUUGCUUUUGCAUUUAGGGUUUUUCCAUAAUGGACCCUAAACAUCAUUUCAGGGACCAUUUGAUAAAGUUUAUUGACAACGAAUUUCAUCUGCUAUGAACUCACCAUAUACAGUUUGUAAUCUCUUCAAGGAUAAGAACAAGAAGCUUUUGCACAUUUUUGUAAGACAUGCUAGGAGGAGGCUUUAUAUCCAAGAAUCUUCUCAUGAAUGAAGUAUGGAACCAGUGAGGGGAAAGAUGAAAGAAAAGAAUGGAAAAUAAAACUAGAGCUAAAUGAUGAAUGGAGAAAUGAAUGAAGGAGAACUUACUUGCAUUGGAAAAUGAGUGACAGCAUCCAUCUUCCUUCCCAUAUCAAUAACAACAACAACAACAACAACAACAACAAAAUUGCCGUAAAAUAUACAACAAAAGAUUGUUAGUGAUAGUGGAAGGUGAGGGGGUGAAAUUCUGUGCAAUUUUAGCUUUUCAGUUGCUUGAAAAAACUUCGCUCUGUAUAUUCUUGGCAAAUUAAGCAGAUGACUUGCUGUAACAAACUCUUCCGAGUCCUCGGAGAUGGAUGGCAGCAUAUCCCGUCCGAAAUUCCAAAGCAUAUUUCUGCUUAUGCUUUGGAAAUUUGAAUUGAAAUUCGUCUUCAGAUAAAAUUCUAACAUAGUAGCAACAAUAUUGUCACGCAAAAUUUUAAACCCACAAAAGUUAUAAAUCCCUGGAUUCUGUGUUAAAUUGCCACCAGCCUUGUCGGCCUAAAGAAAUGGAUACGAGAUGAGAAUGUGCCUGGCAAAACAUCUUUAACGGGUCCAACCUAGCUCGACUCCAGAUUAGUCGGGCCAAAAUGACUACCACACACUGAAGAUUAUUUGAAAAAAAAGAGAAAAAUAAAACAUUCUUGAUAUUUUUUUUUUCAAAUCUAGCAGGGGAGGGUGGGGCUUAAGAAACAGGAGGAAGUUGGGAGAUUUGAGUUUAAAAUCUCUAAUAUUUAGAAUCUCAAUUUUAACCAUUAGAUCAAUACCUCAUCGAUCUUGAGAAAUGCAAUAAUGGAGAUACUGUACAAUGUUAAAUUGCAAAUAAAAAUAUAAUGGUGCAAGAUUAAGUGCAACUCCAGCUCUCAGGUGACAAAAAAUAUAUAUAAAAAAAGAAUUAAUUUUUCCUAUGCACAGUAAGUGUUAGAUGAAUGAUAAUUAUCAAAAUUUAAAUUUAAACUCCAAUUUUUGCACAUGUGUCAGUGUAAAUAAAAUUACUGUAAAAGUGGUUGCAGCACAUUUCAGAAUGCCUAUUUGCUCAGUAAUUAAUCACUGAUCAGCCCAUGCUUCAUUACGUUAUUGCUUCUGCACAAGCUUUGUAAAAUCAGGAUCCUACGUAGGAUCGAUUUUAGUUUUACAGAAUCGGAUCGUAAGAUCGGAUUGUGGAGUCGUAAUAUCUCACCAAAAGCUCCUAAAUUUACUAAAUUAAUGAAUUUAAAAUUCAUAUACCAUUUUGUACAUACUAAAAGAUAUCAAAUAAAUAGGUUACUCAUAAAUAUUUUAUACCAUGUUGUUCAUUUCUUGUUUUGAGUUUUAACAGUCAGACAAGGAACCUUUACUUAAUCUUAGAGGUGGCAAUUUGUCCCAAGUUCCAAUGGGCUACCCAUGCCCAAAAGGACUUUGGGCGGGAUGGGUACCAUAAUUUGAUAUUGGGUUUAAAAUGGGAUGCAUCCCAAUUGUACCCAUUAUUUGAUGGGAAAUGUUGAGAAAUACUUGGGUACCCAUUGGGCCCAAAUAUCUUCCCAAAAAAUUUCAUUUAUCCAAAAAUGCAUCUUUGAUUUUUUUUUUUGCAAAAAUCUGAUUUUUUUUCACUUCCAUUUUCUUUCUUUUACUUUCUUCACUUUCCUACAAAAGAAAACUAGUUAAGUAAAAAUGAUUUCAUUUAAACAACUUUAAAAAAAUAAAGAUAACAAUAAAAAUAAAAUGAAUUGGUAAAAUUUUGGUGUCUACAAGAAUCAACACUUUACUAACAAUUGUUGGCACCCUUUAUGUUGAUUUUAUGCUAAUUGUUGAACUAUCUACAUAGAUUUCUAUAUGCAACCCUGUUAUCAAUUUUUAAUCAAUUUCUUCGUUUUUGUGCUAGCUUUAUUUAGCAUUUAAUGUGAAUUUCUUUUGUAUCAAAUUUUGAAAAUUUUAAGAAUGCCAUUAAGAAUGAAUUUGGUGUUAAAAAAUCUUGUUUCUAGUCCUUGUGUCAGACAACAUUAUGGGUAAGGUUGGAAUAUGGCUGUAUAUCUAUCUUUUCCUUUAUUUGUUAAUCCAAUUUUUGGUUUAAUCCAGGGAGAAGAUAUGUUCAUUCUUACCAAAAUGUUAUAUCUUUUAAAAGUAAUUGUUGAUCGUUCUAGAGUGUAAAUGAAUUCAGGAAAAUAUAAAUUCACAAUAAGAUCAAAAGAAAUUGAAUAAAUAAAAAUAUUAAAGUUAUAUAAAAAAUAAAAAAGAAUUAAAGGAAAAAAAAUAUAGAAAAUAGAUUUGGGUAUUGGGCGGGAUCAAUCUAAACACAUCCCAAAGUGAUCCCGUCCAAAUUAGUUCCAAAACACAUAUGGGUAAGUUUAACCCCAAACCCAUAUGAUUCGAUUUCAUUUCGAACCCAAGCAAAUCUCACCCAUCCCGCCCAUUUUGCCACCUCUACUUAAUCUACUAAUAUUUUCUUUACAACCUUUCAGCUGAAAAGUUGUGUUUUUGUGCUGGCCUGUAGUAGAAUGUAGAAUAGAUGAUCAUAGCAAAACUAGCUGUUAUAGAUAUAGACGAUGAUCCAUAUGGCUUGCAAUAUUAAACUAACAUUGUAAAAAGGGCAACAAAUGAAGGCUAAUAUAUAGUUGAGUAUCAUUGACCACUAUACAUCACUUGUAUGCAUCUCAAGUCAAGUUUGAAACAAGCAGACAAUUCUAGUUCAUAUUGGUUUGCCGGCCAUUUAAUUUUCAGACUUACAUUUUAUUAAUUCUCCAUAAUUUAAUUCUAAUAUACUAAAAUUAAGGAAGCAACCAAUCAACACAACAGGGGGCUUGAAAUACGUGUGCAUGGGGGCCUCAUAAUCAUUCAUUCAUUCAUUCAUGGGUUCAAAAGAAAAGAUGAAAGAAAACUGCCGACGAUCAUCAAUUUGCAGGCAUGUGGUGUGGAGCAACAACUAUGGAGGAUUUGAGUAGAGAAAUGCUUAGCCAAGCAAAAGGAAUACUAUAAGGCGAUGAAUAAUCUUGGUCUUGGUCUUGGUCUUGGGGAUCCAUCUCACACAAAAAAUAAUUUGCAAUGCGCGAAAGUGACUUAAGAUCUAAAUUCUAGAGUAAUUCAGUUGGCUGGAAAUCUUCAAACAAUUAAUGCGGAAACAUAUUUGUCUCAAGUCUGAGAUAUGUAGAAGGCAAUCAUAGGAAACUCGACUACCAUAGACUACCAUAGCCAUAUUUGAAGCACUGCUCAAUUCAACCGAUAGUAAAAUAACCACAUGUGACUUUAAUUGAAGUACUGGUGCUGGAGCUUCAGUGUGGUGGCAGCAAGGAGAUUGGAGAAGAACAGGUGUUGGAGCUUGAAGUUUUGAAGCUUGAAGGUGCCACAAUCCAGCGGCAGCAAAGGAGAUUUCAUCUUGAAGCCGCACGAAAUCUGGCUUGAAGCCUUGAAGCUGUAGCUUGUUGGUAUUUGGUAGAAGCCACAGCGAUUUUGUCUUGUUGGUAGGAGCUGCAGUGGUGGUGGUUUGAUGGAUAAAUUAGGGCUUUGGGCAGCGAUGGAGAAGAAGUGAAAAGUGAGAUUAGCAAAUGACAGAGAGGAGAAGACUAAAGAUGAGAAGAAUCGGAGCUUGUUUGACUUUUUGAGGCAAAAAGUGUUCAAACAUUGCAAUUAAAGACUGCAAUUCUUUGAUAAAUUACAAAUCUACCCCAAAUGUUUUCAUUUACUUGCAAAAUGGAGUCUCGUAUUUCACAAAUUAGCAAAAAAUUGUAGGAUCGAAGUAGGAUCGUAGAAUCGACGAUUCUAUACGAUCCUACAGAUCCUACUCGAUCUUAUGCUGAUUAAUGCAAUUUGUGACUCUGAAUGCGAUCCAGAUCGAUUUUGGUUAUCCGGGGAUCGCGAUUUUGACAACACUGCUUCUACAUUCAUCUAUCUGGGGAAGAUUGGUGCUACCGCGCUAAUGAUAUUAGUGGGAUAUUAAUUGCUCCAUUAUGGGAGUGCUAAAUUAUUUUAUUCUACAGUGGGGAACACCAAUUUGUAUCUAAAACAAGCCGUGUUUGGUUUUAUAAUGGAAGGUUAAGUUCAUGUUAGGAAAUUGGCUUAAUUUCUUUUAGGUAGAAUUCUUGUUUUGUGUAAAAGUAUCUAGUUUUCUAAUUGGUUUUAGUUACUCGAAGUAAUAGUCAAGAAAUAUUCUAUUUAGUUUAGAAUUAGAAAUUAUUUCAUAUUCUGUACAAGUUUAGGAAUUAGAAUUGAUUUUCUAUUAUUAUUUGGAUUUUUAACCAAAUAACGUUUCUUAUAAAUAGGUGGAUUGACAUACUAUACAAGAGACACAAGGGCACACAAGGGCAACAUAUAGCCUUAUACAUGGGGUGGUGAGAGAGGGUUCUUGAAAGAUGAGAGAUGAUAUACAAGGUUGGAAUUGGGUUCAACUUGUAUUCUUGUAUAAGGUUUUCCUCUCAUAAUAAAGAACAGGUUUCUCUCCGUGGACGUAGGCUCAAUGCUGGAGUUGAACCAUGUUAAAUAUUGUGUGUUGUUUAUCUUUCAUACCGUGGCUUGUUCCUCAUUAAAUUGUUGUAUACUUGAUGUCUCAAUAGUUAUUUGCUCAGCGCUUGGAUCCUAACAAGUGGUAUCAGAGUUUCAGGUUGUGAGACUGGGCAAUAAAGCAAAGUUCGUGGUUGGAUCCUAGUUAACUAUUAAGAUCAAGUGGAUUGGUAGCUGUUACUAAUUGAAUAAUUUAAUGAGUGGUAUCCUUGUUUCAAUGACUUGACAAAAAGUAUUGAUGGUGAAGGAUGGGAAGUCGAAAAGCGUGAAGAUACUUGACGGUGAAUCUAGGCAGGUGAUUCAAGGGUCAAGAAAAAGGUGAAGUUCAAUAUUGAUUUUGGACGUGAAUCGGUGGAGACUUUCUUACACCUCCAACGAUUGAUACUUCAUCCCAGUGAAUUUUAGAUUUUGGUUAUGUUAUUUGGGUGGUGUGGCAUGUGUCCCAAAGGAACAAAAAAAAUCUAAUUGUCAUGCGCCAUAAGACUUUGACAGUUAUGAGUUUUUUGUUUUAGGUGGAGUUUUGGAAACCACACAUGGCACGACAGUCCUGAAGAUGGGAAGAAGUAUGGUAAUUUUACCACUUAAUUGCCUCAAUGGUUAAGGUUAGAACUCACAGAAGGAGAUUCCGGAUUGCAAGUGGUGGUGAGAAAAAAUCAUGCAAAGGAAGAUGGUGAAUUGGACACUUUCUCACGAGUCAACUGGAGGUUGGAUUCGGGGUGAUUACAGAUGUUAAUUUGCCGAUUAAAUCAAUUUGGUGUCAGAACUGUAUUGAUUCAAGUGUGUAGUUCGGUACCAUAUUAUUUGGUAGUUGAAAGCAAAUGAUUGUUAAAAGAAAUUUUCGCCAACGUGGAGAUUUGUUAGGAAAUUGGUUUAAUUUCUUUUAAGUAGAAUUCUUGUUUUGUGUAGAAGUAACAAUUUUUUUAAUUGGUUUUAGUUACUUGAAAUAAUAACCAAGAAAUAUUUUAUUUAGUUUAGAAUUAGAAGUUAUUUCCUAUUCUGUACAAGUUUAAGAAUUAAAAUUGGUUUCCUAUUAUUAUUUGGAUUUUUGGCCAAAUAAUGUUCCCUAUAAAUAGGUGGGUUGGCAUACUGCACAAAAGAUAAAAGGGCACACAAGGGCGACAUGUAGCCUUAUACAUGAGGCAGUGAGAGAGGGUUCUUAGGAGAUGAGAAAUGGUAUACAAGAGUUGGGAUUGGGUUCAAGUUGUAUUCUUGCAUAGGAUUUUCCUCUCAUAAUAAAGAACAGGCUUCUCUCCAUGGACGUCGGCUCAAUGGUGGAGUUGAACCACGUUAAAUAUUGUGUGUUGUCUAUCUUUCAUACUUGUAUCUUGUUUACCAUUAAAUUGCUGUGUAGUUGAUAUCUUAAUAGUUGUUUGUUCAGCGCUUGGAUCCUAACAGUUCAUCCAGAAAUUUUAUAUGUAUUGGUUAAUCCAAUUCAAGUGACAUAAUAAGUUUUGCUGUUUUAAUUGAGAAUGGGAAUUAGGUUAGAAUUUCGCAGAAUUCCACACUAAUACGUUCCCAGUUUAAAUGCAAACUUAAAGUUAAUUUAAAUGUUUGAGCAGUAAAUUCUGAAUUUAGUUGUCAGUUCCAAUUCUGAAAUUAGAUCAGUUUGAAUACAAUUUUUAAGUUAAUUUAAAUGUUUGAGCAAUAAAUUCUAAAAUUAAAGCAAGUUAAAUUGGCAGGAAAAACUUCAAAAUGUUUCGGGAAUUCGUACUGGAUGUUCUCCAAUAAGGUUCAAUGACCCUACUAACUCGGACUGGAUUAAUCACAAAUUGGGUCCAACUGGUCAAGGAAUGUGCCCUCUCACUGGGCCUAGUUCGUUGCAGUCAGAAGACUACUCUCUCCCUUUAGGUAAGCUAUCUACAUGUCUUUAUAUAUGUAUAUAUAUAUAUAUAUAUAUAUUCUACUUCUACUCCUACUCCUAUUUUAGCUUAUUUUAGGGAGAGGGGAGGACGACGAAGACUAAAUCAAUGUUGGAUCAGACAGAUACAUUAUGCACCCAUAUGUAUUUAAGAGAAGCCACAUAUAGUGACACAAUAAUGGGAGGUAAGAUUUGAACUCUUGAUCUUUCACACUUCCAAGACUUAAAGUGUUUGAUGAUGGCCAAAAACUUUCUACAUGUCUAACAUGGAAUUUUCUUGACAUGGAGUAGAGUAGACGGUGACGAUUGACAAAAAAAGAAGGGGAAUUUCCUCAACCCACAAAAAAAUUUUUUUAAAAAAAGAAAGGAAGGUGAAAGUUACUUCAAGAACUGAAAUUUUCAAGAAUGCUUACUAGCUUAGGUGCUAGAGCCUCAUCUUUGCCCCCUGCAACAACAAUUCUACAAACAAGCAAUGUUGUUAGGUUGAAAUUUAAAAUUUUGUUUUUAAUAAUUGUUUUUGGUUUUGUUUUUUUACACCUGCCCAUGGCCCUUAGAUAAAUAAAAUUGUUUGGAAUAAUGGGAUUAGAACUGCUUUUAACGCAGGGCUUGUCUAAGUUGUGGUUGGAACUUGGAAGCUUGCAACUAGGAAUAUUAAAAAAGAAGCAUAUUAAUUCUAGCACUAAUUAACAGUUACCAUUUGUUCGAAGGCUUCGGACAAGCAGGAUCGCACAUCAUGAUAAAGCUAGCUAUAUAUAAGAACUUGUCUUUAACACUAAUUAAUCCCAGUUAAUUAAUGAUGAUCAAGAUUAGAUGGGCUUUCUCUUCCUGUUAGAGUAGGGCAAUAUUAGUGGUAUUGUUUGUUUAACUUUUUUUUUAAAUUUUUAAAAGGUAGUUUACAAUGUAAGUAACAAUUGUAUGAUGCUCUUUGUUUUAUGUAUAAUCCAAUUCAGUCAAUUUUCUUGCAGAAUUUUAACUGUUAGAGUUGAUUUUGCUUAGGUUAAAUCGCAGGGUGACGUCCAAAAGACGGACCGCGGGACUUAUCCCUGGGAGCUUGCGGCUAUUCUUGGAAGGUGUAUUUUGAAGUCACGUGGGAUUAGGAGACAUCUUGAGAGACCUCUUUGGCAACAAAGCAAGGAGAAAAAAAAAUAAGGAAAGGGAUUCCUUAUAGAAACAAGCACUUUGUUAGCUAAAGAGAAGGCGGCGGCAAAGCUUUAAAUAGGACAGUAAUAGACUAGGAGUUGGUAUCUUUGACCUUGGAUGUUUAGUCUUUCUCUUCUUCUUCUUAACAUGAGUUAGAGAUUCGUGGUUUUUACUUUAUCAACUAAAUUCCAUAAAAUGCUUUCAAUUGCAUCAACGUUAUGCGGCAAGGCUAGAUUCUUUGUCUAGUUGAGGAAUAAUCAAGACCCGGUGCACGGACAAUUGUUAGAUCUUUUUAAUUGUUCUACGCUAAUUCAAAUUCUGCGUUAGUGGGUAUUUAAUUAUUCUUUGUUUUAAUAGCCUAUUCUUGUUUGGAUUUAUUGGAUCAAUGUGAUCAGUUGUUCAAUUGUCUGAAUAAUAAACUGCCAAUUAGGAUGAGGGUGCAUAUCACUUGAUUGUCUUAAAAUUAGUGACAAACGGCACAAUUUCAUUGCCUCGCAAGCAAUCUAAUCUGUGUCGUAGGAAUAGUUAAUCUAGUUUAAAUGAACCCGUAUGUGUGUUUGUUAACUAGAAUUGGGUCUCUCUAAUUCCUAACCUGUGAAUAGAUUAAAUCCUUCGAGCGUCUCUGGAGUUAUUUAUUUUACAAGGGGGUGGUUUAAGAGCGUCUCUGGACCACCAUAUAAUUAAGGAGAGAUUGGUAGUUUGGCGGUUGCUGAAUUACUAGAACCAAUUUACUUACGAACGUGUGAAUUAAUUCAGGUAUCUAUAAUCAAUUAUGUGGGCCAAUGCCGAGAUUAUUUCCUUGACUAGGUUGUGUCAAUUAAUUGUUUAUUAUAUUCUUUAGAUAUUGGACUUUCUUGCGAUUGGAAAUUCAGUACUCUUACCUCUUUAUUUGUUCUUUUUGUCUUCCUUUCUAAACCCCGCCCCCCACAUUCUCUGUGUGUGAUAAAUCUACCAGUUCCUUGAGAAGACGACCCUACUCACCACUAUACUCGUUUAGUUUUGGGAGUAGGUUUUGAUAUAAAUUUUAUUUUUGGUAGUUUGACAGCCACCAUGAACCAUCCCUGUUAGAUCCUCUUCCAGCCUCAUCAAAUUAGCAUGUAUAACCUCAGACACAGCAUCUGGCCAUGAUGCAUUCAUCCAAUCCUUCAAGCUCACAUCUCCUGAUAACAUUUCAUUAGUUGGCUUCCUUCUUGUGAAAGUUUCCAUCAACAUGAUUUCAAAACUGUAGAUAUGACACUUCUUGGAUAUCAAACCUUCUGAUCCAUACUUUGCACCAAGUGAAACAGCUUAUCAGAAAGAUUACAAUUAUGUUGAGGGAUAUGAAACAAAAUUAGAAGCAACUAUUAUCACCUGGUGCCAUGUAUCCUAGUGUUGCUAGUGUCUGAGUUUGGGCCAUGCUCUCUCCCAUCCCUAAUAAUUUUGCAGUGCCAAAAUCACCCACAUGUGCUACCAUAUUUUUGUCAAGUAAAACAUUGCUUGGUUUCAGAUCACAGUGAAGCACAGGGAUUGAAUAACCAUCGUGCAGAUAGUCUAAUAGUGAUGCCACAUCAAUCAUUAUGUCUAGUCUUUGCAAAAAAUCCAUGUACAAAUCCUGAUAGUACAACCACUUUUCAAGACUUCCAUUAGACAUAUAUUCAAGAAUUAAAGCUUUGAAGUCAAGGCUGGAACAGCUGCUGAUGACUUUGGUUAGAUUUCUGUGACGAAGGUUACAUAGUACUUCACAUUCUAUGUCAAAACUUCUAAAUGCACCUUCUGUUUGUAAGUUGAACACCUUCACAGCUACAUUUGAUCCAUUGAUUAAUGUCUUGUAAACAGAACCAUAGGCUCCCAUAAAAUUCAUUGAAAUUGGUGCACACUGAUGUUUGCUAUAUGAAAGAUAAGUCUCUUGGUGGUGCUGUUUAUUUUGUAACUUUUAUUGAUGACUUUGCUAGAAAGGUUUGGUGUUUUGCUUUGAAAUCCAAAGAUCAGCUUUUGGAUGUAUUUAUGGAUUUUCACAGCAAAGUUGAAAGAGAAACUGAUAAACAGUUAAAGUGUGUACGUGCUGAUAAUAGUAGUGAGUAUAGAGGACCAUUUGAAAUUUAUUGUAAGUCCCGUGGGAUCAGAUUGGAGAAGACUAUGCCAAAAACUCCUCAAGAGAAUAGAGUAGCAGAGAGAAUGCAUAGAUUCAUCACUGAACGGGUCAGAUGUAUGCUCUCCAAUACUAAGUUGCCAAAAUCCUUUUGGGGGUGAAACAAUGAGGACUGCGGUCAAUUUGAUUAAUCUUUCUCCAUCAGUUUCUCUAGAUGGUGAUAUCCCAAAGAGAGUAUGGACGGGAAAAAAUAUAUCUUUUGAGCACUUGAGAGUUUUUGGUUAUCGGGCAUUUGUUCAUAUCCCCAAAGAUGAAAGGUCAAAACUUGAUGUAAAAUCAAAAUAGUGUAUUUUCUUGGGUUAUGGACAUGAAGAUUUUGGUUAUAUAUUGUAUGAUCAUAUUGAGAAGAAGGUGAUCAGGAGCAGAGAUGUUGUUUUUUUUGAAAAUCAAACCAUUGAAAACAUUGAUAAAGGUGAUAACUCAAAAUCCUCAGAUGACAUUCCUACUAGCUCAAAUUCAGAUCCAGAUCCAAUUCUAUUACCUGUUGAUUCUAAUCAAGGGGGAGCUGAGAUAGAGUAGAGAGAAGAUGUUUAUGAUGGUGAUAAUCCUACUGCUGAUGAACCUGAGUAUGAGGCAUCACCUACUCCACCACCACCACCACAAGAUGAGCUUAAGAGAUCUACCAGAGAAAGGAGACAUUCUAACAGAUAUAAUCCUCAUGAAUAUGUGUUAUUGACAGAUGGAGGAGAGCCAGAGUCCUAUGAUGAGGCUCUAGAGCAUGAGAAUAAAGAAGAUUGGUUGCAAGCCAUGCAAGAGGAGAUGGUGUCCCUGCAUGAGAAUCACACUUAUGAGCUAGUGAAACUGCCUAAGGGUAAGAGAGAUUUGAAAAACAAAUGGGUCUACAAGUUGAAGAUUCAGGAGCACAGCCCACAAGUAAAGUACAAAGCAAGAUUGAUUGUGAAGGGAUUUAGUCAAAAGAAGGGCGUAAACUUUGAAGAAAUUUUUUCUCCUGUGAUAAAAAUAUCAUCAAUUCGAGUUAUUCUUGGUAUUGUAGCCAGUUUGAAUUUGGAGAUCGAACAACUUGAUGUGAAGAUAGCCUUCCUGCAUGGUAACUUGGAAAAGGAGAUCCACAUGGAACAAUCGGAGGGGUUCAAAGAAAGUGGUAAGGAAAAUCUUGUAUGUCGUCUCAAGAAGAGUUUGUAUGGGUUGAAACAGGCACCGAGAUAGUGGUAUAAGAAGUUUGACUCAUUCAUGACAGACCAUGAGUACCAUAGGACUACAUCUGAUCACUGUGUUUACGUGAAAAUUUUUUCAGAUGGUGAUUUUAUUAUUCUCUUGUUAUAUGUUGAUGACAUGUUGAUUGUUGGUCGUGAUACUGUGAAAAUUGAUAGGUUAAAAAGAGAGUUAAGUAAAUUUUUGUAAUAAAGGAUUUGGGUCCGGCUAGACAAAUAUUGGAAUUGAAAAUCUCACGAGACAGGCAAAAUGGAAAGUUUUGAUUGUCUCAAGAAAAAUACAUUGAGAAAGUGCUCAACAUGUUUAACAUGAGCAAUCUAAGGAAAUCUCAGCUCCACUUGCAGGUCACUUCAAACUGACUAUCAAACAGUGUCCUACAAGUGAGAAAGAUAAAAAAGACAUGAAAAAGAUUCCUUAUGCUUCGGCUGUUGGUAGUUUGAUGUAUGCUAUGGUUUGCACCAGGCCAGAUAUUGCUCAUGCAAUUGGAGUAGUCAGUCGGUAUCUCUCUAAUCCUGGUAAGGAGCAUAGGAAUGAUGUCAAAUGGAUUCUCAUGUAUCUCAAGGGAACUCCUAGAUUGGUCUAUGUUUCAGCAAUGGUAAAAUUAUGAUAGAUGGAUACACUGAUACAGAUAUGGCAGGUGAUCUUGAUAAUAGGAAGUCCACAUCUAGGUACUUGAUGAUUUUUACAGGGGAAGCAGUGUCAUGGCAAAGUAAGUUACAGAAGUGUACCGUUCUUUCUAGUACGGAGGCUGAGUACAUCGCAACCACUGAAACAUGCAAAGAGACUCUUUGGUUGCAGAAAUUCCUUCAAGAGUUGGGUAUGAAACAAGAGAAAUAUAGUCUCUAUUGUGAUAGUGAGAGUGCUAUUCAUUUGUGUAAGAACUCAACAUUUCACUCUCGGUCCAAACACAUUGAUGUGAGGUAUCAUUGGAUUCGGGAAAUUCUGGAUUUCAAGUUGUUAACACUUGAGAAGGUACAUACAAAUAAUAAUAGUGCUGACAUGUUGACCAAAGCAUUGCCUAAAGAGAAACUCUUAUUUUGCAGACAAGAAACAGGUCUUGUAGAGGCCCCCAAAUGAGUUGGAGGGGGAGAUUGUUGGACUUGUAUGUGGGCCAGCCCAUUUGUGCAAGUAAAUAAAGCUUGAGGCUUUCUCAAGCUUAAAUACAUAGAGCAGCCGCAUGAGGAGUUUUUUUUCUUCGAUCCUUGCAUGCGAGAAAAAGUCAGCCGCCAUCUCUUUGCUAGUUGAGAGAGAAAAUGAAGAGAGAGAAAAAGCUAGAGAGAGAGACUUCAAAGUCUUGAUUGGAGCGUGAUUCGGAACCUGAUUGAGACGAAAUUUUACCCAUGUGAUCCUCUCGUCAGGCUCUACUCAUCUACCGGUUCAGAUUUCAUAUUUUCUCUUCGUUUGGUAACACCUUUCCAAACUCACUUCUUUGACAGUUGUAGUUUUUGGGGGUGAUUUUGUAGGAAUUUUGCUUAGUUGGUAUUGGUGAUAUUAUUGUUAUUCGAAUAUUUCGGGUAGACUUGUGUAUUCUCAUUAUUGUGCUAGUGGAGACUUUUGACUGGACUAGGUCCCGUGGUUUUUUCCAAUUUGGGUUUUCCGCGUAAAAAUCUUGGUGUCCUGUGCCUUUUAUUUUUCUUUCAUUUUGUUAUCAAUGUUGGUAUUAUUACUUGGUGAUUUGGUUUAUUCCUAUUUUAACUGGUACUUGGGGAAAGAGAAAUUUGUCCUAAACUAACUCUGAUAUUGUGUGCCUGUACCGGUACCCCUUUCCUAACACCUUCGAUAUUUCCAGUGAAGAAUUCGAGAAGUUGCCCCAUUAAUGGGGAAGGUAUUUUUUUCAGCAAAAUUGUUGCCUUUCUUGACUCUAUUGUUAUAUUUCAAGUGAAAGAUAUCAUGUCAAUUUAUGGAUCAUGGAUGAAUUAAUAUGAAGUGGAUAGAACUUGGACUAAGUUAAAAUCUCAUUUGAAAUUCCCGACAUUUGGUGUUGAACAUCGAUCAUAUAUAUGCUCAAACCAAAGCAGGCAACUGCUUUUGCAGAUUGAUGGAGCAGAAAAGCUUGUGCUCUAUGAUCCUGGAAUUGGAUACAUUAGAGACGUAGCCACUGCACAUGGUGCAGCUAGUUUCAUUAGAAGCCUUCUUGCAUGUCUUCAUGUUCCAAUUUCCAACUUGUGUAGCACUAGUUUUACCUCUUCUGGUUGCCAAUUCUCUGUUCUUAACCAAAAGCUCAUUUCUCCAAUUUCUUAUUCAAACUUAAUUUCAAUUGAAGAUGUCCAUUUGUUGUGAGUGCAAUCAUCCUAAUCCAGAACCCUCUAUCAGUUAGAAGUUCAAGUUGCAAGCCAUUUCACUUUAUCCAUUUGCCAUCCUGCAUAGGAAUUAAAUUCAUGCUGAGUAAGUUCAUACUUUUUUUUUUAUAUAGGAAAGAUCAUUUUAUUCAAAUAAAUCUGCACUAAUGGAAACAAAAUACAUCAAACAAACAUGAAACGUAGACGUAUGGAUCUGAAAUCAAUAGAUAUAACUGAUCUAAAAAAAAUACAAAUAAAGAUAACAUUGAUACUCCUAUAUAUCUUCGAUCCGGAUGAAUCACUAUAGCCCAAUACAUCAAUACAUGUCUGCUGACAAUCAAAUCUAAUUAAAAUUGGUUUAAGUCCAAAGUAAGUCCAUACUUUAAAUACAUAACCGAGACUUAAACUCUUUUUUUUUUUGGCAAAGAACAUCACAUUCAUUCAUUGUCGCCAACUCAUUUUUAGAUAACAAACAAAUUGAAAAAAGACAAGGAAAGAGGCUAAAACUAACUUGAAGAAAUUAAAGGAAGCAAAGUUGCAUGUUCAAUUAGUGGGAUACAGAAAAGCAAAGGAUGAAGGAAAGCAAAUGCAUAAAUCACUUGUACACAGCCUAAUUUUACAUAAUAGACAGUCUGUCUAUGAACAUGACAUUUGGGAUAUUGUUACUAGUUUUUCCGUAUAAUGUUUUUGUGUGUGUAUAACACAAGAAUAGCACAUUACGGUGCCAUUGUAAUUAAAUGAAUGGUGUCCAAAUCAAGACGAUCGGGUGGUCAAAUUUUUUGUCCAUUAAUUUGCUGUUUGACUUGAAAUUUUUUUCUUUUGAAUAUCAACGAUUUUAAUAGUUAAGUACCCACAACUUUAGAAUAGUAGUUGUUGAGUUGCCUUCUAAGCCCUAUAUAUAUGAAGUCUAUUAUUGCUAUGGAAGUAUAAUAGUUGUUGCUAGCUAGUAUGUAAUUAGUUUCCCAUUGUUUUGUACAUCCACAUGUCACGUUUGCAAGAAGAUAGAGUGCAAUAUAUUUGACAUUUAUGACGGAUUAUCAAUCAAUCAAAAUAAAAUACCUACUCUACAAUAAAUGAAAUUACAAGACAGUGGUGAACAAGAUUGCAUCCAUGAGGAUUGGAAUGAUUUAUUUCUUGGAAUAAUUUCAUAAACCUAUCCUGAGGUUUUUAACUAUUUUGCUUAGUUCCCUUGACGUUUUAAAAAUUAUACUUACCUCCAUCGAUUUGACAUAUUGGUAACCAAAACUUAAAAUAGAGUAAAAAAUUUAAUGAAUAUCCUAAAAUGCCAUUAUCUUAUAAAGUUUAAUUUGUUCUUCUAAACAAUUAUAACGUAAUUUAGUACAAUUAUAAAAAAAAGUGUCAAGUUUUUUAUACCAAUAUUUAUUAUUUAAUAAUCAACUAUAACAGUAAUCUUUUUUCUAUUAUAGGCUAUUUUUCGUAGUGAUUUAUUGGAGGAUAUAGAUUCUUUUUAAGAUAGAGAAAAAGUGUUAUCUUUAUUUUUUAAAAGUUUAUGGACUACUUUUUUUAAAUAAAAGUUUAUGGACUAACUUAGUGAUAGAACUACCCUAGUUUGGUAGUGAUUUUGGGCUAUUUAUUUUUAAUUAUUGUUGAUUCAUUCUUGAUUUUGAUACAAAGAAAAGGGUUACAAAAAAAUUGGAUGAUGUUGAAAAUUAUCAAAAAAAAUUAUAAAAUCCAUCCUUUGCAUAAACAUGGCAACAAGAGAGUUUUAUUAAAAUAUUAAAGUUAGUAUUAUCAUUUUAAAUGGACAAGGGAGGUAGGUGUAAUUUUUAAAAUCUUAGGGGAGCCAACAGUAAUUAUUAGAAACUUUAGGGGAGGUUUCUAAAGUUAUCCCUUAUUUCUUUCAAAGCAAUGAAUAUAAAGGGAAGAUUUUGGAUAUUAAACCAACUAAUUAAUUUAAACACAAAAUAACAUACAAAAUUUAAGUAAAUUUUAAUGAAUAAUAAUGGAACUCUAGCCAAAGAAAUAACUUCUGAAAUGAUUCAUAAAACUAAUCAAAAAUAAAUUCAAACAUUCAUUAAUAAACUGGUUAUAAUUGUCAAUGAAUUCUGACAACCAACUUUUCUUUACUUUUUUUAUAGUUAAAGUACGACCAUUAACUACUUUCCUAAUUAAAAAGAUAAUCUUAGGUACAACCGACCAUAGGAUUUAAUCUUAUAAUUGCAUUCGAAAAAACUUAAUUCUACCUAGAGGUGUCAAAAUGGGUGACUUGGACGGGUUUGGAUUGGGUAAAAUGAGUAAUGGGUAUAAGUAAGUUAACCCAUUUAUAUCCAUUUAAUUAGAUGGGUAUAAAUGGGUAACUCAAAAAAUGAAUUGGGUAACCCAAUUACCCAUUUAUAACCCAUUUAUUUUAACCUUUUGUAAACUCAUUUAAAUUUAUUUUUGCAAAAUAAGUUAUCAAUUUAUACCGCUAUUUGCACCCAUCAUUAGUUUUAAAUAUUUACUUAUAAUGUUCAAUAAGCCUAAUUACCAAUUUUUGUCCCAUUCAUACUCUAUGUCACAAAAUUACAUAUUAUUUAAUAAUUGAAAAAUAAGAAUAUAAAAAUUUGAACUAAGUACUAUAAAAGUUAAUAUAAAAACUUAAUCCAAAAAUUUUGAACCCCUAACAUUUUUGUCAUAUAUAAAUUUAAAAUUUCAUUUUGAAAAGAUAAGAAAAGAGACUAAAACUUAUCAUAAAUUGGUAAUAUUGAAAAAUGAGCAAGUUAAUAAAUUAAGAGAAAAUAAAAUGAUAAGAUAAAACUAAUAAAUAAUAAUAAUAAUGAAACAAAAGUAGUUAAUAUCAUGACAAAAUGAAAAAUUUGAAAAAAAAAGGGGGUGGGGGAAGAGAGGAGACUUGGGGAAAGAAAAUUUUAAAUGGGUUAAUUGGGUUUGAUGGGUUAUCCAAUAAUACCCAUUUAAUGGGUAUUAUUGGAUAACUCAUUUAUACCCAUAUACAAAAAUUUAAGAUACCCAUACCCAUCUAUUCAUGGACGGAUAUAGGUAAAUUUAGUUAAAUGGGUUGGUUUGCCACCUAUAGAGCUCUCAUUGAAUGGUCAAGGGAUCGAAUCCUAUGAUUUGCAUUCAUCUUUAGAAUUUUCUAAAAGUUUCGCAAGCACAAAGUUUCCAGUAGAGACAGAUAUUGAAACUGCUAAGAUAGGAUAGGAUAGUUCCUAUGUCUAUUAAAAUGUUAGAUGUUCUUUCUUAGAGGACCUGCCAAAAGGAAUCAACAGUUGUGUAUACGCCCUUUCUCAGCUUUGUAGGGCAAUGGAACAAAAGGAAAGCAAAGCAAUAGAACAAAAAUAAAAUGUACAAUAUAACCUUAUAUUGGGAAAAAUUGCAAAAGUUUUAGGUAAUCACAAAUCUAACGGUAAAUUGGACAAUGUUCACCUAGGUUUCAUCAGCUGCAGAUACAAAGGAAUCCUUUAGAUGCUUCCAUAUGUCUUCAAGUCUAAGUGUGUAAUUCUUUGAAAGAACGGAAAAUACAUCUGUAGACUUCACAAAUGGAGUUCAUAUGCUGAGCAUCCGCAAUGAAUUGAAUCUUCCACUAAGGGCUAAUCUAAACUCAAAGGACAAGCUGAAUGCAUUACUUCAUCGAUCUGAGCAAUAAAAAUUAAACAUUAGACAUGUACAAACUUUUUGGGAGUGCUAGUUUAGCAGAUGGUCAAGAAAACAAAACACGUAUUGCUGGCUUUUUCAGACAGGAAAAAACUGCAGAUGUCUCCAUAACCAGGACAUUUGAAAAACAGAAUUCUAGUGUCACCUGCGGGAGGGGGGUAGCGAUUCUAGAAGAGCAGAAGUUACAUGAUGACGCACUACCAGCUACCGGCAACUUUCUGAGGUGUAAGCAGAGGACUUGUUAAAGCUCAUCAGUUCUGUCUUUCCUGCUUUCUGCUCGUUGACAUUUUUCACUAGCUGGCAGCUAAUCUACUAACCCGAAGUUAAGAAGUUCUUCUCUUCGUCUUUGAUCAGCAACAAAGACAUAUAGGACCUGGAUACGUUUGAAGUAUUAUAAGAGCUAAUCAACAAGUACAGAACCGUUUCCAGGAUGAUUUCACUAUGGCUGCUUAAAUAACGGCACAGAAAUUAUAUGGAACUUUUCUUUUCUUAAGAUGUGAAACCCAAGAUUCUGAUAUAAGAUUGGGCAUCAUAAAGAAAAUGACCACCAUCUUCAUCUCUCUAUCUCACAGUUUCACAUGCACGCUGCAAGCUGCCCAACCGUGAAAAUCUUGAUUUUCCAACCUUGAAAAUCUUGAUUUUAUAUGAGACUGACUGUGAUUCCCAAGAUUCAAAGACACUUGCUCAAGAUGUAACUUUGGCAACCAAAAGGGAAUUCAAAUCUGAACUAAUGUGUAGGAAAUCCAUUUAUCAAGGUUUUUUUUUUUUUGCUCAUUUCCUCCACCUCCAUAAACUUUCAGCAGCUUUUCACUGAUUGACUAGAUGGACAAUCUAGAAUCAUAAAUUAUUUCAAAGAAAAAGUUCGGAUAGAUUCUCUCAAAGAUACACAACAAGAGUAGUUAUUCAAACCAUAUGAAGUGGGUGAACUUCAAGAAAUGAAGAAAACAUUCUAAUCACAACAUUUGAAAAUUUUUUACUUUGGCUUAUUUAUGCACAUCAAAAUGUCAGAACCAGAUGGCUAAUGGUCAAGUCUAAAGCACCAGUAGGGUACAAAGUUUUCAACAAUCUACAAAAACAUUGCGUAACAAAAUCUGCCCAAAAGCUGAGAUAAGCGGGAACAAGCUCAUCUAUUAAACAUAGAAGACAAAACUUAAGCUAAGAUCCAAUCGCAAAAUUUGACGUCAUUGGGACCUCAAGAUGACGGACAAGCAUGUCGCUCUCUCAUGUUGAAUUUGCAGAGGGCCGUUUACACUGAUUGUGAUCAGAACUACAAGAGAACUGAAGCAAGAAAAGAAAAUCGGGAAAAUAUAGGGAAGCCGAAACUUUACAAAUAGCAGAUCCCAAACCUUACCAAGUUGAAUCACAACUUUGGUGUGUUUCUGCAUAUAUUUAUACAUAAGUGCUUGUGCAGAAGUAUCAUACAAGAUCUGCCACGGCACAAAAAGUAUGUCUCAGUACACAAUUGUAAACUCAGCCAGACAUUGAACGAAAAAAACGUUUUAGGAACAGAGUCUGAUACGAAAAAACAAAAUGUUGACUUCUGAACAAAAAGAAAAACUGAAUUGUUCUGUCAUAUCUUUUGUUCUAGACUCUGUACAACAUCUAUACAAAUAGAAUUUGACUUUUGUCAAUUCCAUGAAAUCUGUAAUUUCCUAAAAAUUAGGAGCUAAUUUAUUCUAUCCUAAAAUACAUUAGGAGUAAAUUAUUCUAUCCUAAAAUAGAGCAGAAAUCAUGGGAUAUACAUAGAAAAAGAUAUUCUAGAUUUCAACACUCCCCCUCAAGAUGGUGAAUAGAUAUUUUCCAUUCCCAUCUUGCAUGUAAUGUCUUCAAAGUUGGAAGUUGGCAUUCCCUUAGUUAAGACAUCUGCCAAUUGAUUAUUUGAUGCUACAUAUGGAGUGCAAAUCAUGCCACUGUCCAGCUUUUCUUUAAUAAAAUGUCUAUCAACUUCGAUGUGCUUUGUGCGAUCAUGUUGCACUGGAUUGUGUGCAAUGUUGAUGGCAGACUUGUUGUCGCAAUAGAGUUUCAUAGGUCCUUCGCUCUUGAUUUUAAGAUCAUCAAGUAUUAUUUUGAGCCAUAGCAAUUCACAAACUCCAUGAGCCAUAGCUCUAAACUCUGCUUCAGCACUUGAUCUUGCAACAACCGAUUGCUUCUUACUCCUCCAUGUCACUAGGUUCCCACCAAGAAAUGUACAAUAUCCUGAAGUUGAUCUACGAUCUACAACAGAACCUGCAUAAUCAGCAUCAGUAUAUGUCUCUAUGAGCAAUCCUUCAUUUUUCUUGAACAAAAUUCCUCUACCCGGUGUCCCUUUGAGGUAUGAUAGAAUUCUAUUGACAGCCUGCAAGUGUUUCUCUCUUGGAUCAUGCAUAAAUUGGCUUACUACACUUACAGCAAAUGCUAUGUCCAGCCUUGUAUGGGACAAGUAUAUCAGUUUCCCAACCAACCGCUGAUAUCUUCCCUUAUCUAUUGUGCUAUCAUCCUUCUCUUCAUUCAAUCUCAGGUUAGGCUCAAUGGGUGUGCUUGCUGCCUUGCAUCCAAGAUUGCCUGUUUCUUUAAGCAAGCCUAAGGCAUACUUUUGUUGGGAAACAAAGAUGCCUUUACUUGAGUAUGCUGUUAUUCUUGAUUUUGAUGAUCACAAAAGCACUUUGAAAUAUUUAUCUAAUUCUCUCCAAACAUAAAAGUUUUGCUUUUUAGAGAAUCAGGUACAAAGGAAUCAAGGAUAGAAAAUCAACCAAAAGAAGAAGCAAAAACAGGGUACUUAUACCGGACGUCCAAAAGGAAUCUGUUGGACGUCCGAAAGGAUGAAGAACAUCAAGAAGAAACUCUGUCGGACGCUUGUAAGGAAGCAUCGGACGUCCAAAAGGAUCGGACGCAUGCUUCGAAAGCACAUUGAUCUCAUCGGAUGUCCUAAAAAUUCCAUAAAGUGUUGAUGACUCUCUGUCGACGAUCGGACGCUGAUGCUGUCGGACGAUAAUAUCCCAUAGGACGUCCGAACGACAACUUGGCUGAUUUUCGGACGAUGGAAUCGGACGAUGAUUAAUCUUUCGGACGUCCGACGGGUCCAACGGCUAGCUGACUCUUCAUCUGCCUACUAUCCGUUAGAAGCAUUAUUGAAGCCAAUUUUUGGUUCCCUUUAAAUACAAACGUUUCUGAACUAGUGAGAGACUUUUGCACACUUUGUUUACAAGAUCUCAAGAGAUAUUUUAGUUAGAAAAUAGUCUCCCAAGCAAGAUUUGUUCUCCAAGUGGUGUAAAUUUCUUGUAAGCACUUCUCUUGUGUUUGAAAUUUUCAAUAGUGUAGCUUUGCUGAGGGUUAUCUGAGUGAUAGUAAAACUUCCUAACUUGACUAAGUGAGGCUUGGGGCAAGGAGACAGUGAUCCCUCCAUUGUACAUUAAGUUGAUUUUAUUCUUCAAAGAGAAGAUGCUCAUCUUUGUGAUUGGUCUUCAAGUUUGAGGAAAGCUUGGUAGACAAUUGGUUUGAUACUCUAUCUUAUUCUUUUUGUUUAAUAAAAUUCUCAUUACUUAUAACAUUGUUCUCUUCUUUAAAUUUACUUGGUUGAUCACUACUAGAAAAGAAGGUAAGUUUUUAUUAAAGAAAAAGUGCAUAAACUAAAUUAAGGUUUUAUAAUCAACCUAAUUCACCCCCCUCUUAGGUUGUCUUUGGGUCUUACAAUUGGUAUCAGAGCUUGGUCUUCUAGAGAUUAAGCUCAAUCGGCUUGGAGUAAAGAUGACAACCAAUCAUGCCAUGUUUGUUGAGGGGCAAUCUGUCACUAGACCUCCCAUGUUUACUGGUUCCAAUUAUGUUAGUCGGAAAGAAAGAAUGAUUAUCUUUUUGUAAUCCAUUGAUAUUGAGCUAUGGUUUAUUGUAAAUGAAGGACCGCAUGAUGCUAACAUUCUUGAUGCAGAUACAGGUUUGUUUCGGCCAAAAACAAGAGUUGAAAUGAAUGCUCAAGAUAGAAUCAAUCUCACAUUAAAUGCCAAAAUCAUGAAUGUUCUUUAUAGUGCCUUAGAUUCAAAUGAAUCAAUUAGAGUAAAAGAAUGUAAAUCUGUCAAGGAAAUGUGGGAUAAACUAAGAGAAAUUCAUGAGAGUAGUGACAACGUGAGAGAACAGAAAAAGUCUAUCUUGGUCACUAAGUAUGAAUCAUUUAGAAUAGAACCUCUUGAGGAUAUUGACAAAAUGUACUGCAGGUUCAAUGACUUGAUCAAAGAUCUCGAGGCGUUGGGCAAAGAGUACACCUUGGAUGAGAAAAACAGGAAAAUUCUCAAUGCAUUGGGCAAAGAAUGGGAAAGUAAAGUGACUGCAAUAGAGGAUACUAAGGAUUUGAAUUCUAUACCUAUUGAAUCUCUCAUUAACUCACUAACCUCCUAUGAGUUGAAGUUGAAAACUAAAGUGCAGGAGGAAGAGGACACGAGAGCAAAGAGAAACAUAGCUCUAAAGGCAGUUCAAGGUGAAGAUGAUCCAGUUCAAUUGAAUGACGAUGACUCGGAUGGUGAUGACAAUGAUCUUGCUCUCAUCACAAAAGGUUUCAAGAGAAUCUUGAAUAAAAAAAAGUUUAGAAGGGGAGGACCUAGCAAUCAAUUCCAGAAUCAGCCUUCAAACGCAAGGUAUAAAGGAAAACAAGAAUUCAACAAGAAACAAUUGGACAAAUGCUACGAAUGUGGACAGCCUGGACACUACGCAAACGAAUGCUCCCUAAAGAAAAAGAAAGAUGGAAAAGCUGAUCGAAAACCAAGGUUCAACAACUUCCAGAUUACAUGGAAUGAAUGUAACUCUGAAGGCAAAGUUGAAGAAGAAGAAGAAUCAGCUCAAAUGGCCUUCAUAGCUAUCGGGGAUAAUGAAGUAACUUCCAUUCACUCUCAAUCUGAAAGUGAAGAUAAAGAUGAUGAUGAUCUUGAAUCCUUUGUUAAAAAAUUACAUAAUGCCUUGAAGGAAUCUUAUGAUAAAAACAAGCAGCUAAAACAGAAAAUUAUUUUUCUCAUUCAAGAAAAUGCAAGAUUUUUUCACCAAAAUAAACAACUAAAGGCUGACAAUGAGUGCCUUGUAAGAGCCGGUUGUGAUGUUUAAAAUGAACUUGAUAGAAAGACAAAUGUUUGUGAAAUACUAAAGAAAAGAAAUUAUGAUUUGAAUAAAAGGAUGGACUAUUUGGAUGAGAUUUUAAAAGCUAGAAAGCAAGAUUAUCUCAAAAAGAACAUGUCAUCCACCUUUCUUACUGCUCAUGGAAGAACAUUUGCUCACAACAAAAAUGCACAUGGUUUCACAACAUAUAGAAGGAAUGGAUUGAGAUUUAUCAAACCAUUACAUGCUAAAGACUCUUCCAUCUUGUGUAGUUUUUGUUAUCAAAGAAGGCAUUUGAAAGGAGAUUGUUAUGUUAAAAGAAAUCUGAACAAAGGAGGGAAAUGCAUGUGGGUAGUUAGGCACAAUGCUAACUAUUGAGGACCCAAAAGUUAAAGGGUACCAAACACUCUCUCUUUUCAGAAAAAAGGCUCAAACACGUCAAAAUGGUUCAUUGAUAGUGGUUGUUCAAGGCAUAUGACUGGUGAUCCUUCGUUGUUCAUAAAGCUAAAAUCAAAAUCAAGUAGAAAGGUGACAUUUGGUGAUGACGUGAAAGCUAAGACAAUUGGAAUAGGUAAUGUUUGUAAGGAUGGUGAAACUUUUGUUCAUAAUGUGCUCUUAGUUGAUAACUUAGGUUAUAAUUUGUUUAGUGUUAGUCAAUUAUGUGAUAAAGACUUGUAUGUGUUGUUCAAAAAACAUGAAUGCAUUGUACUUGACUCUAAAUAUAAUAUUGUGUUCAAAGGUAAGAGGUUUAACGAUAUUUAUAUUGUUGUUCUUGAUAAACUUGAUUCGUCUAGUUUCAAAUGUCUUAAAGUUUCAAAUGAAGAUCCUUGGUUGUGGCAUAGGAGACUUUGUCAUUUUAACAUGGAUUUACUAAAGGAAAUUUCGAAAAAGGAGUUGGUUAGAGGCUUGCCAAAAAUCAGUUUUGAAAAGGACAAAAUUUGUUAUGCAUGUCAAUUUGGGAAGCAAACAAAAAUUUUCUUUAAACUAAAGAAGUGUGUAUCAACUUCUAAACCUUUGGAACUCUUGCAUCUUGAUUUAUUUGGUCCCACUCAAAUCACUAGCUUGGGAGGUAAGAAAUAUUGUUUUGUAAUUGUUGAUGAUUAUUCUAGAUAUACUUGGGUGAUAUUCCUUACUCAUAAAGAUGAUGCCUUCAAGAAUUUUACUUCAUUGUUUGCUAAAGUGCAAAAUCUGCUUGGUUUAAAAAUGGUUAGGAUUAGAAGUGAUAAUGGGACGGAAUUCAAGUUUUGUGAUUUUCUAAAAUUUUGUGAUCAUAAUGGUAUAACACAUGAGUUUUCUAUUGCAAGGACUCCACAGCAAAAUGGUGUUGUAGAAAGGAAAAACAGGACACUCCAAGAGGCUGCUAGAACUAUAUUGAAUGAAUGUAGUUUGCCAAAAUAUCUUUGGGUUGAAGCGGUAAACACCGCAUGUUAUGUAAUGAAUAGAAUCCUCUUGAGAGCUAUUUUGAAUAAAACAUCUUAUGAACUGAUUUUUGAUAAGAAACCUACGGUUGAAUAUUUCAAAGUUUUUGGUUGUAAAUGUUUUAUUUUGAAUUUAAAGGAACAUUUUGGUAAGUUUGAUAAAAAAAUCUGAUGAAGGAAUAUUUUUGGGGUAUUGUGAGAACAAAAGAGGAUAUAGAGUCUUUAAUAGAAGAACUCUUGUGAUAGAAGAAGCUAUUCACAUGACAUUUGAUGAAACUAAUGAUGAUAAUUCCAAAAGUUCGGGUGAGGAUGAUGAUAUAGGUAUUCGUGAAGGAAUGAAAAAGCUAACAAUUGGAGAUGAAGGAAACUCUAAACCAGCAACAAAGGAAAUGGAGGAUGGAGCACAUGAUGAUCAAGAAAAGGAAGAUGAAGACAAGAAUGAUGAUUCAUUCAAAGACCUUCCCAAUACUUGGAAAUUUAGCCAAAAUCAUCCAAGAGAUCUUGUAAUUGGUGAUCCAUCCGAAAAGGUAAAGGCUCGUUCCUCAUCUAAGAAAUUGAUAGAUAAUUUUGCUCUAGUCUCUCUUUUUGAACCCAAAAAUAUCAAUGAUACUUUAAAGGAUGAAAACUGAAUUUUGGCAAUGCAAUAGGAACUUAAUCAAUUUGAGAGAAAUAAAGUUUGGACACUUGUUGAUAGACCUCAAAAUCAACCUAUCAUUGGCACGAAGUGGAUAUUUAGAAAUAAGUUGGAUGAUAAAGGUGUAGUCGUAAGAAAUAAAGCCAGAUUAGUUGCUAAAGGAUAUGCACAAGAAGAAGGAAUUGAUUUUGAUGAAACAUUUGCUCCCGUAGCUAGAUUAGAAUCAAUUAGAAUGUUUCUUGCUUUUGCUUGUUUCAAUUGUUUCAAAUUGUUUCAAAUGGAUGUUAAAAGUGCCUUUUUAAAUGGUUUUAUUGAUCAAGAAGUAUAUGUGGAUCAACCCCCCGGUUUUAAAAAUACAAAAUUUCCAAGUCAUGUGUUUAAACUAUCAAAAGCAUUAUAUGGUUUAAAACAGGCUCCAAGAACUUGGUAUGAAAGAUUGAAAGGGUUCUUGAUUGAAAAUGGUUUCAAAAGAGGUAUUGUGGACACCACUCUUUUUACUAAACAUGUGUUAAAUGAUUUUCUUAUUGUGCAAAUAUAUGUUGAUGAUAUUAUUUUUGGUGCUACUAAUGAGUAUCUAUACAAGGAUUUUUUCACCAUUAUGCAAAGUGAAUUUGAAAUGAGUAUGAUGGGAGAAUUAAAUUUCUUCCUUGGACUUCAAAUACAUCAAACCCUAGAGGGAAUUUUUAUAAAUCAAGCAAAAUACACCAAGAAAUUGCUGAAAAGAUUUGGCAUGGAGGACUCAAAGCAAGUUGGAACUCCAAUGUGCACUUCUACAAAACUUGACAAAGAUGAAGAAGGUAAACUUGUGGAUGAAAAGCACUAUAAAGGUAUGAUUGGAAGCCUAUUCUAUUUAACCGCAAGUAGACCUGAUAUUAUGUUUGUUGUUUGCUUGUGUGCUAGAUUUCAAUCUUGUCCAAAAGAAUCACAUUUGAACGCAGUUAAAAGAAUUUUUAGGUAUUUGAAAGGUACACUAGACUAUGGUUUUUGGUAUGCUAGAUCUUGUGAAUUUGCUCUAUAUGGAUAUUCGGAUGCGGAUUUUGGUGGUUGUCAUGUGGACAGAAAAAAUACUAGUGAAACUUGUCACUUUCUUGGCAAUUGCUUAGUUUCUUGGUUUAGCAAAAAACAAAAUGUGAUCUCUUUGUCUACAACCGAAGCGAAAUAUAUUGCCGCUAGUGCAUGUUGUACUCAACUUUUAUGGAUGAAGCAUACCUUGAAUGAUUUUGGAUUGUUAUAUGACUGCAUGCUUAUAUUCUGUGAUAAUACUAGUGCUAUCAAUUUGACCAAAAAUCCAAUUCAGCAUUCUAGGACAAAAUAUAUAGAUAUAAAGCACCACUUUAUUCGCGAUCUUGUUCAAAAAGGUGAAGUUUGUGUGAAUUAUGUUUGCUCUAAAGAUCAAAUUGCUGAUAUUUUUACAAAAGCUUUGCCAUUGGAUCAAUUCAUUCAUCUAAGAUCAAAAUUAGGGAUAAUCGAAAAAUCAUCUUAAAAAUUUUUUUCUCUGUUCAAAGCUUUCGGACGUCCUAAAGCAGAUGAACGGGCGUCCGAUAAUGUUCUUCAGCUAUUUUCCUAGAAUGCACCUGUUCGGACGAAACUGUCGGACGCACGAUUUCAUUCGGCCGUCCGACAGUGCAACGGUACUCUUUUUAAAGUAACUUCCCCCCUCAUUUGCUUCAGACUCCUCUUCCUCUCUUCCUUCUCGGACGAAAAACUCUAUCUCCUUGUGCUCUCAAUUCAUGCUAUUAUGAAGCACUCAUUCCAAAAUUGACUCAACCAAAAUCUUUUCCUGAUCAUUGCGAGUUGAUUCUCCUGAUUUUUUCACCAAAUCUCAUCACAUUUCGAGAGUUCCCAAAUUUCCCUCAAAACCCUACUUUCUCAUAACCGCUCCGCUCAAUCAUCUUCAAGGCUUCUUUAACCCAAAAUUCUUGUGUGAUUCACUCCCAUACCACUGUGUGCAUCAUUCACAUCCCACAUCUCACACAUUUAAGACAAUGGUGAAUCUAAGAGGAGGAAAAGUCCCUGCCGGACGCAAGCACACACUCAGGGAUGAAGAUGUGGAUUCUCCUAGGGUCAUAAGAUCAUCCAAACGCUUCAAAAGGGGAGUAAUAAAGACUCAAACUUCCCGGCUUUCUGCUCAACCUGAAUCCAGACAAGGAACUCCAUCUCAACAGCCUUCCUAAUCAACCCCCGUCUCUCCAUUCUUUGAUGCUGCUGCCAAAGAAAAACAUUUCUUGAUAACCCAGAAAGGUUUCAUUCCUCAACGAGCCAUCACUCUUUCUGAAUUCCGCAAGAUUGGUUUAGAGUCAAUUUUUAAUCUCUUUGAAUUCCAGAAAUGGUCUCAUAUCAUUUCCAUGCCUAAUGUUUAUUACCCUGAAAUGCUGUAUCAAUUUUUGCCAAUCUUAGGAAAGGCACUGAUCACACUGAAAUUAUGUCCAGGGUAAAUGGGGUAGACUUAGUAUUUGAUCCUGAAACUGUGAAUGCCAUCUUAAAUACUACUAUUGAACGUGGAUGCAAAAGUAAAAUUGCCAAUUUCUUCUCUUAUGAAGAGUAUCCUACUGCUGAUAAUCACUUUGAUAAUGCUAAAAUGCUAACCUAUUUUCGAAACAAAUUUUCUGCCCCUGCUGAUGCGAAAUUAAAUGACCUUGCUCCUGUGAAUCUUAUUACUUUCUCAAUCAUUUCAAAUCUGCUUGUGCCUACUGACGGUCAUAGAACAGAUGCAAAUAAAAUGGAGUUGUAUCUGUUUUAUUGUUUUUGAGAAAAAAUUCGCAUUGACUUUGGCUUUGUCAUGUGCAAGUUUUUAUUUCGCUAUACCACUGAUUCUUGUAGAAAACUGUCCUAUGGAAAAUUCCUUCAGAAGGUUUUUGAAUUCUACAAAGCACCUAUCCUUGGUGUUUGUCCCAAAGAUACAUUUUCCUCUGCCUUCACUAAGGCUUAUUUUGAGCGCAAAAAUCUUGUCUUUAGGGAUAAUUUGUGGGCGUAUAAGGGGGCCACUUCUAAUGAACCUAGAUCUAAGGUUGCACAUGAUCUACUUCACACUCCAUCCUCUGUUGCACCAACCUUUAUUCAUCCUAGGAAGACUGCCACUAAGGCAUCUUCUUCUUCAAAUUCUGAGGUGGUUGAGCUCCUUCGAGACCUUAAGCAACAUGUUCUACUUCUUGAACAUGGUCUCAUGCUCACCAUGUCAUCCCAGUAGCAGGCUGACUUCCUAAAUAAAAAGAGUCUUCUUUUUUCCCCACCUGUGGUUGAGGAGGUCCCUCCUGGCAAGGAGCCACGCUCCAAUGAUCCAAGUUCAUCAGCCCCUGUUCGCUCAAUGAGUCCUGCUCCUAUCGACCUCACCUCUACUCCAGUGGCACCACAUGAUCCUUCCACAUCUGAUAAAGACAAGAAACCAGUUGAUGAAGUUGCUGAAGAUGAUGAAGACACUGAGGAGGAGGAUCUCUCUCAGUAUCAGCUUACUCGAAGGACGCCUGGAUCCUCUUAGCUUAUCAUCUAGGAUCACUAGUCCUAUUAGGAUCAUUUGCAUUCUGUUUGAUUGUUUUUAUUUGCUGAAUGUUAGAUAGUUGCCUCGAACUCUUUUGAAUUCUGGUGCUUGGUGUCAUUUGGUGCUCUUAAUGUCCAAAACUGGACAUAUGUUUGUAAUGUUUGUGAAUGAUUGAAUCUUUACAUUUUGUUUGUGAAUGGCUGGUAUCAGAGUAAGAUCAUUUUGCUCUGAAUGGUUGGAUAUAUUACAUUUUCAAUUUUGUGAUGACAAAAAGGGGGAGAGAUGGUGUAGAUAUGAAUAUGGAUAAUAUGGAUAAUAAGUAGCCAAGUGAGAGGGAGUUCUACGAUUGAGGGGGAGCUCUACGAUUGAGGGGGAGCAAAUUUUUGUUGUUGUUGUUGUUCUUCAAUUGAGUGAGAAAGGGGGAGCCUAUUUGAAGUCAUCAAAUUUCAUUUCAAACUUUUGUUUUGUCAUCAUCAAAAAGGGGGAGAAUGUUAUUCUUGAUUUUGAUGAUCAUAAAAGCACUUUGAAAUGUUUUUCUAAUUCUCUCCAAACAUAAAAGUUUUGCUUUUUAGAGAAUCAGGUACAAAGGAAUCAAGGAUAGAAAAUCAACUAAAAGAAGAAGCAAAAAUAGGGUACUCAUACCGGACGUCCAAAAGGAAUCUGUCGGACGUCCGAAAGGAUGAAGAACAUCAAGAAGAAACUCUGUCGGACGCUUGUAAGGAAGCAUCGGACGUCCAAAAGGAUCGGACGCAUGCUUCGGACGCACAUUGAUCUCAUCGGACGUCCUAAAAAUUCCACAAAGUGUUGAUGACUCUCUGUCGACGAUCGGACGCAGAUGCUGUCGGACGAUAAUAUCCCAUAGGACAUCCGAACGACAACUUGGCUGAUUUUCGGACGAUGGGAUCGGACGAUGAUUAAUCUUUCGGACGUCCGACGGGCCCAACGGCUAGCUGACUCUUCAUCUGCCUACUAUCCGUUCGAAGCAUUAUUGAAGCCAAUUUUUGGUCCCCUUUAAAUACAAACGUUUCUGAACCAGUGAGAGACUUUUGCACACUUUGUUUACAAGAUCUCAAGAGAUAUUUUAGUUAGAAAAUAGUCUCCCAAGCAAGAUUUGUUCUCCAAGUUGUGUGAAUUUCUUGUAAGCACUUCUCUUGUGUUUGAAAUUUUCAAUAGUGUAGCUUUGUUGAGGGUUAUCUGAGUGAUAGUAAAACUUCCUAACUUGACUAAGUGAGGCUUGGGGCAAGGAGGAAGUGAUCCCUCCAUUGUACAUUGAGUUGAUUUUGUUCUUCAAAGAGAAGGUGCUCAUCUUUGUGAUUGGUCUUCAAGUUUGAGAAAAUCUUGGUAGACAAUCGGUUUGAUACUCUAUCUUAUUCUUUUUGUUUAAUAAAAUUCUCAUUGCUUAUAUACUCUCUUAUUUCUAAUCAACAUUGUUCUCUUCUUUAAAUUUAUUUGGUUGAUCACUACUAGAAAAGAAGGUAAAUUUUUAUUAAAGAAAAAGUGCAUAAACUCAAUUAAGGUUUUAUAAUCAACCUAAUUCACCCCCCCUCUUAGGUUGUCUUUGGGUCUUACAUAUGCCACUUCAAUGCCUAAAAAAUACUUCAGCCUCCCUAGUUCUUUAAUUUCAAACUCCUUUGCUAAGCACUUUUUGAGUGUUUCUCUUUCAAUUGGAUCAUUCCCGGUGAUGAUGAUGUCAUCUACAUAUACAAGUAGAGCUGUAACACCUUCUUUUGAAUGUUUUAUGAACAAAGUAUGAUCUCCUUGAUUUUGUUUGUAUUGCAUUGCUAACAUCACUUUAGUAAAUCUUCCGAACCAAGCCCUUGACGAUUGUUUUAAUCCAUAUAAAGCUUUCUUUAACCUGCACACUUUCUUUUCAAAAAACAUUACAUUGAAAUCCGGUGGAGGUUCCAUGUACACGUCUUCUUCUAAAUCCCCAUGUAAGAAUGCAUUCUUCACAUCAAAUUGCUGUAAACACCAACCAAAGUUAGCGGCUAAAGACAAAAGAACACGCACAGUAUUCAUUUUUGCAACGGGUGCAAAGGUCUCUUGGUAAUCUAUCCCAUAUGUCUGUGUAUAUCUUUUUGCAACCAACCGUGCUUUAUGCCUUUCUAAUGAACCAUCAGCUCUAUAUUUCAAAGUAAACACCCAUUUACACCCCACUGUUUUCUUUCCUUUGGGCAGGUUUACAAUUUUUCAAGUCAUAUUUCUCUCUAGGACAUUCAUCUUCUCUUUUAUAGCAUGUAACCAGUUCUUAUUUCUAAGUGCCUCUUGUAGUGUUUGUGGGAUUGAAAUGGAGUUGAUGGUGGUAAGAAAAGUUUUAUGUUGUGGAGAGAGUCUAUGGAAAGACACGAAAUUUGAGAUUGGAUGCUUAGUACAUUCUCGUGUUCCUUUUCGAACAGCAAUAGGCAGGUCUAAAUCAUUAAAUUCACAAGGAGCAGAGUCAGAUUGAACACACAAAGGAACAGAAUUUUCAGUACCUGAUUGUGGUUCAGACUCUUGGAUUUGCACAGGUUCAAAAAUAUGAACUUUCUUCCUUGAGUAGACUUUGAGUGGUGUAGUUGAAUUUAAACCAGAUUUUCCCUCAGCUCCAAGAUCAGGUUCAAUUUCUUUACUGGCAUGUUCAACUUCAAAUUCAGGUUCAGGUUCACUGCUAGUAUGUUCUCCUUUAGAAUUUGGUGGAUGGUCAAGCUUGAAAGACUUUAAGUUUAGUGUAGGACUUUGAAGAUCAAGGAGAAAUUCCUUAUCUUCCCAAGAACUCUCCCCCUGGGGAUGAGGAUUGUUACUUUGAGAGUAAGGUUCAUUUUCAACAAAUGUGACAUCCAUGGAGAUAAAAAAAUUUUUUGAAGGAGAAUGAUAACACUUGUAUCCUUUCUUUGUGUUUGAGUAUCCCACAAAAAUACAUUUGAAAGCUCUUGGAUCAAGUUUCCCUCUUUGUUGUGCAUGAACAUGUACAAAAGCAACACAACCAAACACUUUUGGUGACAAUAUGCAAGAGACAUUAAAAUCAGGGUAAAAAACAGAAAAAGCAGCAAUGGGACUUUGAUUAUUUAGUACUUUUGAAGGUACUCUAUUUAUCAAAUGUGCAGUAGUUAAAACAGCCUCCACCCAAAAAGUUUUUGAAACUUUAUGUUGAAACAAAAUUGCUCGAGUCACAUUGAGUAAAUGUCUAUUUUUUCGUUCAGCAAUCGCAUUUUGUUGGGGUGUAUCUACACAAGAUGACUCAUGUAUUAUACCCUCUUUUUGGAAAAAAGAAGAGAGAAUUUGAUUAAAAUAGUCUCUUGCAUUAUCAGAUCUUACUCUUUUAAUCAAACUUCCAAAUUGUGUACAAAUCAUUUUAUGAAACAUUGAAAAAAUACUGCUUACUUCUAAUUUUUCUUUCAUAAGAAAUAACCAAGUAGUUCUAGUACAAUCAGCAAUGAAUGUGACAAACCAUUUUGCUCCAGAAAUACUAGAAAUUCUACAAGGCCCCCAAAUAUCAGUAUGUAUCAAAGAGAAAAGUCUAGUAGAUCUUGUAUUACUCAAUGGAAAUGAUAGUCUAUGAUGUUUAGCAAUUUCACAUGUAUCACAAUGAAAACUACUAACAUCUUCAUUCUUGAAAAGUGAAGGAAACAUGCUUUUAAGUAGAAUAAAAGAUGGAUGACCAAGACGGAAAUGAUGAAGCCAGAUUUCAGAUUUAUUAUUUGAGGAGCAGGUGAGGGAUAACUGAUUUUUGUUCUUCUUGUUGCCACUCAUCUCCUCAAGGUAAUAAAGCCCGUUAUUCACCUUAGCAAGUCCAAUCGUCCUCCCCGUAACCAAAUCCUGAAAAACACAGUGAGUAGAAUAGAAAAUUACCCUACAGUUCAAACCUUUGGUAAUUUGAUGGAUGGAUAUGAGAUUGGAGGACAAUUUUGGGACAUGCAACACAUUAUUUAGGGAUAAAGAAUUUGAUAGAUUUACUGUCCCUUGGCCUACAACAGUUAUAGGAGAUCCAUCCGCAACAGUAUUUUUUCUAUUUCCAGGACAUGGGUUGUAUGUUCUAAAUCUGAUUGGACUGUGAGUCAUAUGGUCAGUAGCUCCUGAGUCGAUGACCCAAGAGUCUAGAGAAGACAUGCUUGAGGCACUUAAAGCAUAAGAGUUAAGGUACUUACCUGAUUGAGCCAAUGAACACGUACUAGAGAACUUUUCAAGGGAAUUUAUGAGGUUUCUUAGCUUUUCGAUUUCUUCUUUCUUGAAUUCUCCCAUACCAGCCUGGUUGGAUUUUUCUUGUGUUUGGUCUUCUCCAGCAGUUAAGUGGGCUUUUUCCCCUUUGAAUCCUCCUUUAUGACUAAAGGACUUGUUCCUUCCCAUGGAGUUUGAAGCAAUCAUCUCGCAUAUGACGUGAUUUUUUGCAGUACGUGCACCAAAUUGUGUCUUUAUUUCACUUUGUAGAAAUCAUUGCCGAGCCUUCUAAUGUUUUAGGCUCUAACAUGACUUCUUGCCUAUUCUCUUCAGUUCGAAUCAAUGAUAUUGUCUCAUUCAGAGAUGAUAAUCUUUCCUUCCCCAAUAUCUGGACUCUGACCUGAUCAAAUUCCACAUUCAGACCUGCAAGGAAGUCAUAAACUCUAUCCUUUUCGAUAAAGUUUUUCAAGGUGGCUGCAUCUUCACUACACAAUAUCUGAACACACCGAUAUUGGUCCAAUUUUUGCCAUAGAUUUUGCAGAAGGUUGGCAUAUUGAGUAACAGAAAGGUUGCCCUGUUUAGUGGCUAAGAUUUUUGUUUUGAUCUCAUAGAUUAGGGCAGCAUCUCUUGCCUUUGAAUAGGUCUGUCGAAUAGUAGUCCAUAUGUCUUGAGCUGUUGGUAGGAACAUGCAAGUAUCACUUAUUUCAGGUAACAUGGAGUUCCACAGCCAUGACAUGACCAUAGAAUCCUCUUCAUCCCAAGCAGCGAAUUUAGGAUCUCCCUUUUUCGGUCCAGUUCCAAGCAAGUGGCUGAUUUUGCCCUUUCCUUUGAGAAAUGUUUGAACAAAUUGUGACCACUUCAAAUUGUUUUUCCUGUUGAGCCUGUAGGUUGCCUGGAUACUCUGCAAAUCCCCUGUUUGUGGAAUAUUUGAGGUCUCUUCUGAUUUGGUAUUGGAGUGGAUUUCUGAUGUUUCAGUUUCAGACAUGUUGGAGGUUUCAAAGAAAAAUUGGCAAUGAAAGCCUAAUGAAAAAAAUCAGCAAUGAAGGCUGGAAAUUGCACUUGGCAAUAAAGACUUGAAGAGAGGAAAGCACUCAGCAAUGAAGGCUGACAAGAAGAGGUCCCAAGAGCAAAAGCUCUGAUACCAUGAACAAAAAGAAAAACUGCAUUGUUCUGUCAUAUCUUUUGUUCUAGACUCUGUACAACUUUAUACAAAUGGAAUUUGACUUUUGUAAAUUCCAUGAAAUCUGUAAUUUCCUAAAAAUUAGGAGCUAAUUUAUUCUAUCCUAAAAUACAUUAGGAGUAAAUUAUUCUAUCCUAAAAUAGAGCAGAAAUCAUGGGAUAUACAUAGAAAAAGAUAUUCUAGAUUUUCAACAACUUCCAUUGUGCUUGACAGUUCGUUUCACUGCAAUCUCGAAGCUAUAGCAUCAAAUCCAAACCAAAGGAUUGAGAAACUAGAAGAAUUGUUUUGACAAAUUUGAAUAACUUAAUUAAUGAAUUCAGUCAACAGAUAAUAUUAAUACUGUAGUACUAUAUCUAACCUAAAUUGCAGAAUCCCAACCUCCGUUGACUCUCUUCUGCAUCAACCAGCACAGAAUAGAGGUGAACAGUUCACCAUUUUAACAUGUGAUAAAGAAAUCAACUCUGUCCUUCCCCACUCAUUGUCAAGAUAACAUCCAAAUCUCAUUGCAUUUUCACUCCAUGGCUGUCUGGAUCACUCGCAAUGACAUGAGAGCACCAAUUCUUUUAAAUUCAGGGGGAAAGUUAAAACCAAACUCACGUACACAAAACUGAACCAAUUUGAGUGAUUCCAAUUGACUCAGAAAAUCCCGCUUGAUAAUUUUAUUGCAAAUCCUCCUGAUCAUGUUCCAAAAGCGUUCCACGGUAUCUCCUCCAGCAAUUUCUCACAUACAGAUCAAAAGUCUUUAUAAGUCCUACCCACAUCACCACUUGUACCAUCCUUGUCUACUGUCGCUCUUUAACAUCCCUAUUUAAUUCCUUAAUCUAGCAUCAUCUGCAAGUCAUCAUUUAACAGGUUGAAGCCAACCUGAAUGGUUGCUAAAGACUAGCAGAAUGCUAUUGCACUCCGCUCUUAAAUUUUUCUUCAGACAAGCAUGCUAUAUGUGCACUUACCCUGAGGAAAUUUUUGGGCUUGAGCACGAGGACUAUCUGGAGUUUAUAAUUUGUAUCUUACCUUCAUCGAUCUUCAGACACCAGAGUGUUAUUAAUUGGUGCAGGUAUUAUGUAUUAAUUAUACGAGCUUUUGACCUUUUUUGUGAGUUUUUAAAACGAAAGAUGCUGUAGUUAGUUCUUCUAAGUGUGUUACUUUGAGUUCUGGAUUGGCAACUAUCUCAAUAUCAAAUGAAUCUUAGAAGCAUAAUCAUAUGGUAGCUAGACACUACCAACUGUAAGCCUAUAAUGUUGCAGACAUUUGGUUUGAACUGUUCUCAGUUGACUGACUAUAUUAUUAUGAACUGAUGUUGUACAUUGAGGAGAUGAGUCCAUUAUCUUGAGUAAUCUAAUAAAUUUUGAUACAUAAAUGUCAAAAAAUAUGGAUGCAUUUUUAGCUGAGGGCCUGAAGGCUUUGUAACUUACAAUAAUGACAAAUUCAAAAUAAACAUCUACCACCGUCUUUCUUCCAAAUUAGUAGCAGUUCUCCAUUCUCUGUUUUUUUUUUGGGGGGGGUAAAGAUUUGGUAGUGCCGUAAGGCUGCAAUUUUGAUGAGGCAAUUCAAAAUGUGAAGUAUUUUCCAGAGCCAUUACAAUAGGAUAUCAAAUCCGUAACUUAAAAAAAAAAAAAGAUUACUGCAGUGUAAAUAUUGAACUAAUCUAAGAUCCAUGAAGCACCAUAAAUGAACAAAAUGAAACUUCAAUCAAUUUAUCAGAGAUGUCAAAGUAAAAGGUAGACUAGCCAGAAGUAAAUGGGCAUCAGAGGUUGAAAUGAGAAAGAGACAUUUUUCAUGAUUGAUGGCUAGCAUUACAAUUUCCUUCAAUCAAAACAGGAUUUUUCUUAAGACAUAGUAUGAAUAGAAAGUUCAACCAUUUCGUAGAACAUAUGCAAAAUGAACAAAUCACGGCUAAAAUCUCACAUUUUCAUUGUUCUGGAUUGCUUGACAUCAUUGCACUAGUAAUCUCUGUUAUUGGCCAUAUUGGUUGCCUAACUUUGGUGGGCAUGGGUAUAGAGAAAAGAAGGUAGAGUUGAAAAAGAAGGGAAAAUGGAAAACAUUAUUGUUCGGCUCAAGUUUGGGUAGCUUUAGUAAUUAGGCAACGCUAGUUCAUCAAAAUGAACCGACCUUAUGAAUUUUUGUGGAGAAUUUUGGUUUAGUUAUGGAGACUGGGGAGAAAGAUGUAAAGAAAAAGAGUGAGGGAAAAAAGUGGGGAGGUGGACAAUGUAUAAAGUUUCCAACAGACUGUAAAUUGUAUAUUAUCAUUGUAAAGUAUUUUGAACAAAUUGUAAAUAAUGAGCAUUAUCUUGUGAAUGUUGUUUUUAUCAGUAUUAUGCGAAAUUAUAUUCAUGUAACGAACAAAAACAGACACAAAUACCAUAAACAAGAACUAGAAUUUUAUCCUUCUUAUACUUCUCAAAUCUCCAUCAUGUAUUCCAAGUUAAAGACUGAGGGGUACACACUAUCCAAUUCAAUUCAGUAUAUACAGUUUUCCUUUUGAGAAAAAAAAACUUGCAAUUCAAAUAUUUUUCACUUGAUUACAAAUUUACAACAAUCAUUUCCACUUGAUUAACGGCAAAUGAAAUUUUUAUUGCUAUUCUUGCAAGACUUGUUCCCCUUCCUGAUGCAAUUAUUGAAGUAGGUUUCAUCAGGGAAUAACAAUGGCUACUAGUGACAACUUUUUAAGAUGAUAAUCAAGCUAGUGAGGUAUGGUCCUAGAAUCAAGGGAUUACCUGUCAAGAGCAAUAUCAAAAACAGGAAGGGCAUGAAGGUUAAGUAGCUCAUGCAAAGCCUCCAGUGGGUGAUAAAAUACUAGAUGAUCCGUCCGCUGGAAAUAUUCAAUUGAAGAACCUUGGUAGCAUCAUAAAUACUUCGCUGGUUAAGGCAUUUGUGGCAAGCCAAGAGUGAAUGAAGACUGUCAAGUCAUUCAUGCAUUCUGCACUACUUUGUGGUUUUAUUUUGGCUGUCCUUCUGUACAUGUAGAACUCUGCUCCAUUAGGUAAUUGAAUUAAGGGCAAAUUACACUUUACUCCCUAUGAUUUAGUAUUUUCGUAUAUAACUCCCUAUGAUUUCAAAAACUACACAUAACCCCCUCAUGGUUUGGAUUAAAGUGUCAAAAUGACGGAAAUGAUCAUUCGUAACGGAACUUAUUAAAAUGUCGAAACUACCAUUGUUUAAAAAUAAAAAUGGCUGAAGUGAUCAAAAUAUAUAAACAUAAUAUAUAUGACACACUAAUCAUAUAUGAUUUUAUAUUUUACCAUAUAACAUCCUUAUGAUUUUGAAAAUAUACACAUAACCCCCCUAUGGUUAAUAAGUAAUUUUCAACUUUACAAAAGGGUAUUCUUUACAUUUUAGUUGACUCCAUUAUAGAUUACAAAUUCCUUCACUGUGAUACUUUAAUCCAAAGUACAAGAGGGUUAUAUAUAACUUUUGAAAUUAUAGAGGGGUUAUGUAUAAAAACACUAAACUACAGGGGGUAAAGUGUAAUUUACCCUUGAAUUAAUCAAACAAACUAGUAGAAGAAAACAACAGAGAAUUGGAGCACAUAAACCUGACAACUGCAGGCAAACAACUUUUAAUAUAGUUCCAAUAUCUGUUUAAACGUCAGAUGCUCAUUCUUGGAGGACUGGCAAAAAAAAUUUAAGUUUUAUGUAUAUGUUGUUUUUGAGCUUUAUGAGGAAAUGGAACAACAGUGACAGGUUGUCGGCCUGUGCAAUAAUAAAACCUGCUCAAACUAAAAGUAAUUUCUGUAGAUAACGGUGAGCAGGGUCGAAUCCACAGGGAUUGGGAGUAAUUGUUUCUUUUCAAAUUCACAGUGACAAGGGGGUGUUUUUAUAUCAGGGGUGACAAUUUAAGCAAUUCAACUAAAAGUAAAAUAAUAAAAAUAAAAUAGCCAACUAGAAAUUAAAUAACAAUUUACUAAAAUCAAAUGAGUGAUAAUUAAGGAUCUAGCCAAGGAAUAACUUCAGCAACGGUUCACCUAAUUGAUCAUUGAAACAAAGGCAAUUCCAAUUAUUUACUAAUAAAUAGGUUAUAACUGUCAAACAAGUGAUGACAGUCAAUCCCUCCUUACUGUGUCGGUGAUUAAGGUACGCCCGUUAAUCACUACUCUAAUUGAGAAAUAAUCCUAAGUACGCCCGCAAGAUUUAAUUCCCCAAUUACCUUACGUAUUAGAGGAGCCCUAUUCAAACCAAAUAACACACUACCAGGGUUAGAUUAACCCGCGUAUUCUCCUGACACAAACCCAAUCAUGCCAGUUAUCACUAUUUUGAGACAAUUAAACAAUUACGGAUUUAACGUCCCAAUUGACAAUAGAUUAUCAAAUUAACUAAUUAUCCAGAUCCAAGACAAUCAAUUAAUUAAAUAACCAUAAGUACUGCAAUCAAAGAAUAUACAAAUACCAAUAAAUAAAAAAAAGAUAAAAUUAAAUCGAUCUCACAAUCUUUAGGCGAAUCAAAACUUUCGUUGUUCCUUGACUAGACAAAGGGAUUUAAGUCAUCCCUUGUCUACUCCUACCGAAAAGAAAAGAAAAGCAACUAAAGAUGAAAGGAAAAGUCAAAGGCUAAGCUCUCCCCCCCUGACAUGCGUCGGAAGCAAAAACUCUAAGAAGAAGCCAAAAGGGCAAAGUUCCAAAAGCUAAAGGAGUCCUAAUCCUUUGCAACUCCCUAUCCUAUCAAAAGUCCUACUCUACUUUUUUAUUGUGCGGUGGCUUCAAUGCCUCCCGAAGACUUCGGCAUUUUCGGUUCUUUUUCCUUUCUUGCUGUCUUCAGCCAAAUUACCAAAAUGGGCUCACAUCUCCUCGUUUCAAAAAUGUCCCUGAAUGCCUUCUAUUUGAAUUCAUUUCCGAUGACUGCCAAAUUGGCCUUAGUUGUGGUAUUUUCGUUCUACUCCCUGAAAUAAAUGUAAAUUACGAAAAGUGAGUAGAAUCUAAUAAUUAAGUCACAUCGGGUUAGGUAAUAGAGGAAAUUAAUAAUAAAAUAAAUGAUAAAUUGCAACCUAUCAAUUCCCCCCACACCUAAACCAUACUUGUCCUCAUGCAUAAGAACAGUAAACAAACACUAAUAUUUGACAAUGGCUAUUGCUCUAUCUACCAUAUUACCAAGAUAUCAAGAAAAAUAUAUAUCAAGCAUCAGUGAUCAAAAUCCAAAAAACAUCACCCCGGUUAACUUUUGAACUACAAACUCUUUCAAUUCCAAGUUUACUAAUCUAAGAAGAAGGAAUGAUCGCUCAACAUUUAUCAGCAAAUGGUUCAACUAUUCACCAAAAUCUCAACAUUAAAUCCAUAAAUCGGCAAACUGACUUUUAUCACACACUAACACAACUUUCACUUCUUUUUUUUCGUUAUUUAUUUAUUUAUUUAUUAUUAUUUUUUUCAAUAGCACAAAAGAUUUAGCCUCUAGCCAUCGAAGCCUUUUGACGCGAACUCCAACAUUUGCCAGAUGAAGGAGCCCGGUUACUUAGCUCCUAUCGCUAUACGACCAUGUACUAAUAGAAAUUACUACAUUUUGACGCGAGAAUCGACACUGUAGGUGAAGAUCCCCGGUUACUCAGUAGUACCAAAUAGCAGAGUACAGUCAAUUUUAUUUCAUAAUCAGAUAACACAAUAUCUCACAAUAUCACAAAGAAAAAGCAGCUAGCCUCAUUUUUCCCAAACAUGGAGAACUAAAGUUAAUCACUGGACCAGUUCACAUGAAAAUGCUAACAAUCAUUUCCAAUGCCUAGGAAAGUUAACAAAAACUUAUAAGAGUAAAACAAUCACCGACAUUCACUAAAGAGGUGUUUUUGGAUUCAAUCACAUUAACUUGAUGCACUUUUAUUAUUAAAACUUGGCAAUAGUAGAAUUAGAGUGAACAAACCAACAUCUAAAUUGACAUCACCAGGUAGGAGCCUUAUAAAUAAAAAUCUGCUCGACUAAAGUUAACUUUUAUAAAUAGUGGUAAGUAGAGUCGAAUCCACAGGGAUUGGGUGUAACUGUGUCUUUUCAAAUUCACAAUAACAAAGGGGGUGUUUUUGUGCAGAAGGUGACAAUCGAAAAAAUUCAAACAAGAAUAAAAAUAAAUAGCUAGUUAGAAAUUAAAUGACAAUUUACUAAAGUCAAAUGAAUGAUAACUAAUGAUCUAGCCAAGAAAUAACUUCAGCAAUGGUUCACCUAAUUGAUCAUCGAUGCAAAGUCAAUUCCAAUUAUUUACUAAUAAAUAAGUUAUAACUGUCAAACAAGCGAUGAUAGUUAACCCCUCCUUACUGUGUCGGUGAUUAAGGUACACCUGUUAAUUACUGAUCUAAUUGAGAAAUAAUCCUAAGUACGCCCGUAAGAUUUAAUUCCCCAAUUGCUUUACGUAUUAGAAGAGCCAUAUUUUAACCAAAUAACACACUACCAGGGUUAUUUUAGAUUAGUCCGCGUAUCCCCCUGACACAAAUCUAAUCGUGCCAGUUGUCACUAAUUCAAGGCAAUUAAACAAUUAUGGAUUUAAUGCCCUAAUUGACAAUAGAUUACCAAAUCAAUUAAUUAUCUAGAUCUAAGACAAUCAAUUAAUUAAAUAAUCAUAAAUACUGCAAUCAAGGGAUAUGCGAAUACCAAUAAAUAAAAGAAAAAGAUAAAAUUAAACCGAUCUCACAAGUUUUAGGCGAACCAGAACCUCCGUUGUCCCUUGACUAGAGUGGAUAAAUUAGUUCAUAUUUAAUGUGAAAAACCCACACACAAUUGAAGAGAAAGCAGCGGCCAUCAUACUGUGAAACUUGGAAAAUUCAACCCGUCCGAAUAUUGAAUAGAUAGUAAAGCUACAAAAGGUGAUUGAUAGUUUUUCCUUCGUCUGACACACAAGAAGGAAAAGAUGCUACUUAAGACUCUAAGGGAAGAAAAGUCAAAGUUCUAAGCUACACUCUCAUACAAAAAACUAAGGAAAAAGCCAGGUAGUGGCUCCCCCUCAAUUCCUAUUCUAUCUAAUUACUCACUAAAAACUCCCCUCCCUAGCCGCGGCUCCCACCAGGAAGAAGAGGACCUUCAGCCGUCUUUCCUUCUCAAAAUUUACCAGAAUGGGCGUAACACCUUCUUUUUCAAAAAUGCCCCUGAGAUAAGCUCUAUCAUCUACACUCCUUUUUUUGCCAAAUUAGCACCUGUUAUCAUAUUUUCAUUCUACUUCCUGAAAUAAAUGUAAAAUACUAAAAGUGAGUAGAAUCCAGCAAUUAAUCCAUAUGGGAUCAGGUAAUAGGGAAAAUUAAUAAUAAAAUAAAUGAUAAAAUCGCACCCUAUCAAUUCCCCCCAAUUAUAUGCUAAAUUUGGUAAUAGAAGUGCAGAAAAUUAGCAAUAGCAACACAGUCACAAGGUCAAGGCAGUUGAUCAAAUAUCCAACCAACAAGAGUUAACAAAUUCAGGGAAAAACACUCCAGCUAGUACCACUGGAGGAAAAUGGAAUGCACAAUUCAACUAACCGAAAUUGUAGCAACAGUCCCAGGAAAUAACAAUUCAAGCAAUAAUAACCCUCAAAUCUGACAGUAGCAGAGUAAUUCUAAGUACCCAGCCUCCAACAGUCAACCAAUAGAGUAGAAUUAACCCAGUAAAGUUAAAAUUCCCAAACAGUGGAUGAAACAAGUUUAACGGCCAACCCACACUAGUGAGAACCCCAUAUAACGUAACUCAAUUCAGACAAGUAGUAAUGUAGCCACAGGAUUCACAGGCGAAGCUAAUAAGGAACCCAGCAACAAAUGGUCCAAUUAAAUAGGCGAGUAUGAAGAAACAGGGGGGUACCUCCACCGUUGUGUGGAAAAGGAGGCCGUGGGUGAAGGGAAGAUGGCAGGCAGCAGCGCGGCAAUGGAGACGGCGCGUGGGCUGUCGAUUGCGAUGGAGGGUGAGAGGAGUUCGGAGUGGCGGGGAUCAUGAGAGGUGGACUGCGGUGACGCGCGGAGCUGCGGGCGGCGCAGUCGCAACCGUGGGGAGACGCGACCGCGCGAGGUGAGCGUUGGCUACUGGUGGCGCGGGAGCUCAGGAGGAGCUGCGUGCGAUAGAAAAGGAGCCGCAGCGCUCGGCUGUUGGCUGCGCGCUCGAUGGGUUGAUGGAGGAGAGAAGAGCGCGGUGGCUUGGCGAUGGAGAGAAGGGUUGUAGCUCCGUCGGUGGCUUGCGAUGGAGCUAUGGUGGCCGCUAGGAGCUUGGGAGCCACGGCUACGCGUGUCAUCGUGCAACGUUGUUCACGGGUGACAGUCGCAUGGGGUAGGUCGCGACUGGUGGUGGCCGCUUGAGAGAGAGCUGGUGAGCGAGAUGCGGCAAGGGAAGGGCGGCGGUGUGCGAUGCAAAGAGCCUCGGUCGAACAGGAGGAAGAAGCAACGGGGAAGAAAGAAAGAAAGGAAAAGAAAAUAUGUUGUUUUUUUUUUGUGUUGUGGUUUCUUUUGUAUUUCAAUUUUUUCGAUUUUUUUCUUUUCUUUUUUUUUUUAAUUUUAUUAUUUAUUAUUUAUUUUAUUUUUUAAAUUUAUUUUUCUUUUUAAAUUUUUUUAAGUUAAAUCUCUUUUUUUUUUACAAAUAAUAAUUUUUCCUUUUUUUUAUCUGAAUAUUAUUAUUAUUACAUAACUUAUUUUCAAAAUUAAAAAUUAGAGACUAACAGAAAAUCAAUAAUAGUUCUUGAGUUCUUUUGAAUACUUACCUUUCCCGCGCACAUGACGUGGGCACGUCAAGAAAGCACAGAAUGAGAAGCUCUGCAGGUUACUUGACGCGGGCACGUCAUGAGGACAAGAGAGUUCUCUGACCAUGAGCUCUCCAUGGGACUUGACGCAGGCACGUCAAGAGGACAAGAAAGCUCUCUGACCAUGAGCUCUUCAUGGGACUUGACGCGGGCACGUCAAGAGGAUCGAAACCCUUUUUACUAAGCAUCAGGAAAUUGCAAUGUGCCACGCGCCCAGUUGACACGGGUGCGUCAUGUCAGAGGGAUGCCUAUGAAUCAUCAAAAAUGAAAAUUAAACCAAAAAAUCAGUCAAAUCCAAGGAAAAAUAUAUUUAAAAUAUCAAACAAAAUCGAAAAAAUAACUAAGAAAAAUUGGGUUGCCUCCUAAUGAUCGUCUUUCUUUAAUGUCUUUGGCUAGACAUGGUAAGGUGGCAUUAAUUGGCACACGGCGGUGCAUCUAGACUUAUCGUCUCUACUUUUCUACUUGAAAAACCUUCGUGAUAAUACUUGAGACGAUGUCCAUUCACCACAAACUUAUUGUUGGUUUUAGCAUUCUGAAUUUCAAUUGUACCAUAUGGAAAGACGUGAGUAAUAAUAAAAGGUUCAAUCCAACGGGAACGUAGCUUACCUGGGAAGAAUUUGAGUCUGGAUUGGUACAGGAGAACUUUCUGACUAAGUUCAAAGGUUUUUUCUAGAGAUUUGCUGGUCAUGAAAUGCUCGGCUCCUCUCCUUGUAAAUCAAUGCAUUCUCGUACGUUUCGUUCCGGAUCUCCUCCAAUUCCUGCAAAUCCAAUUUCCGUUGGGUACCAGCCUCCUCUAGGUUCAUAUUACAUUGUUUAAUCGCCCAAAAAGCUUUGUGCUCGAACUCCACUGAUAGGUGACACGGCUUUCCAAAUACCAAUCUAUAGGGUGACAUCCCUAUGGGGGUUUUGUACGCCGUUCGAUAGGUCCAAAGUGCAUCUUCCAACCUUUGACUGCAAUCUUUCCUAUCGGGGCGCACCAUUUUCUCCAAAAUAGAUUUAAUUUCUCGAUUCGAUACCUCCGCUUGACCAUUGGUCAGCGGGUGGUACGAUGUUGAGAUCCUGUGGAAUACACCGUACUUGCGAAACAGCGCGGCUAUGGUUUUGUUGCAGAAAUACGUCCCCCUGUCACUAACAAUAACUCUCGGCAUUCCACAACCCACAAAAAUAUUAGACUUGAUAAAAUCUGCAACCACUUUCGAAUCAUUAGUCCGGGUAACCUUAACCUCCACCCAUUUAGACACAUAAUCAACUGCCAGCAAUAUAUGUAUAAAAUAAAAUGAAGUAGGAAAAGGCUCCAUGAAAUCUAUAUCUCAGACAUCAAAAAUUUCGACAAAAAUCAACGGGACUUGGGGCAUCUGAUCUCUACGAGCUACAUUACCUACCCUUUGACAGCGAUCACACGACUUACAAAACACAUAAGCAUCCUUAAACAAUGAAGGCCAAUAAAAUCCACUUUCCAAUACCUUAUGAGCAGUUUUCUUGGGUCCAAAAUGACCUCCACAGGCAAAAGUAUGACAAAAAGUUAGAAUUAGUUGAAAUUAAGCUUCACUUACACAUCGCCUCAUCACUUGAUCAGCACACCUCUUCCACAAAUAUGGGUCAUUUUAGAUAAAGUACUUGGCAUCGCUCUUCAAUUUAUCCCUCUUCGAUUUUGGCAAACUUGCAGGAAAAUUACUUGUUACUAGACAAUUGACUAAAUCGACAUACCAAGGCAAUUGAGAAUUUAGAGAAAAUAAAUGGUCUUCAGAGAAUGCAUCCUCCAACGGCUCGUUCUCCUUUCCAACAGGUAUACGACUCAAAUAGUCGGCUACUAAAUUCUCCGAGCCUCUCUUAUCUCUUAUCUCCAGAUCAAAUUCUUGCAGAAACAAGAUCCACCUUAUGAGCCUCGACUUUGCAUCUUUCUUGGUUAUUAGGUACCUUAGAGCUGCAUGAUCAGGAAAUACAAUAACUUUAGCACCCAAUAAAUAUGACCUAAACUUUUCCAAGGCGAAAAUAACAGCAAGAAGCUUCUUCUCAGUGGUGGAGUAAUUCAAUUGGGCCCCAUUUAAAACUCGAGAUGCAUAGUAAAUGACGUGAGCUGUCUUUCCUACUCUUUGCCCGAAUACAGCUCCUACAGCAUGAUCACUGGCAUCGCAUAUGAUCUCAAAUGACAAACUUCAGUCAGGAGGUUGAAUGAUCGGUGGCGAGGUCAAUAGCUCCUUUAACUUGUCGAAGGCUCUCUCACACUUGUCAUCGAAUUCAAAAGCCACAUCUUUUUGUAAAAGCUGGAAUAACGGGGCUCCCAUUUUCAAAAAAUCCUUGAUGAACCUUUGAUAAAAACCUGCAUGUCCAAGAAAAGAGCGCACCUCCCGCACACUAGCGAGGUAAGGUAAAGCAGAUAUAAUAUCUAUUUUCGCCCUGUCAACCUCGAUACCUUUAGAAGACACAAUAUGACCCAGAACUAUCCCAUGUUCAACCAUAAAAUGACAUUUCUCCCAAUUAAGCACGAGAUUAGUCUCUAUACAUCUCAACAAGAUCAAUCUCAGGUUAUCUAGACAUGUAUCAAAACUAUCACCAUACACACUGAAAUCGUCCAUGAAAACCUCAAUUAUUUUCUCAACAUAUUCAGAAAAAAUGCUUACCAUACAUCUCUGGAAAGUUGCAGGUGCAUUGUACAACCUGAAUGGCAUCCGUCUAUAUGCAAAGGUCCUGAACGGGCACGUGAAAGUCAUCUUCUCUUGACUCUUUGGUGCAAUUGCUAUUUGAAAAUACCCUGAAAAUCCAUCCAAAAAGCAAUAGUAAGUCCUAUAAGCUAAACGUUCAACCAUUUGGUCAAUGAAAGGGAGAGGAAAAUGGUCAUUUUUUGUGAUAGCGUUUAGCCUACGGUAGUCAAUACACUGCCUCCAUCCAGUGGGUUUGCGCACUGGUACGAGCUCACCCGUUUGGUUAGCCUCCACUGUCAUUCCUGCCUUUUUUGGAACUAUCUGGACCAGCCUCACCCAUGGGCUAUCCGAUAUCACGAAAAUGAUUCCCACAUCGAGCAACUUCAGAAUUUCUUUCUUCACCACUUCCAUCAUGAGGGGGUUAAACCUCCUUUGGCCUUGCCGUAUAGGUUUGGCAUUCUCUUUCAACCUAAUCCGGUGUAUGCAGAUGGAGGGGCUGAUCCCCUUGAUAUCGGUGAUAGUCCACCCUAUCGCCUCUUUAUACUCUUUAAGGACCCGAAUUAGUUUCUUCUCUUGGGUCUCCGAGAGUGCAGUUGAUAUAAUCACCGGGAGUGUUUCGUUGUCGCCCAGAUACGCAUAUUUCAAGUGCUUCAGCAAAGAUUUCAACUCCAACACAGGGGCCUGCACCACAGAUGGCAGUCCCCUCUAGUGAGGUUCGGGAAUGAAAAUUGGAGAGACUUCAUACAUUUUUGUUGUGGUUGGCAAUGAGUGUAGUGCCCCUAUUGUGCAUUUCAAGUCUUCACUCCACUCUACCUCAGGAGUUGUCUCCAACUCAAGGUGCUUGAUUAAAGCUAUUUCCAACUCAUCCUUACCAACAGUUUCAAACACUUCCUGCACCGCAGGGUCAAUAGCACUUACAGAAAAAACAGAGCUAAAGUUAGAGUUUGAUGGGUAUUUCAUCGUAUCAAAAAUACUAAAAUGCACAAUUUUUCCAUCAAAUUCCAUGAAUAGGGUGCCCUUAUUAACAUCAAUUUUUGUCUGCACUGUACUCAAGAAGGGUCUACCUAAUAGUAAAGGUGAGGGAUCGGGGGAGUGAUCAUCAUUCAUAUCAAGUACAUAAAAGUCAGUUGGGAAUACCAAAUCAUUAAUUUUUACCAAUAUAUCUUCAACUAACCCAUCAAGAUAUGCAUUUGUUCGGUCAGCUAAUUGAAUGAUUAUUCCAGUUUCUUUUAAUGGACCUAGUUUUAGAGAAGCAUAGAUAGAUUUGGGUAUGACAUUAAUUGAUGCUCCCAGAUUCAACAUGGCCUUCCUAAUCAAAGUGUUGCCUAUCUUACAUGGGAUAGUAAACAUACCUGGGUCUCCAUACUUUGGUGGGAGUUUUUUCUGCAAGACCACGGGCACGUUCUCCCCCACAAUGACCCUUUCAUCCCCCCUCAACCGCCUUCGGUUGACACACAAGUCCCUUAGAAACUUGGCAUAUUUCGGCACUUGUUUGAUUGCGUCUAAGAGGGGGAUAUUAAUCUCUACCUUGCAGAACACCUCUAGAAUUUCCUUCUCCUUAUCUUACUUUUUCGAUUUUUCCAACCUGGUAGGAAAGGGAGGCGGGUUAGUUUUUACUACAAUGAUUGGGUCUGGAAGUACCUCUGGAUUUGUACUAUUGUUGUCCUCCCUCUCAAACUCAUUUUCGAUCUUUUCCUCAUCCUUGUCCUUAGGGAUCACAGGCUCAGGCCCCUGAAUCUCCUUUCCGCUCCUUAGGGUCAUCACGCUUACAUUUUUCGGGUUCAAUUUAGGUUGAGAUGGCAAUUUACCUUGGACUUGGGACUCCAAACGGUUGAUUGUUGUGGCCAUUUGACUCAUCUGAUUUCUUAUGUUCUGCAUUUUGGAGUCCGUCCUUUGCUUAUAUUGCGCGGUGGUUGCUAUCAAUUGUUUCAUCAUCUCCUCCAAAGAUGGACUAGAGCUCGGGGGCGGAGGUGGUCGGGGUUGGUAUUGCUGCUGAUACCCUUGUUGUCUAUUUGGCACGAAAUUAGACUGUCUGUUCUCUCCAUAGUUGAGGUUGGGGUAAUCCCUCCAACCGGGGUUGUAGGUACUUGAAUAUGGGUCAUAGGGCUUCCUUGGCGCGAGCGCGUGUCCUGCCAUGUUCAUUUGCUCUGCACUUUUCUCUUGAAUCAUUGGGCACAUCUCUGUAGAAUGACCCAUGUCAGUGCAAAUUCCGCAUAUCAUGGUAUGAGAUGCAUUUCCUACAGCCAGUUGCCUAACAAAAGAAGUCAACUCAGUCAACUGUUGCUGGAUAGAGGAUGUUUCUACCUCGUUCACUUUGCGUAUCGAGACAUCCUCCCUCGUACCAAACUAUUGCGAGUUCUCAACCAUUCCUUCUAUUAGCUCCCACGCUGCUCGAGGGGUCUUGUUCACCAGUGCCCCUCCACUCGCAGUAUCAAUUAUGCUCCUGUCUCUGAAAAGUAGCCCCUCGUAAAAAUAUUGUAUGAGCAACUACUCACUUAUUUGAUGCUGGGGACACUUGAUGCACAAUUUCAAAAACGCUCUCAGUAAUCAUAGAGCGAUUCUUCUGGAUGCUGCUUGAUACUGCAAAUUUCUUUUCUUAGACUUGCAGCUCUGAAAGCAGGAAAAUACUUAUCUAAGAACUUUUUCUUUAGCUGGUCUCACGUGGUGAUACUACCGGUAGUAGGUAGUACAGCUAGUCCUUUGCAGAGUUCUUCAAGGAAAAGGGGAAUGCCCUCAUUUUUAUUUGCUCUUCUGUGAUUUUCAGGGGUUUCAUACUGUUGCACAUGACAUCAAAUUCCUGCAAAUACUUAUAAAGCUCCUCACCUGGUAACCCAUGAAAAGAUGACAAAAGAUGAAUUAGCCCAGAUUUUAAUUCAAAUAGAGUGUUAUCACUCAAACUUGGAAAAGUAAUGCAUAAAGGUUGCUGAAUUAAAUCAGGAGCAGCCAACUCCCUUAAUAUCUGGGCAUUAGCCAUGGGGACUUCUUCUUGCUCCGAGUCACUCGAAGUGUCACCAAACGAAUCUGUUGAUUCAACUUCUGGCUUAGGUAUCUGAUAUGCAAUACUUGAAUGCUCUUCUCUGAGUUGUCUGGUCUCUUUUCUUGUUCUACGCGCGGUCUUCUCUACCUCAAGGUCAAAAAUUAAUUCACCUGUACGAGAAGAAUGAGGCAUACACUCGAACAGCACUAGAAAAUUAGAACAAAAAUAAAUUUAAAAAGAAAUAAAUAUUAACGCCAGAACUCGGCAACGACGCCAAAUAUUGACAGGUUGUCGGCCUAUGCAAUAAUAAAAUCUGCUCAAACUAAAAGUAAUUUCUGUAGAUAGCGGUGAGUAGGGUCAAAUCCACAGGGAUUGGGAGUAAUUGUUUCUUUUCAAAUUCAUAGUGACAAGGGGGUGUUUUUAUAUCAGGGGUGACAAUUUAAGCAAUUCAAUUAAAAGUAAAAUAAUAAAAAUAAAAUAGCCAACUAGAAAUUAAAUAACAAUUUACUAAAAUCAAAUGAGUGAUAAUUAAGGAUCUAACUAAGGAAUAAUUUCAGCAAUGGUUCACCUAAUUGAUCAUUGAAACAAAGGCAAUUCUAAUUAUUUACUAAUAAAUAGGUUAUAACUGCCAAACAAGCGAUGACAGUCAACCCCUCCUUACUGUGUCGGUAAUUAAGAUACACCCGUUAAUCACUACUCUAAUUGAGAAAUAAUCCUAAGUACGCCCGCAAGAUUUAAUUCCCCAAUUAUCUUACGUAUUAGAGGAGCCCUAUUCUAACCAAAUAACACACGACCAGGGUUAGAUUAACCCGCGUAUUCUCCUGACACAAACCCAAUCAUGCUAGUUAUCACUAUUUUGAGAAUUAAACAAUUACGGAUUUAACGUCUUAAUUGACAAUAAAUUAUCAAAUUAACUAAUUAUCCGAAUCCAAAAUAAUCAAUUAAUUAAAUAACCAUAAGUACUGUAAUCAAAGAAUAUGUAAAUACCAAUAAAUAAAAGAAAAAGAUAAAAUUAAAUCGAUUUCACAAUCUUUAGACAAAUCAAAACUUCCGUUGUUCCUUGAUUAGACAAAGGGAUUUAGCUCAUCCCUUGUCUACUCCUACCGAAAAGAAAAGAAAAGCAACUAAAGAUGAAAGGAAAAGUCAAAGGCUAAGCUCUCCCCCCUGACAUGCAUUGGAAGUAAAAGCUCUAAGAAGAAACCAAAAGGGCAAAGUUCCAAAAGCUAAAGUAGUCCUAAUCCUCUGCAACUCCCUAUCCUAUCAAAAGUCCUACUCUACUUAUUUAUUGUGCGGCGGCUUCAAUGCCUCCCGAAAACUUCGGCCUUUUUAGUUUUUUUUCCUUUCUUGCUGUCUUCGGCCAAAUUACCAAAAUGGGCUCACAUCUCCUCGUUUCAAAAAUGUCCCUGAAUGCCUUCUAUUUGAAUUCUUUCCCGAUGACUGUCAAAUUGGUGUUCGUUGUGGUAUUUUCAUUCUACUCUCUGAAAUAAAUGCAAAUUACAAAAAGUGAGUAGAAUCUAAUAAUUAAUUCACAUCGGGUUAGGUAAUAUAGGAAAUUAAUAAUAAAAUAAAUGAUAAAAUUGCAACCUAUCAAACAGAUAAGCGACGUGACAGAACAGAAAAAUAAAGUCCACGAUAACCUUAAAUUGGGGAAAACUGUCAAAAUAUUUGGUAAAUCACAAAGCUAACACUAAAUUGGGCCAUCUGCUCGAGUAUCGUAUCGUCAGCAAACAGUAGGACUGGUACUUUUGGUCCUUCAAAAUGACUUUCAAUUCUAAAGAUGCAAUUGUUGGAGAAGAACAGAGAGAACAUAUAUUGACUACAAAACACCAAGCAGGUGAAGUAAAUUCCAGAUUAAAGGCUAAUGGAAGCACGAAGAACUACCUGAACGAAUGGCUUUCAUUACAAUUUUCACAACAAAGCACAAGAAUUAGACACGAACAAACCACUUUGGCUGUGCCAGUUUAGCAUCAAAUUAUAUUUAUUCUUUUACCAUUUCAGAUCUUAUAUCAAAUGGCACAAGACAAAAAUUUUGACAGCAUUGAGCAUCAACUUCUUAUAUAGACAAUGACUAUCAGGCUAUCUUCCAGAUAACUUUCCUUUCCACUGACCGGCAAAAGAUGAGAGAGAGUGAAUAAGUAGAUGCUGCACAAACAUCUUUCAUAGCCAAUCCUAGAAGAGCAGAAGUUACGUGGAUAAUGCACAACUAGUACCGGCAACUUAUAAUCAAUGAUGUAGUUCGCCUUCUGAAGUGUUAGAAAACGACUUGUACAACAAACUAAUCAACGCACCAAAGCAGAAUCAUGGUAGAGGCAUCAUGGCAUCAUUAAACGUUAGUUUCACUUUCAAGCAUCAUUUGUCAUAGCCAUUUGCUGAGAGGUAGAGACCACUUUUCUGAGCUCACCCGUCCCAUUCCAACAAGUAUAUAUUAAUGAAUACUUCGUCAAGAUAUUCAUCCAGUUGGUAGUAUUCCUGCUUUUUGCUCAUUUCCAUUUUUCUCUAGCUGGCAGUUGAUCUAUGAGCCAGAAGUUAGGAUAUUUUUCUCUUCCAUCUAUUUCAUUGUAUUUUUUUCCCUUCUUGAAAGAACUUCUCUUCCCACUUUGAUCAGCAACUAACAAAUACUGGACCUUGAAAAUUUCGAAGUGUUGAUGCUGCUUAUUCUUACAAAAAUGCAACAGGAUCGCUGCUAGGAUAAAUCACAACAGAUGUGCCCAAGCCAAAGAAAUUGAUUCUAAGCUAGACUCAUAUUGAUAGAUUUGAGCCACCUGUUGAAGAUGCAGCUUACCAACUAAUUGCAAAUGGGACGUCAGAAUGCAUGCUAAGUCGGAUGAAGAACAUAGCAACAGCCUAAAUACUUAAAAUUUUCUGGUACAACAUCCUUUCAUCUAGUUUGAAAUUCCUCCACCCCCAGGAACUUUCAGCAUCUUUUCGCUGAAUCAGUGAUAUGGGAGAACAAGAAUCCAUGAAAAAUAUCUUCAAGCAAAUUAUUAUUAAAGAUUAAGUACACAGAAAAUAGUACUUAUUAGAACCAGAUUCUCAUGUUUGCCAAGCUGUCAUUAACUAUAUACACCUAUUCUACCCAACAAGGUUGCAAAAGCAAACAGCAUUCUUUGCAUUAAAAAAAAAAGGAAAAAAGAAAGUCUCAGGGCAUUCAGCCAUUUACUUCAAGAAAAGAAACCUACUCUGCAUUACUUAAGCUGAAAUGUAUAAAAGAAAUAAAAAUGUGUACUUGACAUUUAUGCUUGUGCUCAGCUGGUUUUAAGGAUCAUACCAAUUUGUAGCCAGAUUGAAGAGGAUUUUAGGAAUUAGAUAGUUUUGAUUUCAUAAACACAUGACCAUUCAAACCAAAGAAUUGAAAACCUCCAGAAGUUGGUUUGUGAAAUAUCAAUGAUUAUAUCAUUCAACUGAUCCAACAUAUACAAUUAGUCCUGUGGGAGUGGAUCUAACCUCAUGAGUGGAAUUCUUCUCUUCUUUGACCCCUUUUCUGAGUAGAUCUAAUAAUAACGCUCUUUAAGUCCUUGUUUCCCCAUUCUCUCUGUUCUUGCAGAAUUCGCUCCACAGAAUUUACAGCAGACUCACUACACCUUUUCACCUCAAUCAUUUUAAGAGUGAGGCUUUCCCCUAAACAAGGAGGGACCUCUUCCAGCUCCUCACAAAACUCCAAAACCAAUUUCUCAAGACAGGAAAAAUUAUCAGAAGACGCAGUCCACCUACGAAUGUACAACCCUGACAAUUUCAAAAAUCGGAGGUUACGGAAUUCCCCUUCUUCCAUCUCCCAUUCUUCCUCCCGAACGGAACGAUGGCAUAAUUUGAGCACUACAAGGUUGGGCAGAUUUCUUCCAAUUGCUGAAAUUUUUCCCCACGGCCAAUAAUUAUCCGAGAGAGUCAACUUUUUCAAAUUCAAAUUCAAUGAGAAUUCAAACUCAUCUCCGCUAAUCCUGCUUAUCUUAAGUGAUUCUAGUCGACUCAUGUAGUUCAGCAAGGGAAUCUCCUUGCGAUUUCCACCAGAUUCAACUGCUCGGUAACUUUUCCUUUGGAUUCCAUAUGUUAUUGUUAGCCUGCGGGUGCUCUGUAACUUUGCCAGUAUCUUCUGUGCACUUUGAGAAGAGAGAUCGAUUGCAAGGCUUAAAGUGUCUAAAUGUUUUAAAUCAGGGGAGCCUUCAAGAUUGUCCAUGGGAAAUAUGAAACCACAGUCGGACAAUGAUGUGACAAGAUACCUCAAUGUUUCAAUGUUCCAGAUAGUGUUUGGCAACAUAUAAUUUCUACGGCGUGCUUCUACUACAAAAGUUUCUAACCUUGAGAGGUUGGCUAUUGCAGAUGGGAUAUCCCCAACAAAACGUCCAAUUCUCAAGUACCUCAAGUGAAUAAGGAAUACUACUUCCCUUGGAAAAGAUGAAAUCCAAUAAGGAGUGUUCCAGAAAUCCAGCACUCUAAGAAGUUUAGACAGCAGAAAUUUGGAUGAAUUCUUAUCCAGCUGUGUAUAACUAUCACCACAGAAGAGCAAACACCGCAAAUUGGGAAAAAACAGCCUUGAUUUUGUAAGCCCCAUAGUCUUGGUAGGGUGGAUAGACAAUCGAUGGGGCUUGCAUGGUCCAGUAAAAGUUAAAAGGUUAUCCACACGUAAAAUCUGUAGAAAACUUUCUUCUUUAGCUUUCUCCAUGCAAAAUUCAUGUACCAAAUCAUGGAUUCGGCAAGCUUUGAUCCCACCUAAAGAUCUUUGUUGGGGAGCCAUAACUAAACUUCUCCCAAUCAGAUCCAUCAAAUAUUCAUCUGCCACAUCCUCUAAACACUUUCCUUCAGUCUUUUGCACGAAUCCUUCCGAGAUCCAAAUCCAUAACAACCUUCGAAUGGGAAUUUCUUUGUCUUCUUGAAAUGCACCGAAGUAAAGAAGACAUGGCUUCAAAUAAUUUGGUAAAUUAUUGUAACUUAGCUCAAUUGUCUUCAUGCAAUAUUCAUUGUCAACAUAAAUGCUGGAAGUUAAAUGUAUUACAACUUCUUCCCAGCAAUCUUGCUCGGUAGUAGUAAGAAUUCCGGCAACAAGGACAACUGUGAGAGGCAGGCCUUUACAGUAUUUUGCUGCAUGCAGUAAAACAUUGCUUAAUAUUGGGGGACAAUCUUCUUUGGCAAAUAGCUUUUUCUGCAGCAAUUCGCAGCUCUCAUUAUCUGUAAGCGGGCGAAGAUGGUGAGGCUCGCUAUCAAGUUUAAUUUGCAAUGGCAAUUCCUGAAAUCUGCUGGUUAAGAGAAUCCUGCUUCCAUUGCAAUCAUCUGGCAGUGAGAGUUUCAAUAAAUCCCACCCCAGAAUGUCCCAAACAUCAUCCAAAACUAUGAGAUACCUAUUUCCCUUCAACAAUUUGCGUAGCCUGUCAGCCAUAUAAUCUUCAUCUUUCCGAAUAUAUCCAGCUGAGUUCCCAUGAUCAAUAUUACACAACAUUUGAACUAACAAACUAUGCUUGGUAUAUGCUCGAGAAAAACAACACCAAGAACGAAUGUGAAAGUGGGACUUUACCAAAGGAUCACCAUAAACUUUAUUGGCUAAUGUUGUCUUACCAAGACCAGGCAUACCCACAAUGGCAACAAUAUCCAACCGGCUUGGUCCCCUUACAAGUCCAUCAAUUAUAAUUUCCCCCUCGUCAUUGAGACCCACCACAGCUUCAUUAGAUAUUGGAGCAGUAACUUGUGAUGGCAUGGGAAUGGUAGUCUUAACAAUACUCUGGGUUUCAUAGUCAAAUCGUAUGCUAUCAUAAAUCUUUUUGGCCUCAAUCUUCAUAAGCUUGACAUCUCCAGCAAUAACAUCCAAACAAUGUUGAUGUUUUCCACCAGGUAGUGUAGAGUCAAUGAUUAUCUCUGCCCUGUAUGCCAGCUCAAUAAUACGACUCCACAGAGCUUGGAGUUUUUCAUUCCGCUUUCACUGCUCUGCAAUCUUGCCUAGGAAAGGUCUUAAGAAAUCAAGAUCUUCACGAACUGUGUGGAUUUGAUUAUUUGGGAAAGCAAUUGAAUUAGCUGUAGAAUUUUCCAGUUCCUUGAGAGUUUCUAAAAGAAAAUCAAUAGAGCCCAGCUCAUUAGUCCUAGGGAAACUAAUUGAUGAUGAUGGUGGUUGUAGUGGACAAAUCUGUUCAAUUUCUGGAAUAAUGAGCUUGAGCAGUUCGAGCGAAUGAGAAGCCACAAGAUCUAUUUCCUUGGGCAAGCUUUCUGUCAUUUCACUCUUAUAAAGGGAGAAAAUCACAAUUCCAGCAUCACAGACCACAAAUCCAAUAAGAUCCUUCAUUUCAUCAUUUAGCUCAUCGAACUUCUCGUGCUGCUGGCUGAGAAGGACACUCAGGAAUCUUGCUCCCUCAUAGAGUUUUAGUAAUUGAUCCUUCACCGGAAGCAAGAAACUGGUGUAAGAUUCUGUUAGCUCCAUAAUAAUAUGUAAAAGAUGAUCAAUAAAUUCGGCCACUAGGUGCUUAUUCUUCUCCAGGGCUAAAGUGUGUGAUGAUGGUGACAACUUGGAAGCUGUCAAGACGUGGAUAUAAGUUUCUCGGACUUGGAGAUCAACGGGAUCAAUCUUCUUUUGUAUCAG
rnacentral:lncRNA from 1 species